AGGGGAGGGGGUGAGAUUAUAUCAACAAAAGAUGAAAAUAGGAUUUGACAUUUGUAUAUACAUUUUUCCUCUCUCGUUAUCCUUCACAACAUGAAUAAGAUUCUUGGGUAAUUACUAUCCAAAAACAAAAAAACAAAAAGCUCCCAAACAUCUUUCGAACUCUAAUGACAAAAUCUGCAGCUUUGUUGCAUUUUUGACAAAAUGCAAAGCUAAUAUGGACAUUAUUAAAAGAGGGCAACAACAGUUGGUAUCUGUCGCUGCAAAAAUAGGCUCCUUCAGGAACAUUAUUGAUGAUUGUUCUUGGUUAUAAAUAUCCUCGCACAAACGUUUAAUAAAUAGAUCAACAGAGAUUUGUGAAUCGAAAUUGUCAAGUAGUAUUUUAAAAGAAGAAGUUGGCCAGACAAAAAAUCACAUUGGGACAAUGCAAAAACCGGAAUUUCAAAGUUUGGUAGACAUCCCUUAUCCCUCGCCAAAAACAAUUGCAGGUGGGGCUACCAGCACCAGCUCAUGGCUGUCAAGGAUUCUUGGUUUGCUAUCCAUUUUCUCUAUUGAUGAUCACAACGAAAGUGUAUGCCAGGGCAAGAAUAGUAGUAGUACAAGUAUUUCCAGUUUUGGGUCAAAAUCACAAUGAAUGCUAGUCUCUAUUUGUUUCUUCAUAAAUUGGGUCAAAAUCACAAUGAAUGCUGUGAAUGCUAGUCUCUAUUUGUUUCUUCAUAAGUAAUUCCCUAGUCUCUCUCUCUCUCUUUCAACCAGCUUUGGAGUCUUGACAAGGAGGAUUGGAAUUAAAUUCCCCCAACAACCAUAGUUGGUCAGUAGUUGCGCCAAUUAGAUGGACAGGCAACAAAAGUAUUGGUUAAUCUUCAUACUUCCUUUUUCAGCCCUGUUUGGCACUCAGAGUUUUUUGUCAAGUUUAUCUGCUAUAAAUUUUUUAAAAACUUUAACUACAGUAAUCUCAAAUAUUUUUCAAAAUUUUUAAACUAUACACUUCAAAAAUUUUUUAAAAAACUUUUACAGUAAACUACAGUAAAGUUUUAGACAAACAUUCAAAAAACUCACGUACCAAACGGGGUAAUGGUUUUCCUGUGAACUGAUACCAAGAGGAGGGCCACAAUUGUGCUGACAUCCCAGUUCAAAGGAUAAGUAGACCAGAAUAACAAGCCCAUUAGGGCGAUAACAAGCAAUAAGUCCACAAACAUGGCAAAGGUUAAGGCUCAAGAGAGACUAGACAGAUAUUCAGGCUUGCUAUAGCUAAUUGAAUAAUGAAUCCUCAUCCACACUGACCUGACAAGAUGCAGAUUAUUGUGGAAGCAGAAGUGAAGAUUUACACUCAAGGAUUAGAAGCUACAUGGCCUUCUCAAAUAUUAGAAGAUUGAGAAUUUAAGAUUAUUAGGUCAAAACCUCGGAUAGCCUACCAGUUACCCAACAAGAUUCAUACUGAAAACUUGAUCACCUUCGACCUGCUAGACCAUUUCAUUUUUAAGUACAGUUGUCAGAAGUACAAUUAGAAUGAUUCCCAGUAAUUAUUAUGUACAUAAUAUUUUAUACAUUCGCCUUACUUUUUACAUAGAGUAGUAACAAAAUGACUAAACUGAUCCUUCAUGCUUUAGAGCAUCAACCUAAAAAGCUUUAAAUCCAUCAGUUCUGGAGUCUGUAUCUUGAGCGCAAACGGCUGAGGAUCUCAGCAUAUUCUGGAGUUGUCUGGCCGAAUACUUCAUUCCACAUCCUGAAAAGGUCUGUACGUAUAAACAGGAAUCCAGGUCAAUCAAACUCAGCUUUAAUAAAUGAAUAAUAGCAUUGAUACAAAACUCCACACGCAUUCAUUCGUCUUUCUGGUGAGAGCAUAUAAACUGAUUCAUAGGGUGAACUACUGAAAAACAGUAGUAAUUGGCUGCACAAGGGAAUUAUUUAACGCGGUCAUUUACAAUAGUAUGUUAGAUAACACGAACUGCACAUUUAACCAUGUCUCAACCCUAUUACAUUAUAAUUCUAUUAGAUUAGCGUGGACCUACCAGCCUUAUCAGCAGAGGAAAGACACAUGACAAUCAUGUCGAAUCUUGGGAUUUUGGUUAGAUUUUCUAAGAAUUUGACAGCUAAAUCCACAUCUUCUCUGCCAAACAUAAGGCAGAAGAAAUGUCAGCAAAUCAUUAAAAGAAACAUAAUUUUGCGAAUUCAUUUACAAAUAGUUUAUUGAAGAUAUUAACUUACACGAAAAAGGUAGCAAUACACCCAAGAAUAUCCAUGAGUAAUGAAGCAGACAAGGCAUUCUUAAAUAUCUGUGGCAAUGAAGUUGGAGGAGUUGCCUGAUCAGGGAAAAAGAGGAGGUCACACAAUGGGAAAAGAAACAAACUAUAAACAACAGCAACAAUGAAAAGUGAAAUUACUAUCAGCAUGAAAUUUCCAUUUCUUUGUCAAUCUAUAAUCAGUUUCAACAUGAAGAUGGUCCUUUCCAAAAAACAAAAAACACCACACAAACAGCAUUUAGAUAGACAUGCCACUGAAUUGAAAACAGAGUUGGUAAAGUUCCGCCUUGCCAAUCAACCUUUUUGCAAGUCUCAAGACGGAAAAGUCAUUCUCCUCCAUCAAGAUAAAUUGUUAAAAAGAAUUUAAAGUGAUUUUGAGAGAACAUAGCAAAUAAAUUUGGAAAGAUUCAUAAAAACCAUGAGUAUGCAACUACAGAAACUUAGCAUCCUAAAUGGUAUAUUCUGAAUUGCGUGCAAAGGACAAAAGUGACACACGGCUGCAAAACAAUUUAAAAAUAGACCUUCAAUAAUUGAGCCUGUAAGCUGCGGUCACCAGAAAGCCCCCGCCAAGAAACCUCAAACUGGUAAGCUGAAUUUGGAGGUGCAAUGAUUUUAGCAGCCUCAGCCUUAGCAAGAGUAGCAGCUCGUGCGGCAAGCUCUUGAACUGAUGUCUUCAACUCAUGCUUGCCAUUGGUGCUGCUUCUCUGUGAUUAAAAACCAAAAGAAUCAGUAGAGAAAAAGAGAACCCAAGGGCAGGCUGAGUCUUAGCAUAUAAAUCCAUAAAUCAUGCUACAAUUUUGAUAAUAGCCAGCUGAUCACAAAGUCAUGCCAUGCACAUAUAAAAUCUAUAAUUAUUUUAGACCUGUUUGUGAAAGCAAAAAGUAUUUGCAGACCGUUGACAUAAGAGAUCAAUCUGCAACUUUUAAUUAUCUUGUUCUCUUAAAUCUUUGUUAUUAAACUAUUUGCCCUUUCUAAUCAUCAAAAUUGAAAUGUUAGAAUUGUUUGUUGCCCCUAAUCUUCUUAAACAUUCACUAUCUUUCUAAAAACACCAGCUCUUAACGAAAAGAUUAUACAAGAAAAGAAAACAAUGGACCUUCAUUGUCUCCAAAGCAGUGUUCUGAAGAGCUGAUUCAUGAGAAGCAUUUCCAUUUUGAUCCUUAGUCUUCAUACUAGUACCAUCAAGUCGCAUAGCUGUCUUUAAAGGAAUUUCUCCAUUAUUACCCUGCCAAUCACAGCUUAAAGUUCAGAGAAAUGACUUUUGCCCACUAUCUGAUAAAAGAAGAUACUGAUCAAAUGUAAAGCUAUUUUUUCCAAAAAUUUCCAACCAUCACAAAUGUAAAGCCAUUUUUUAUCAUCUAAAAUACAUUCUUAAGAAUCUCUAUGACAGGUCAGGUGCAAUGAAUAUGAAGCUCCAAAGCCCAUGCUUUCACCUUGCAAUGAAGAUGACUAUAAAACUCUUAAACACAAAAUAAACCUUCAGGAAACAGAAUGAACUGUCCCAAAGACAAGUUUUUACCUCCAGAAGCUAAAGGAGCAAGAAAAGAAAAGAAGGUGAUUUACUGGAGUCCUUUUUAACUCACAGUAGUUUUGCUCCCAGCCAAGCCAAACCAAAUAGUAUACAUAUAUACAAGCAGUCAAAAAAGUGAAAGAAGAAACUCCAUUGUUCAGACCUUUGUAUGAUCAUCCUGAACUUCAGCCACCAUUCCACUAUUAAAAUCACUGGAGACAAGUUUGACCCCAUUUACAGCUUUGUUUGUCUCAACCUUUGACUUUCCAGCUUUUUGCAACCCUUGCACAGAGCUUGUUGAUGCUCUAGAUACCUUCUUAAGAAUUUCCUGGAAAUUGACAAUGACUGAUAAAAAAUGGAAGAACUAUAUCCAGAGAUAGCAGUAAUAUAUGACUCAAGUACUCAAGGAUUAUUAGUUUAAUUGAAUUUGCCGUCUUAAGUGUUCAGAGGCAUGUGAAAACUUUGACAAACUGAGUCCUCAAAUCUAUUUCUUUACAAGAAUAAGAGAACAAGAAAAUUGAUUACAAGGUAAGGAGUAAACCUUAUCUAGCAAAGAUUUGGCUUCUGCAUAUUGCUUCUUGAUCUCCUGGUUUUGUGGCUCUAACCUCAAGGCAAAUUCAGCAUCUGCAAUCAGUCAUACUUCAUCAGAAAUACUUCUUUUUUAAAUAAAUCAAAAAGAGGUUUCAUAGGAUCCAUAAUAAUACCAUCAUAGGCUUCUUUUAGUUUGCCAAGCUCUUUUCUGGCUGUUGAACGACGAGAAUAGGCCUUAAUGUAGCGAUCAUCUAGAUUUAAGGCCUCAGUACAGUCACUCUCAGCCUCCUCGAAUCUAAUUUAAAAUGAGGAGAACAUGUCACUUCUUAUAGUGUGUACAUUUUAUCUUAUAAAAGAGAAUAAUUUCUCUAUUCUGGAAAUAAUAAAACUAAGAAGAUAGAUGAUAUGAACUUGCCUUUUGAUUUUGAUAUAAGCCAUAGCCCUAUUAGCAUAAGCAACUGCAGUAGGCAACAAUGCAAUGCUUCUAGAGUAACAGUCAAUUGCUUCAUUAAACUUCUUAUGUUUAAAAUAUUCAUUGCCCUACGCAAGAUAGAAAGUAAUAAUCAGUAUCAAUACAAGACAAACAUGUCAUUCUAAACCAUAUUUGUUGAGUGUGAAGCAUACCAACUCUUUCUCCGAGUUUGCAUCAACUGAACUCUCUUCUGUCAUGAAACCACUUGAUAACUGCCUUAUUGCAUCAUAGUUUCUCAAAUAAUCAUAUUUUUUAGCAGCAUCACCAAUAUCCUCAUUGGCAUUUUUUUCAACUGCAUGUCUCUCACCAACUCUUGAGCUACUAGACAGCUGAUUAGCAUUUGCUACAUUAUGUCUUUGAGCAAGGAGAUCCUGAAAUAAAACUUGAUCCAAUCAAUAAUCAAAAACAACAUUUAUGUAAUAAAAAAAACAGUAAAAAUCAGAAAAUGCAAUCAAAAGAUCACCAUCAUGUCUUCCCCUUUGGCACCACUUAAAUGCAAUCAACAAGACUAGAAAAUGAAAGGGAAAAGAAAAACAAAGAAAAAUUUGCAAACAGAAAUGCAUUCACACUGACUAAAUCCACUGUCAGGGUGAAGUGGCUAUAAAAAAAAAAAAACACUAACUGCCAACAACUCUUUAAGAUAGAGCAUUCUAACAGAAUUCUGCACAUGAAUAUGAUUUCGUAUGCUGAGACAGUCAAGGGUUGAGUAACUGCACAUCUUAAAUACAAGAAAACAGAAAACUUACUGCCUUCUCCUUGCCUCGGGAUUGUGACUUAAGUUUCUUGUCUUUAUCCUUGAAUGAUAAUUCCCAAUCCUGUAAAUUAUUCAGAAGCCCCUCAAAGUCCUGUUCAACCAAAAUCAUCACUAAGGUAGGUGUAAAAAAAAAAAAACUAACGAGCAACAUCAUGUUUGUACUUUCUCUGGGCCAAUUUAGUCCAGUAGUACACACUUCAGACGUAAAGAAAAAUAAUACAGUCCAGUAACAUUAAAAAAAAAUGCACCUUCAUAGUUCUCAACAUCUAUUUUCUUUUUUUUUUCCUCGUACAAGAAUAUAUUUCGCAAAGAAAUCUUACAGCUAGCUUGAUUUCAUCCACAAAUUAACACGGCUUUGAAAUCCUUCCCGGACCACAAAAUAGUGAACUCACAGAAUAGAAUUACUACAGGCCUUGACUCCACUAGAUAAACAUAAACACAAUGAUGAAGUUACUGCUCUCAGAAUUUUAUUUACACUUUUCAUUUCUAGUCAAGAAAUGGAUUCUACCAACCCUAUAAUCUUGAACCAUUUUCAUCUAAUUUCUUCUUAAUUUCCAUGAACAAAUAAAGCAGCAAAUUUGAAGGGUUCUUCUUGCUUGAAUACCUCCAACUUCUCCACCAGCAAUGUGAUGGUAAUAGAACUAAUACCUCCAGCAAGUAUAGAAUCCAGACCUUAAAAUCAACAAGCCCACAAAAAAAAAUGCAAAAGCUAAAGCCGUUUCGAUAUUGAAAUCAUGCUUGGUGAAAAGAUACUACAGCAAUGCUGCUCUGCUAACAAAUAGAAGAGAAAAUGCAUAUGCACCUGAGCUUGAUCGCGAGAAUGCUUGGAGGGAACCCUAGACAUUGCUGGGAAUAGAGGGCACGGCAGUCGGAGAAGAAGAGAGAGCGGAAGCAGUUCAGAAUUCAGAUGCUUCUAGAGUUCCAAGGGGAGAAAGAAACACAUUUCAUUUUAAUACUACCAUCGAAGCUGGAUCAACUUUUAAGGCUUAAUUACAAAUUGUACCCAGUAAUUAGGAGUUAGUGCAAAUUGACCCCCUGAAUUUACAAAAUUUACAAACUAAUUUUUUUUGUUCUUCAUUAUUUCUCUUAUAUGUGUAGAUUUACUUUUUUCCCUUCCCACUCUAUUGUAAAUCUUGAUAAUAUUGUACUAAAUAAUCUUUUUCCUCACUUAAAUAUAGAUUAUUAUUUCUUAUGAAAAGUUUUUAAGGGUAGACUACUAUAUUUAUCACUAGAUAGAGUUGUUAAUGAAGCAAACUGUUUGCGAACGUAUUUAUGUUCGAAUCGUUUGAAUUCAAAAAAAGUACAAUUGUUUAAUGAACGAAUGCAGUUCAAACACAAUAUUAGAUUCGUUUAAUAAUCGAACCGAACAUGAACCUCUUCGUGAACACAUAUAUAUAAAUAUAAAUACAAUUAAUAUUAUUAAAUACAUAUUAUAUUUUACUAAAAAAGUACUUAUACAUAAAUUAGCAUUAUUUAUUUUUUAUUCUAAACAAUGUAUUAUUUAUUAACAAUAUAAUUAGAUCAUCUUCAAAAUCAAAUUCGAGAACCAGCCAAAUUCGAGCCGUGCUUGACCUUGAAUUUGGCUCGUAUAGUUUAACAAGUUGAGUUUAAGCUCAAUCUUAAAUGUUUAUACAAAUAAACGAAUCAAAUUUAAACGAUAUUUGUAAUUUGUUAAUAUUCGAAUCAAACUUGAACCCUAUUUGUAUAAUAUACGAACAAAGCCUGAACAUCAAUCAUUCAACUCAAUUUGCCUCGUUAAAAGUUCUACCACUAGACUACUUCAAUCGUAUAGCUCCUUCAUUCCUAUUAAAAAAUAUAUAUUUUGAUCAUAAUAUGUUAAAGAAUUUAUUUUUAUAGUUGAAUAUAAUAUUGUUAUUUUUUAUGAAAAUAUUUAAUGGUUGAGAAACAUAUUUACCAAUAAACUAUACCUUUUUUUUUUCAACAAACACCACCAAUAAACUAUACAAAUAACUUUUGCCACUUAACUAUUUUUAUUUAAAAUCACCCACUUAACGCACAAAAUUGUUUUAUAAAUAACCAUUCGUUUAGGUUUUGCCAUUAGAUAUCAUGCAUUUCCAUUAGCUCGGAGGAUGCGCAUGGAAUUUUAUGUGGAUGGUAACUAUAUACUUUGCUUAAGCACAGGCUAGAGACUGUAUCUGCACGUUUGUUCAUAUUCAACUGUUGAAGCAGACAAUUGAGCCUAGCUGAGAAGUAAAUUGUAUCCAACAAAUGAAAAAGCAAGUUGCAAGAUUACCAGAGUCAGAUUUCAACAUUUAAUCUAUAGCCAAGACAGCAUGAAAAAUUGAAAAUCAUCUGAACAUCGUUGCUAACGCAGCAGACCAACAGAUUUCAGCACAAAAAGGGAGAAUAAGUCCCUUGUACGCAAAAACAUAACAAGCAAAUUUCUGCAGCUUUUAACCAACUUUGUGAUUCUGGUACCACAAACCUAAUAGCAUUACAAGAUUUACAAGACAACUUGAUGAUAAUUCUAGACAAAUGUCAACCCGCAUUCUGGUGUGGCAUGACAAUUUCAGUAAACCAACACCAAGGCAUAUGUAGGCUUUCUUGCAUAUUACAACUCCAGCCUUGAAGAUCUGCAUCUUGGUCCUUCUAUGAGGGGGGAUCAAAUUGCUUCAAGAAACUCCCAAAAGCUGCACUCCAAAUGGACACCCCACCAAAAUGACUUACAUUGAUCCAAGCAGCCAGGCGGUUGUAGAGUGCAAAAACAAUCUCUAAAGAGAACAUUAAUAAGGAACCUAUCAAAGCUAUACCAAAUAAAGUAAUUAAGCGAAAUUCAGCAUCGCAUCUUUCCAGUCUACAGAUGCCAGCAUCAAAUUGGAUUAUAUACAUCCCAUCCACUUAAACUGGGUAAACCUAACAGAACUAUGCAAACACCGUAUUCCUGAAUUCCAGCAGAAGACAACAACCAGAGGUGGUCAAAUCAAACAAGCAGCUGCAGCCUGCAUCUUCUCAUGUAUUGCCUUGUAGCAACCGAGGCUGCACAGUGGCAACUUUGACUUUGAGUCUCGGUACUUGUAUGCAUUUGUACAAGAAGGGCCAGCACAGUUUUCACGUGGAGGAGGAUAACUGACGGCAAAGAACAAAGGCUGAGUCAGAGACAAAAGAGGGUGAGAAUAGCAGAAGUACAUAUUUGUAGUGCCACGGAGACUCCUGAAGAUCUGUUGGCGUGCAAUUAAAUGUGCACAGGAUUGAAAAAGUGGCAUAUUUACCUACAAGGCUUGGAUUCAAGAAUUCUUGGGAGGCCUAUCUCAUCGGGGAACGUCACAGUAGUCCCGGACGGGCCAAUCACCCAUCUAACUGCAUUUGAUGCAAGAACGUUGUUUGCAGCCCUCUCCUGCAUCACAUCAGAGACCUAUAAUUUAGAAUGAAUCCAAAAAGACGCAAAGAUAGCUUCUUCACGUGGAUCAUUUGCGUUGUCACCUGAGCCAGCUCAUCUUGUCGCUUCUUCAUUUUAUCCUCUUGCUUCUUCCUACUGGAAUCUUGGCCUAGGAUUUUUCUGAUCGCCUCAGCCUGUAAAACCAUCAACCCUUGAAGUCAUAUCUUUUACAAUACAUAACGUAAUUUGACUGGAAUAUCAACCUAAAUAACUGGCAUAAAAGUCUGUUGUAGCAAGCACAACCUCAGCCUCCCGAGCAGCCUUCUCCACUUGCAUCCUUCGUCUUUGAGCAGCCUCAGCUUUCUUCAGUUGUUGCUCCACCUCCGACAGUUUUUCCUUUGGCUCUGUCACUCAACCCAACAUAAGUUAUAUUGUAAACAUUCAAUUAGAAAAGUUACAGAUGCAUUUGAACCAGGACAGAGUUCUAUAACAGGAAUGCUCACUUUUAGGUGGGGCAGGAGGUAAUCCAUUUGGGAACUCAAUCAAACUUGCACCAGAAGGGGAAGAAGUGGAUCUUGCACUUUUGAGUGCUCGUUGGCGGGUAGUGAUAGCCAUUUCCCUCUUAAAAUCCCCUGACUCAUCAAUUAACUCGUUGCUGUGCUUUCUCUUUGGUUCAGGCUCAUCAUCAGAGAACGAGUCUUCAUCUUCAAAAUAGUCUGCAUCUUCGGAUGCUUUAACUGAUCUGGACUUCCUACUCUCCUUGCCUAAUGAAGAGCUGUUAUGGUAUCUCAAAUCUACAUCAUUACUGUAGAUAUCACCAUAAGAUAACCUAGAUGCAUUCUGUUGCUUCUUGCUCCCUACUUCAUCUACAUCUUCAAACUCUGUGCCGUGACUUGAACUAAGUCUCAGACGUCUGACCUUUUCAAGGUACCGAAUCUCGUCAUCACUAUUAUCUUCUCCAUCAUCAAAAACUUCACCUAAUGAACGUUUCUUAGGAACUCGUUUGCUCUUACGAGAGGACUCAAGAGCACCAGAUUGCCUAGUAGAGACACUUUGUCCAGGCAUCUUUCCCAGUGAAAUAACAUGUUUCUUAACAGUAAAACCACUCUUAGAAAAAUCCUUCCAUGGAAUGCCCUGCAAUCCACUUCCUUUGUCCUUAGAAGUGCAGCGACCUGUGUUUUCAUUAUCCUGGAAAAUGUAGGAAGAAGAAGCCCCUGUUAAGCUCUAAUUCAACCCAUCUUUCACAAAUUAGAGCUAGAAAAAUAUGGCCCAAGGAGGGGGGGGGGAAGGCAUGGUUUGUAUUGAGGCGGGAAUGAACUGGCAAAGACCAAACCGCUGUGAUGGUUGGACAAAAUAAAGAGUCUUUUAUCAACUUAGCUAUCUGUUAACUCACUUGGAAAAAUAACAUGCUAUUAUGCUAAACUUUUUUGGUCAAUGAUCCUGAAUAAGGGAUCAUCUUUGAUCCAGAGCCCAGAAGAAGAGAACAAACCUACUAUAGAUAUCAAAAGGAUUAGAAGUUUCAAAUAGAACAAGCUCGGACUUUGGUAGCCUUACUUAGUGCAAACAUUAAAGCACAGAGUUACCUGCGCAAUCAGCUUAGGGUGCACAGGUGGGCCAUCAGAAGAGAGAGAAGACUUGGUUGAUGAAGACCCAGCAAAUGAUGAAGCCUCGGAAACGGUUUUAGUAUGUAGCGUAUGAGUAACACCACCAACCUUAAGCUUCACUUUCUUAAGUUUACUGAUACCUGCAUCAUUUGAUUCUCCCAAUCGUCCAACUUCAUUACUCAUUUUAGAGACAGUUUCGGCGUCACCAAGAUUAUCAUACGAUGCUCUGGAAACGCUUUGGUUUGUACUUUCUUUCCCCCCCGUAGCAGCAGCAUGACUGAGAUUUUCCUCACUUGAUGGUUUGCUCAUACUGUCUGAUACAGGCGUUGAUGACAGGGAAGAAUUAUCCCGGUAAUCCAAACAAGAUUGAGAAUCAUCUACUCUACGGCGAGGCCGAAUGCUCCUCUUUUUCCUUGCAUUUCUGCCCGUAUCAUCAAAUACAAAACUUCCAACGUUUUCCAUAGUGGCAGAGUCUACUUACUUCCAAGCCUCUGCUGCUGCAAUUCAUCAAGUAAGACAUUGUCAAAGUCACGAAAAUCUGUUAUAGUGCAAGAAAAGGAGAUCAAAGAAGAAUGAAGCAGAUCUCAUUUCUAACAUUCUCAAUCUGCUUUAAACUUGCCAAAAGGACACGACUACGAGAUUAAUAUCUACACUAAUGCAAUUUCUGAGUAGAAACAAACAACCUUGUAAGCAUAUUAAACAAUACUAUGAUAAGCUUUGUCCCGACUUACGCUAGUUGGUUAAAGUACUUCUUUUUUCCUCAUAAAAUAUGCUACCAACUAUCGUACGACCUCCAACAGAGGUCGAGCUUCUUGACUAAUAUCAUAAGAAACCGUGAACUUUAUGAUGUAAUCUUUGAAAAGCAAACAAGAAAACAUAAAAGCGAAUCUCACUGAAGUCCAGGAACAGGUAACAUGGUAUAAUUGAUUUUUAAAGAAACCCCACAUAAAAACACUAGCUUGACAUCAAGAAACUGGAAAAAGAAAAACGUAUAAAAAUGGGAAGAAAAUUACAAGUUUCCUUCUGGAACUCAAGAGACAACAUAUGAUAAGCAUUAAAAAGCAGAAGAUGAAAAUUUUAUUACCUUGAGUUAUUUUCUUCCACAGAACCCUCAAAAUAUGAGGCUGGAGAGGAGCUGAAAAGGGCAGAAAUUUUGUGAAGGAAAUUCAAGAAUUACAGGAGCCCAGUUGGAAAACAGUGACAAAGUUGGGAACUUUGGGGGAGUUGGGGGGAGGAGGAGAGGAGGCCAUCAAUGAACCUGCUGGCCUGCUCCAUCAACUUUCAACCAUGGUUCCUCCCGAGUCCUUAGCCCCUCGUGCCUUAUGGCCUAUUGGGCCAAUUCCGCAAGCUUCAAGUUUGUCUAUUUCUCCAUUGCUGCUUUUCUUUUUUUCCAACAAACGUUAAUCCAUAGCUGCUUUUCAUUUCCUCCAUUUUUGGUCCACAGGAGGGAAAAAUCUUCUCUCUUUUUUUUUUUUUUUGAUAAGGGAUCAAUUUUUAACUUGUACUUUAUGCAUAAUAAAUUCACAACCAUAAGCUUGUAAAUCAGUAGUAUUUGUUUCCUUUAAAUUUGCCAUGAAACCGCCCCGUUUGGUACUUGUGGUUUUAUUUCCACCUAAAUGCCUAAUGAAAUAUUUGGAAAGUUGUGUCAAGUAUUUGGUCUAGAUUUUCCUAGUUACAGAGGAUUUAGCUGUUUAAGUGAAAUUAAAAAAAAGUUGGUCAUACUUUAAAACACAAAUGACAUGUUAUUUAUGUUAUAUUUUGAAUUUAUAUAUAUAUACAUUCAAAGAAAGAAUGAUAAAUUGAUUUGGGAGCAAGGACUGAGUAGUUUUGCCUAUUAUAAACCUAAUUUUUCUGUUUAUAAUAUUCAUAAAAAUAUAUUAUUUUUGGGAAAAAAAUUCAUUUUCAUAUUUUUAAUCUUUUUUUACCUCAAAUAUAUCAUAUCUUACAAAAAGUGUUAAAAUAAUUUUUCUCCAAAAAUUCUCUGAAAAAUGCAAUCCAGACGAGAUCUAAUUUUCUGUUUUAGCUAAAAUUUCAAUUCUUCCACAGUCAACAUGUCAAAGAAAUAAGAGUUUUUUUUUUUUUUUUUUUUUUGGGUUUGGAUGUCUCGUAAACAUGUUUAAACCUCCAUACUUUAUUACUUCAUCUUAUUUCAAUAAACAAAAGACACUCAAAACUUUUUCUUUAGAAAAAAACUAAAAAUUAGAGAACAUCUAUGAUAUAAAGGAAUUAUUAACUUUAAAAACUACUUUUACAAGUUGUCAUAAAUUCUUUCAUUGAAUCAAUUAACAAAUUUUUUCAUGAUAUUAAAGGUGAGCUUUUUGUUUGUUGUAUUAGAAACUUAAUAAAUAAAGCCAUACCAAAAUUCAUUUAUUAAUGACCCAAAAUCGACUUCUAUGCAAGAAAUCCAACAUGGGAUAUGCGUUCGAAGAUCAGCUCUUCAUGACUUGUAAGUAACAUGAUAUGAAUCCCGUUGCUCAAACGAAACUCACAAAUAGGGCUGCAAACGAGCCGAGUCGAGUCGAUCUUUGGCCUUAUCGAGUCGAGCCUUGAUUUAAUUUCAUCGAACUCGAACUCGAGCUCUACGAGCUGGUAAUUUUCAAUCGAGUCAAGUUCGAGCUCGAAAAAAAUAAAAAAUAAUUAUUUUUAUUUUUAAAAAAAUAAAUAAAAUAAUAUUUUUUCUUAAUAAAUAAUAAAAUAUUAAGGAUAUUUAUGUAAUUUUACUAUUAAAAAUAAUAUAUAUAUAUAUAUAUACACAUUCGAGCUCGCGAGUCUAACGAGUUUAAUGUUUUGAGCUCGAGAUCGAGCUCGACUUUGGCUCGACCAGCUCGAGUUCGACCCGAGCUCGAUAUUGAUCGAACUCGACUCGAGCUUGAAUCGAAUCACUCGCGAGCGGCUCGAUUCAUUUGCACCCCUACUCACGAAUAACAAAUCCGAAUCUUUAGUGAUUGACACAAGUUUAAUAGUGGAAUUUCUACACGGAUCCUUCUAAUUCCCGUAAGUGCAAACUUUAAGAAGGUAGCUGGAGCCACAAUCAAAGAUGAUUAUUUGAUUGAUAAGUCGGAAUGAACGCUCAAGAGAAUUCCGAAGCAUUGAAGGAUGCUCGCAAGAGCUUUUUAGGGAGCUUCACGCCCAUGCAUAAUAAUUUGUUUUACACGCUCAUUAAUCUCUAUGAUCAUGCUCGGCAUUCUAAUCGAAUCUUGAACAGCUUGAACUAUCGGUUGGACGACUCUUGAAGUUUCUUGGCACCAGCGCACGUCAUUGGAUUUGGAUCCACUGGGGAUGUUCAUGGAAUCGACUUGAGCAUGUCAAGCAUCUUGGACAGCUUGCACGACUUCAUCAUAACAUCACUUUGCUUUGCAUAAAUUUUGCAUGAAGCAAUAAACAAAAUGAGAUGCAAUUAACGAAAAAUGGUGCCAAGCUCAAUACACUUUAUUGUUGUUAUUAUUAUUAUUUUCUUUUUGUAUUAGUUUUUUGGACUAACAUUCAUGUAAACAUACCUACUACCUAGCAGAUUGCCAUAUUGACACGAAACAAAGGAUUCCUUUCUAGAAAAGAAGAAGAAAAGCAUUGGCAUAAGAAACAAAAUCCUGUGGUUUGGUAUAGUUGCAGACUUUAAAACGGUUUUAGCCUGUGGUUUUGAUCACGGAUAUAGUUGCAGACCGUAAAAUGAAUUAGUUGCGUACCAUAAAACGAUUUUAUACCUGAAAGGGUUCGGCUCGACUCGAACACGAUUAGUAAAAGAAUGUGGAAUCCCGUUGUUUAGAAGAAAAGGCCAUAAAAUCUAUCGAAUCUAUGAUUGUCACAAGUGUCAUCAUUUUACUGGACUUUUAGAUUGUAUCGGCAAUCCUGGUUUUAGGCAUUAUUUGAUAACCCAUUUAGCACCUAAAUUUAAAGGAUUUAGCAAAAUAUUGAAUAUCUGAAUUAAUUAAGUGGUAAUGAAUUUCCAAACAAAACUUGCUCCUAAAAAUAAUUGAUAAGUUAUUCACUUAUCACUUAUUGUGAUAUACACUCAAAUGUAUUAGAUUUAGUACUUGGCAAUUCAAUCACUUAAUGGAUUCAAAUUUCAGAUUUCAGAUUCAUGGCUUGUUUGAUAACCCAAAUCAAUAUUUAAACUUAAUGGACUUUGAUUUUAACAUGUGUUAGGCGCAUUUGAUAAUCAAAAAUUGAACAUCUGAAUUAAUUAAGUGGCACUGAAAUUUUUAGACAAAACUUGCUCCUAAAAAUAAGUGAUAAACUAUCUACUUAUUAGUUAAUGUGAUAUACACUAAAAUAUAUCAGAUUUAGUAUUUAACAAUUCAAUAAAUUAAUGAAUUCAUAUUUUAGUGACACUGAACUUUUUAUAUAAAAUUUGCUGCUAAAAAUAAGUAAUAAAGUAUUUACUUAUUAUUUAAUGUGAUAUACACUCAAAAUGUAUGAUAUUUAAUAUUUAAUAACUCAAUAAUUUAAUGAAUUCGUAUUUCAAAUUUUAAAUUAUAAUUUUCAGAUUUCAAUAUUAAUAAACACACCGUCAUACUUCAAUUUUUAAAUUUCAAUUUUAUCGAACGCAUCUUUACUUUAGCUUCAUAUUCACCUGCCAUGUUGUAUUUAUCGUGUUUUAUGCUUAGAAACACUGCACCAAGAAAUAGAACAAGAAGAAAUAAAGAAAAAUUAUGCUAGUACUCACAAAAAAUGUACAUGCCAUUCCGCUCUUGACUCAACCCUCGUGCUAUUUUGUAUUUGUCUUGGUUUAGGCCUAGAAAAACUGCACCGAGGAAUAGAACAACAAGAAAUAAGGAAAAAUUAUGCUAGUACUCACAAAAAAAAUGUACGUACCAUUCCGUUCUUGACUCAACCCUCGUGCUAAUUUGUAUUUGUCUUGGUUUAGGCUUAGGAAAACUGCACCGAGAAAUAGAACAAGAAGAAAUAAAGAAUAAUUAUGCUAGUACUCACAAAAGAUGUACGUACCAUUCUGUUCUUGACUCAACCCUCAACCCCAAUUCCCAAAUCCUCAAAAUCCCACCUCAGAAAUCCCAAUAAUUUGCAUCACUCUUGCAAAGUUUGUCUUUUUUGACGUGGGUUUGUCUUUUUUGACGUGGGUUUGUCUUAUUUAUUUUUCUUGGCAGCAAUUUUUUUUUUUCGUUUGAAUAAUUGAUGAGACAUGGAAAAUCCAAAAGAAUUGAGGUCUGAUGCUGAUUUCAGCUUCGAGUUUUUCCCAUUUGAAAUCAUAAUUGAGAUUCUCUCAAGAUUGCCAGUCAAAGUACUUGGCAGAUUCACCACAGUCUCCAAAUUAUGGUACUCUCUCAUCACAAGUUAUAUGUUCAUUAAUAAGCAUCUCAAGGAUUACUCCAUCUCGCUGUCUAAUAAGUCUUACAGCAGCGGCGACAGCAGCAGCAGCUUGGCUACCCCUUUUAGCUCUGUCUUGCUAAUUCCUAUUGUACUAAAGGAAUUAGUGAGACAUUCUUAUUCUAUGUUUUUUGAUAGCACUUUUGAUGGUAAUGGAAGUUUUGAAAUUCCGAUGUUGUAUCAUUGGCUUGAGAUUUUGUUCGUUGGGAAUUCUUGCAAUGGAAUAAUCUGUUUCACUGAUCAGAAGGCAUUUUUCGGUAGGAAAGUGUAUUUGUACAAUCCUGUAAUUAGGAGAAUGAAGCUUAUAUCCCAUAAUUGCUUUGCUGAUAUGAUGUUUGAUCGUAACAAAGUGUUUUGCAAACUGGGAUUUGGGUUUUGUGAGUGUACUAAUGACUAUAAGGUUGUGCGGAUCCAUUAUGUUAAGGACGAGGAGUCAAAACUGUUGGGGAAUGUAGCACCUGAGGUGGAGGUUUAUCGUUUGAAUGCUGAUAAUUGGAGAAGGAUUAAGGCAAAUGUCGAGUGUAUUGUCAAUUAUAGGUCGGUUUCUUGCAAUGGAUCUAUUCAUUGGUUGGCUCGAAAGAAGAAUGGACGGAUUUUUGAUGCUAUCAUGUCCUUUGAUAUUGCUCAUGAGUUGUUUUGUGAGACCGAUUUGCCUGUUCAGUGCCACUCAUUGAAGGAUGGGACUUUAUUGGUCUUCAAGGGGUUGCUUGCUAUUUUCAAGGAUGGCAUUAGCAUUAGAGAGUACGAAGGAUAUAAAUGCUACGAGUUAUGGGUGAUGAGGGAGUAUAAGGUUGCCAAAUCCUGGACUAAACUAUUUGUUUUGGAGACAAAACGAUCUGUUGUGAAGGCAUUUGGAUUUACAAAGAGUGGACAACUUGUGAUGCAGAUGCACGGUGAUAGGUUAGCAUCUUGGGAGCCUGAAGGAAACUGUCUGAAACAUCUAGAUAUUGAUGGAUUUCUACAUCAUGUGGAUGCUUCUUUUGUGGAGAGUCUUGUUUUAUAUGAAGGUGGAUGUGUUGCUUCAGCAGAAACAAAGUAAGAUCUUAAGAACUUUUAGCUCAUUUAUCAUUUGCUAUCUCAGUUAAAGAUCUGUAGCUUGUUGCUAGAGUGCUGGAUGUUUUUACUGUUUUCAGGAUAAAGUGUUUUAGCAUGCGUUGAUCAAUUAUCUCUGUGCUAGGAUGCAUUAAUGGUGCUAGAAUGCGUUGCAGCUAUAGAUGCAUCAGUCAUAUAAUAAAUAAAGCUUCUGCAACGCAGCAUAAUCUCUUUCUGAGUUCUAUACAUCACUACCAUGUUGGAAUUAUUUAUGGAGUAUCAUUGCCUACACAAUACGUUCCCCUAAACCAUUAGACUAAUUUGGUGUUCACCAAUGUUAUUUGUUCUGUUAUCAAUGCCAUUAAAGGGGAAGAAGUGUUCAAAUGCUGUCAGAGAUAGGCUGCUGGUUAGUAGUAUUUAUCGUUAUCCGGUCAUGAAAUACAUGAGUAGUCUAGAAAAACAUGGACCAAUUGUAUGACAUAUGCUGGAAUUUAUGGAUUUCAGUAUCUGAGCGAAAAACUACCUUGCAGUUCAUGCAAUCGCAUGGAUGUUAUUCUUUACAUAGCCUUCUUGCCUUUCCAGCAACUAGCCAUAUGCAGUUUGUAGGGUACUUUCUCAUCUUGAUAGCUGAUUGAGGAUCUCUUGGCAGUCACAGGUGAACAAGAUUACUUUGUUAAGACCAGGAUUUGGGUUUACUAACUGAAGAGAUUGAAACUGGUAGAUGAAUGCAUUGGAUAGUGUCCUUCUAUAGGAUAUUAAAGGAGAAGUAGGAAUAAGAAAAUUGAGAAGAGAGUACCUUACCCUUGCAAGAGAUGAGAAAAAUACGCACAAUAGCAAAUCGUACAGUUUGGCUCUGAUAACAGAAUUUAAUUAUGUAUAUUUUGGAUUCAAGUGCCUAAGAAACUAGUCCCUAUUAUAUCAAUUGUUUCUGGGAUUAAUCUAGAAUUUCCGUGCCUUCAACAAAGUUUUACUUCAAAUACUGUUUGACUCAUCAGUGUCAUCUAUUUCUUCCUCAAACUGGAAAUAGGUUUUAAGUGAGUAAGUAUCCUAACCGUCUCCCAUUCUUCCUGGAAAUUGGUUUCUAUCUCCCAAGAACAUUAAGAACCUGUUCAAUUGCAUUUGUUCUGUCUUUGAUAGAUAGGGUAAACUUGCAAUCCAGAAGACAAAUGCAGAAAUUUAACUGGUAUGCAGUUGAAAAGCUUCUAGGGAAGGAGCAGAAACAAAAUUAAUGGUAUAGUCAACAUUAAUGGCAUUGUUUAUUGCUUAUUGCUUAUUUCAAGCAUGAUUAAUAUAAUAGGUUGACUUACUAAGGAAUUGGCUCUCAGUUAAUGCUAAUUUUGAAUUGGUAUUAGGCUUCAUAUGUACGAAGUUGAAUUUAGGUGAAAUAAUGUUUAUACAUUAAAAGUAGGAGAUUUGGUUUUAUGGAAAAGUUUCUUUUGAGAAUUUAUCAAAGAGGAGAUUAAUGUAGCACAAAAAACCUAUAGAUAACUAUGAGGAGAAACAAUAGAUAUUUUGCAGAUGAGGAGAAUCAAUAGAUAUAUUGCAGCACCUGUAGAAUAGUCUUGCUUAGUAUCUAAGUCAAGAACAUACUUGGUACUCAUCAACCUUCUUGCUUUGCCAUCUGAAUAUCAAAUACUCUUAUUUGGUCCUGCUUUGAUGUUUCUGCCUCUGAAUAAGAUGUCUAGAAUCAGUUCACCACAUGAAUUUAGUAUGCAGCUGCUUUUGCUGUCCAAAUAAGUUUUCAGAAAUGAAAUAGAAUUUUUGUUUUUGAGAAGAAGAGCGAUCAGCAUUGGUGAUUUAACUGUUGUGAUUUUUGACUGGACUGUUUGUUGAGAGUUGAGUACACGUUGAUGCAUCAAUUACCAACAUGCAGAUGCUAUACUCCAUAAAUUCUGGUCCUUCAAUGGGGAUAUUUCUUGACUCUGUUUGUGUCUGACUUUGGUGAAAAACGUAGGAUACAUCAAAUAUUUAACUUGGCCCAUUUGGUAACGUUCAUGUUUUUUUGUUUUUGUUCUUUUCUAAGAACAGAACAAAAUACUUAUUCUGUUUUUAUUUAUUUAUUUAUUUUGCAAAAACUGAACAUAAACACGUUUGGUUUACAAAAUUGUUUAAAAAAUGAAAAAAAUCAAACAUGUUUGGUUAGAGAUGUUUCAGAGGAAAUUUUGAUGCCUGGCUGCCAAAGUCAACAGACUCAACACAAUGCAGUGGAAGAACUUCUUGGAAUCAGCACCAAAUCUGAAAGCCUCAAAAGAUAUCUUAUAUCCAGAAUAUGAUUUAACAUGUUAUUUUGCAAUCAAAUGAUAUCCUUUACCAAAUCCUGCAAUAAUAGAUGCAUAUGACGGACAUGCUAAUAUAAUCACCGAAUUUGUUAAACAUGUAUAACAUUAAUUAAUAACUAAAUAUUAAAUAAUCAGAAUAUUUCCACCAAAGUAUUAAGGCUAUUUUCUUUAUCUUUCUGUCUUGUAUUUUUUCUGUUUACAUACAAUACUUAGAAGAGCUGGAGGGUGGGGGCAAAUCACCAAGAACAAUUGCUGGAAAAACACAAAGAUAGAGCAACUAGAAACAAUGUUAAUUGUACUUAAACCAGAACAAUAAGCUUGGGGUACAUUUUCAGGUUUAACUUGGCUUCUUGCUUAUGCCCGGAUCCCACUCUCUUCAGCUAUGAUUUAAAUGCAUCGUGUUAAUAAAUAAUCAAACAAAAAUACCAACAAUAGAAGAUGGAAAAUCUUACUUGAAAUUCCCUGUUUCCUGUCGAAAUAAUUAACUCUACAACACCCACAGAAUAUUUUUGGGUUGUAAAAAUCUAUUGGUUUGCAAACAAGAAAAAAAAAAUUAAAAGGGCAAGUUUAGGUAGAGUUAAAGGGACAAACAUUUAUGAGGAAAGAAGAAAUCAGAAGGGAUCAUUCUAGGGCUUUAAUUCUGGAGAAAAAAGAAAAGAAACCAGAAGCAGAUGACAAAGAGAUCCAUGAUCUAAAGUGGGGAGGGCCGCGGGAAGGGUGCAGAGGAAGAGUAGGAGGAGAGGAGAUCACCAAUUUUAGAAUUUAGGGAGGGAGAAAGGAGUGAGGGUUUGAGAAAGUUACCUUGAACAGCUGAACUGAAGUCUCAGAGCAGGAGAUACAGAGUGCGACAAUGAAAAAUUGCUAUAAGGAGAAAUAAAAGGGCUCGUGUCCUAAAUGUUGCUUGUCGAACAACUAGAAACAUCUUUUUUGGUGUAUCUAAAACAGGGCCCCUCUUUUGAACCAUUUCAUAUUUGGCAAAAACAGAAACAACCGUAACAAAAAUUGUUUUUUGUUUUCGUCUGUUGAAUUCUCUGAACAAAAACAAAAAAACACCAAACAAAAACAUUACCAAACGGCCCCUUCUGAAAGUAAAUCUUCGUCGUGUUGGAGAAUUUUGAUAAGACAAUUGUCAGAAAGAAGUUAUUUUUGUUGGUGCAAAAGUUAAAGUAUAUUCUGUUAGUAAAUUCAGAAGCAAUCAAAAGACAGCUGCAUUUUUAAGAGUUUUUAGAAAAAUGCUAUUGUAUAACUUUCUUGAAGAGUAGAGCAUGAUAUAUAGGUUGUUGGAGAGGGUGGUGGGAAAAAUUUUGCAAGAAAAUUUUUGAGAAACUGCUUUCCAACUGAACAACUUCUGGGACUUUCAUAUGCUCACUGAAUUGAAUAGUAAUCUGUUUGCUUGUGGUAACUGCUAACUGUUGUUAUUGGGUGAUCCAGAGUAGUGAGAAUCAUUAGCUGCUUAGUCUUAUUUGCGGCAUUUCUUACAUUUGGCUGCUUUAGAAUGUAUUAAUCACUAUUCCAGGUCUAGGCUUUAAAGAUCUUCUUUUCAAACAAGUUAGAAUCUGGGGGUAGAAGCUCUGGGAGAGCAUUUUGUAAACCCUCUAAUAUUCCGGUAUCACCAACAUUAGACAUGAGAGGAAAGAAGGAAGCUUCGGGAGAGCUUCUAAUUACUCGAUUCUACCCGAGGCAGGGAAAGAUGAUUUGGGAAAGCAUCUGACCUGACUUGGCAGUGAGACCGUCGGCUUCCCCUCCUCUCCUUUGCCUCUUCGGCUUCGGCUUGGAGUGCAGAUAAUAACCAGCUAGCUUACUGUACCUAAGGGGGGGAAAGGAUGAACAAUUUGGAUCCAUGUUACCAGCCUGGCAGGCUUCUAAAGCACUGCCAGUAGCCAAAAUAUACACAUUAACGAACCCCAUCUUGCAACAAAUAAGAAAACUACCUUCAAAGUUGUCCUUCAUUUUCUUUUUUAGCUAUGAAAUCUAGUGUUUCUAUACCAGCCUGGUAGGCUUCUAAAGCACUGCCAGUAACCAAAAUAUACACAUUUAACGAACCCCAUCUUGCAAAAAAUAAGAAAACUACCUUCAAAGUUGUCCUCAUUUUCUAUUUUAGCUAUGAAAUCCAGCGUUUCUACAUUCUGAGAAGAUUUUCUUUUCCUGGGCAACAAAUUUUAAGUCUCAUUGCAUUUUAAUUUGGCUGGUUUUCUUGGUUGUCUGUUCUUUUUUUUUUUUUUUUUUUAACUUAAUGGUCCAUGAUCUCUGGAAUGAUUUGUUUUAGUUAGAAAAUCAGAAGAUUAUAUUGACUGUUAAUUAGAUGAGAGUUUCUUUAAAACUAACUUGAUGACAUCCAUGGAAACAACUUUUCAAUCCUUCAAAGGUUUCAAGUUCCAUGACAAUUACUGGAGAUGACAAAUUACUAGAUUAGCUUGCACAGGUGUAAAAUUUCCGCUUUUUCUAUUGUUUUACAUCCUUCAGAGAAAUUAUUGAGUGUUGUAACUUUCCAUUUACUGCAAAUACGAGCGAUUGAUAUAUUAAACACAGCUGAUAACGGAAUUUGAUGAUUGUCAGAGUAGAGUGGUAAGUUGACAGAUUGUUUAGUUUCCUGUCAGUAUUUCAUGAAAGAUUUUAAUUUGUUUGAUGUUGUCAUUUGUUUAGGUUGAACUUUAUGACUGGCAAAUUGGCUUUCCAAUUUAGUGUUCCAGUGAUGUGUAGUUUCAUCACCAUUAACUAGAGAAAGGGAAAAAAAAAACAGUUAAUCAAUUUUUUCCUCAUUCUUUACCUGUCUGGAGGUUCAUUUAAUUUUUUAAUGCUUCAACAGAUUUUGUCCUGUUUUGGUACAUGGUAUUGGUGAAAGUUGCACUUAAGAAGAUAAAGGCUGUAUGAUUGUCUUAUAUUCUCUUCCACAAAGUUGCAAGUUGAACUAUUAUCUUAUAGACAAAAUAGAACUUUAGCAAAAAGAUCUCUUACUGAUUUUUUGUGUCAUAGUUGAUAUUCUUGGUUCUUCAUACUAAUGCUGAUACUUUAAUGGCCAGCACAAUAGUAGCAGAAACUAGCCAAAGUAUGAGGAUCAUGGAUUCUCGGGAAUUGCUCUCAAGCAUGGAUACUCUUAAAGUUCCAAUUCAUGGUGACGAAGUAGCGGUGAGGGUAGCAGCUGAUGUUGCUUCGCUGGAAUGUGGUAUAAGUGAACUUAAAAGUCUGUGUUGGAGACGCCCAGCCUUAGUGUGUAUCAUGGCUAAGCCACGGGAUUCACCUUCUACUGUGCAACUUUGUGUAGAGAAUUAUUGCUUGCUUAUUAAGCAAGAUGAUCUGGGUUAUGUUCCUGAAUCACUAAGAGAUUUUUUGGCUAAUCCAGAAAUAUGUUUUGUAAAUGUUGGUCCUGACAGGUUGUAUCUCGGGCCAUUCUUCCUGGAAAGAAAUGGGAUUGAGUUCAGUCAUUUAGUUUACAGGGUUCUAAGGAAGCAUUAUUUUAGCAGAUGGGGGUUGAAGCCUCUUGCAGAUGAAGUUGGAGUUGUUCUUGAAGAAUAUCCUGCUAGGUUUGGCCUAGACUGCAGGACUGAAGCUUUCUCUGCUGAGGAUGUCAAGUGGGCCAUUUAUCAUGUCUAUGCAUCUUUUAGGAUCAGUAGUAAACUCUUUGGUUCACUUUAAACUUCCUUUUUCUUUUAUUUUAGUAAGCUAUUUCUUCUUUUACAAUUUUCGUAAUUUUUCAAACAGUUGUAAAACUGUUAAACCUACCAUUUUUCUUCCCUCCCUCUCUGUUUGUUUCGACCGCAAUGUAUCAUGUAUUUGUAACGGUUCACAACAUGGCAUCCGCUUGGACGACUUGAACCUCCCUUCUCCAUAGUGGUGGUGCAUGUUUACUUAUUUGUUGCUAAAUAGUCUGUACUUCAGGAAUGCAGUAGCAGUAACUUUGGUGCCUAGCAAGUCAGUUAGAUAUUCUAACGUGUUAUUGUGUAACACUUAUCACAAAGGGCUGACUCUAUGUAGCAUUUAGCUAUGCAGAACAUUAAGAUCUAGGAAUUUGCAACAGGUUUGAUCCAUUUUCUAGUCCACACUCUGGCACUCCACGACUCAGUUUCCUGGAUGUGGUCUAUACUUGCUUAUGUAAAACGUCCAGAGGGAAAGAGAUUUGGUAGAGUAGCAAUGACAAAUGAAUUUCCUUUUGCUAUGCAACAAAGAUCUUUUGAGUUUUCUAGGUAGCUAAGAGGUACAAGCCACGCAGAAGUUUGCAGAACCUCAGUUUCCAGGAUGCAUGACAAAGAUGAAAGAUGAAAUCACCACCCCCUUCUGUUAAGUGGAAUGCUGUUUGAGCUUAACCUGAAUACUUGGCCACAACUUUAGUUCUGGACUGUAAGUACAAUCUCCCAUAAGCAUGCUUUUUCGAGUUUUUAUUAUCUCUACAAAGUGCAGAACAGCUAUGUAUUGAAUUGGCUUUCAUCAUCUCUAAUUACAUUAGUGAAAGGGCCAAAAAAACAUAGAAAGAAAUGUUCUGAGGAUUCCACAAUAGAGUUGUUUGUCAUCUUACAUUACCUUUCAAGGUACAACAGUUUUCCUGUUGUGAGUUUCUACAUUGUGAUAGAAUUCGCCGUUAAUCCCAAGGUCUUUAAACUGUUGAUCUCUAGUAUCCCAUGAAACUACCGUAUCAGUUAUCCAUCUGAAGAAGAAUAAGUUUGCCAUCCUGUGUAAACCCCAAUACCUUCUUUGUCUCAACAAUAAACUGUUUAGUCCAUGACUUGGUAACAUUAUACUCCUCCAUCACCCAUAUCUCAUAAUAGCAUUUCAUCUCUUCUUGUUCUCUUCCAUUAGGAGGGAGAUUCCACGAACAGAACAGCGCAAGUAACUCCUCGAAUACCAACAGAACCCCAUCCGACAAAGGUGAACGUUCAGCAGGCAGAACUAUUGCUGAGAACACCUCAUUACUGACAUGAAAUGCCAUGAUUGCGUCCCAAACCUCAUCAUCCCUUCUGCUUGCCAGCCAAUUUAUUGCUCCAUCGCACGUUACAGGCCGAUGAUGAGCAUAAUCAGCGAUACAAGGAACACCUGCCUGGAUUGUUCUCCAUGAAUCAGUGAUUAAACUAUAAACUUCAACUUCGCAAGCCACUUUGCCCAACAUGGUUGCCUUGUUAUAGGGGUAAUGUAACCAAUCCUCACAAUCUUAUGCUGAUCAGUCCAUCGACAAUAUCCUAAUACAAGGCUGAAAAACACUUCUGCGUGGCCAAAAAACACAUCUCUUGGGAAUGCGAGAGAGAAGAUAGUUUGGAAACGGUUGGUUGCUGCAGGAUUAUACAAGAAGAGUUUGGUUCCUAAAAUUCUUCUCAUCCCAAAGGCUAAACACAUUAAACCAUGGCAUGAACUGCCUAUAGAAACAAGUUCAUGUGCCUCAAUACAUCGUAAAGGAAAAUGAUAUUUUCUAUGUUCAAGAAACCUCUCGUCUCUAAGUACUAAGCAAAAUUGUUUGGAUGGCUGCAUAAUGAUUCAACUAAAUCACAAAGAAAAAUGCAAUAAAGCCAGUUAAAAGAAACAAAUAGAUGGAUACAUAGUCGAAGAUAUUUGGAAAGCAUGGUCUUACUGGAGCAGAAAAAAUGGACGGAAUGAGGAAAUGGCAAUGAGAGAGGGGCCAGGGAUCUUGUGAGACUCUGCACCCCGGGAAAGAAACCCAAUCUUGCACCUCUCCAACUUCCACCAUUGCUGAUUCUUAAGAAGAUGAACAACAUUUUUUUUUAAAUAAAGCGUGUUGACUUCAGUUUAUUCUACUUGGGAUUCUUGUGAUAGUAUAUUGCUCGCACAAGAGAGAGAAAGAUGAGAGAUGGAAGCCUUCAUUUUGGCGGAUGGCGUGAUCUAAAGAGCAUUUUGUUUCACGCCUUUGAAACCAGGUAGCAGUUAUAUAUUACUCGGUUUUGCCAUAAGAUGCCCGUCUAGACCUCCUUCGUGCACCUAUUCCAUUUAUUUUCUGUCUUCUCAUUGGACACAUUCCAUAUUUCUUUUCAAGUUUUCAAACAAUUCACGUGUAGACAUCUUUUGGACGAAUACUCGAUGGGCACCCGUUAAACAAAUUGUGAAUAUAAACAUAAACAAAAGGUAGAAGGCGAAAAUUUUGAAAAGAAGACCAAAAUUAGGUCAUUGGCAUGAAAUAAAUUGAGUGUGUCAAAAUAACUUGCGGAUGGUAAAUUUCCUAGACAAAUUAAUUUUUGGGUAGAAGAAGGUUUAGACUCGGGGAAUGUUUCCCCGUUACGAAUAGAAACAAGUUCUACUCGUCCAAAAAUAUGUUAGAAAAUAUUUUCAAUGCUUAGAAAAGUUUGUCAAAACUUGAAAAAGUUGUAAAAUAUUAACUGUUUCUUUUCUUCAAUUCUUGGGAGAAGGGCAGAAAUAAUAAUCUAAGUCGUUUAUAGUUCAACACUUGACACAUUUGAUCAACUAAAUCCCAAUAAAAUUCUUAUUUUGUUAAAAAAAAAAACUUUGCAUGAUUAUGUUUGAAAUGAAUAAGAUCAUUUGUGUCGUCCCAACUCCUACAUGUUCUCAAUAAUACGAAUCUUAUGAGCUGGUGGUCGCAUGCUAUUUCAAGAUCCAAUAAUGGGUCGUUGGGUCCAAUGAAUAGAAUUAAAAUCAAAUCACUCAAAAUUCAAGACUUAGUGUUUUAAAGCAUCAAUUUGAUUCGAUUUGUUUCGAUUUGAUGUUAGUAUGAUUCAGGGAUUGUGCGUGUGGGACUUGGGAGAUGUGCACAAGGAUUGAGCUCGAAGAAAAAAGCGGAAAAAAUGAAGCUGACGCGGAUCCACGAACGGAUCCAUGAGGGACAGGUCCACGGGUCGUUCCUUUAGUUCUCUUUUUUUUUUCCCAAAACGAAACAGAUUCUAGCUGAAAAUGACGAAGGUAAGUAAAACGAAUGGGGUUAGGGGUGCUAGCAAGUCAAGCUGCUCGCGAGCUACGGUGCUAGCAAGUCAAGCUACUCGCGAGUAGCUCGCGAGCAGUUUGAUCAAAAGCUUGACUCGAGCUCGGUAAAAUCGAGCUCGAACUCUACUCGUUAAAUUUAACGAGUCAAGUUUGAGCUCAAGAAAUAAAUAUUCGAGUGCUCGUCGAGCUUAAUCGAGCUUUCAUAUUUUAUUUAUAUUAUAUAUUUAUAUUAUAUAUUUUUAAAAAAAUUAUAGAUUUAUUUCAAAACUCGAGCUCGAGCUCGAGUAGCUCGGGCUUGAUAUUUUACUCGAGCUCAAACGAGUCGAGCUCGAGUUUAGUUUUAUUUCAUCGAGUCGAGCUCGAGUCUAAAUUUUUUUACUCGAUCGAGCUCGAGCUCGAACUCGAGUAGCACAAAUUUUGAUCGAACUCGAGCUCGAGUAUGGUGCUACUCGAACUCGACUCGGCUCGAUAGCACCUCUAAAUGGGGUUCAACCGUUCAAGUGGCCUUUUGCUUUUUAUCAUUUUCUACAUGAAAAAUGUAAGACACGUAUCAACAUAUUAUUGGUAUCUGUACUGAAGAGUUGACAUUCAGCUCGUGACUAUAUAUUAUUGAUUUAUUUUAAUCAAAUGGCAACAUCCCCCAAGCGGAGAGCUCGGUCGCAUGUGGUAAUAUCUUGUAGGUCACCAAUUCAAAUCCCGCUCAGACAUCGCGCUUGCAUUUUUGGACAAGGCUUUGUAAAUUAGGAGGUGAAUUAGUCUGGCUAAAUUCAGAUACUGACAUCGCGCUUGCAUUUUUGGACAAGGCUCUGUAAGUUAGAAGGUGGAUUAGUCUGGUUAAGUUCAGAUACCACCUUCUACUGAGGAAGGAAAAAAAAAGCAUAUAAAGCUCACUUCACUCGCAUUGUUUUGAUCACCAGUGUCCCAGACACCAGGGGCGGAGCCAGAAAAAAAUCUUAGUGGGGGCACAAAUAAUACUAAAAUUUUUUAUCUACUCUUUUUUUAAUUUUUUGAGCAAAAAUAAAUAAAUUCACUAACAAGUACAAUUGAUAUGUAUAUUCCAUGAAAAAACAUAAAAAGACAAACUCAAAAUUAUUAAUGUAAUAAUAAUUUUAUUUAAAAACUUCUUUAUUGUCAUUUUUUGCACCUUCAUUAUCCUUGGCUUCUUCUUUAUUAGAUGGCUCUUUUUCCAUUGAUUUCCUCUUGAAAUAUCUCUCCAUAGCUAAAGAAAUUAAAAUCAAUAUAUAAGAUACUAAUCCAAUUAAAAUAUUAAAUGUACAAUAAAAUCUAAUAAUCUAUCCAAGAACUAUUUUACAAGUUAAAGUUAUUUAUUAAAUCAUUAAUCACAACAUAUCAUUACUAUAUCAAAUCACAACUUAUUCAUUCAUUACUAUAUCAAAUCAUUAAUCAGAAUAUAUGAACCUAAUCAAGUUAAUUAGACAAAAGGAUCCAUAUAAGAAUAAUUUAAAAGUUAAAAUAUAUGUCAAAUGGCCCUCUAUUCAUCAUUACAUUAACUCCAAAUAAGAAACUAAUCAUGGAAAAUAAAAAAUAAAUUAUAAAUCUAUAAGAUCACCAUUUCACAAGUUAAAAUAUUUAUCAAAUAUCAAAUAACCCAUUUAUUAGUUAUUACAUUAACUAAUCAAUUUUCAAAUUUCUCUAAAACAGUAAUAAUCCCAUACUCUAGAAAUAUAUUUGCAAACAAAUUUAAAAUAAUAAUAAUAAGAAGUAAUUGUUUAAAACCUAAUUUCAAUGGUUUCCCAAAAUUGGUGAAAAGAGUUGCAAAUCAGUGGCACUGUGGCAGACUUAGGUCCCUUUACUUCCUUUGUGCCCCGUAUCACGUUAUUUAAUUGGAAAGAAGUCAGCUUCAAGGAUUGGUUUCUUGCGAUUGAACUGAAGAAAGCAGGUCUUGGUUUUCAAAAGCCUACUCCUUUAAUGGAACACUGUUUGAAGUAGUCAACAACACCAGAGACCAUUUUCAGUGGGGACAACCAAGAGGCAAAAGAGGAAAAGAAAAUUGGGAAAUGGGGACAAAGGAAGUAAAUGAUUAAUGAUGAUUGGAUGAAGUAAUAAAAAAAAAGAGUAGUUAGUUGGGUGUGGAAGAAGAGGAGUCGUGGGUUGUGAAGUAAAAUGGGGGACCACAGGAGUAAAGGGAACUUGGAGAGUGGGGACCAAAAGUAAUGACUGAUAUAAUUGAUAUUUGAUCCUUAGAGGAGGAAAGUGAAUGAUAUAAAUUUUGUGACCCAUUCUUUCAUAUUUUUUUAAAAAAAUUCUGGGGGCACCAGUAAAAUUGUAUCAAAAUUAUAGGAGUAUUAUAGGAAUUUAAGGAGGGCAGUGGGGGCCGUGCCCCCAGUGCCCCCACUGUAAAUCCGCCCCUGCCAGACACUAAAGGUCACAUACUUAGAUUUAGAUCAAGGGUCUGUCUAGUUGAAAUUUUGUUCAGUUUUAUCCAGUUGUAUAAUUCAUACAAUAUUUGGUAUAAACUAUUACAACUUAGAUGUAAAUAUAAAUUUUGUCAACUCGUAUGACUAAUUCAUAAUUAUACCAUAUUUGUAUGUAAAACAUUGUAAGAAUCACAACAGUUGGACACAAUCAAUUGAAGAAGCUGCUGAUCCCGUGGCUCCACUUUUCACAUCUCUUCUUCAAACACUCCACUUUCCACAUUAAAUCAUGGGACUAAAACAAGAUACUUCAGUACCAAGAUUCAGCCCAAAGAAAAGGAAUAAGAAAAUUUUGGUGACUAAGAAAAUUUUACAAUCCACCCUUUUGUUGGACGAAACAUUUUUAAUUCGUGCGGUAAUACAUCAUCUUUUAUGGUAGAAGAAACGGCAAUAUACACUGAACUGAAAGGUCAUUCAUUAUAUGGUAGGCAAAAAGGUUCAGGAAUCAUCUACGCCUGCAAAAAAAUAUAUAGAAAUAGUAGUCAGGAGAGAUGUCUACACAAGAAGGUAUCAGAGCUUCAAAUUAGAGCAAUCAGAGAAUCUCUCUACCUUGUUAACUAUGUUGUUCCAGAUCCAGUCCAGCCCCUCAUAAAGCCCUUCCCCAGAGAUGGCACAUGUGCUUUGGAUAAAGCUGAGAAAGGCAAGAAAUCAGUAUUCAGUGCAGGAAAUCAGCUCGUUCGUGCACAUGUUUGCACUUACUUAGGAGACAGCAGAGUUGGAGAGAGAGAUUACCAGUUACGGCGAUGGAGGAGGGAGUGAAGACCAAGCUUGUCUGCAAUUUCUGCAGCGGUCAAUGCAUUUGGAAGAUCUUGCUUGUUUGCAAACACCAGGAGGAGUGCGUCCUUAAGUUCAUCCUAACACAUGCAUCAGUUCAGAUCAUUUUUACAAGGAUCAGCGCAUGUCACUGAUCUUCCCUGCAUUUUGGAAUCCUGGUAAACUGAUUUCAACAGGAGGGGUGCACCCUCAAUCAAGCAUCUAAUCACCAUCAUGACAUGGAAAUAAGCAAAUCAAAGCAAGAACUACAAGGAGAGUUCAUCCAUGUUGCAUGCAUGUUUCUGACUUCUUCCAUUAAAAAAAAAAAAACAAAUGCAGCUUAAUAAAAGUACGUUCAUUUCAAAGCAAUGGAUUAGUAUACCGGAUCAAUACCUGACUCAACAGCUUUUGCAGGUACUCCCGAGCAUCAACAACACGAUCUUGGUCAUUGCUAUCAACAACAAGGAUCACUGCUUCAAUGUUUUGGAAGUAAUAUCUUGGCAAUGGUAGUCUCUGAAGAUGAGAAUCAUCAUGGGGCUUACUCUUUGUGGUGCCAAUUCAUAAAAGUAAAAUGUGGAGAAUACUCAAUUUUCACGAAGCACAAACAGGGUUUAUACAAAUACCCCAUCUCGAUUUGAAAACUGAGGUGUUAAAUUACACAUCAAAGGCAAGGUAUAUCACUUACAUUGUUCUGGCCUCCAAUGUCCCAGAAAGUAAAGCUCAUGUUCUUGUACUCCAGGGUCUCCAAAUUAUAUCCUGGUAUAAAGCAAAAUACUUCACUCACUAGCAGUCAACCAGCAUAUAUAGCAAUUGAAAUACAAUGUAGAACAAUAAACAGGAGGACUGUCAAUGAAUUAACAGAACAUACCAAUCGUAGCACCCGUAGCUACAACCUCCCCUCUCUUGAGCUUGUACAAGAUAGUAGUUCUCCCAGCCAUAUCAAGGCCAACCAUUAGUAUGCCAAUCUCCUUCCUUGGAAAGCUUGGUGAAUGACAAACCCAUAAUGUUUCCUUGUUAUGUCUGCAGCAACCAGAAACAAAAAUAAGCCAAAUCAGGAUACAAAGAUUUGGAAACCAUUGCAGUGAGGUGAUGACAUUAACAGGAGCCACUGAGACUCCUUCAUGAAAGAACUCAGCGAGUUUACAUCAAAAUAACUCGAGUCUAAAAUCCGAAAAUUAAGGCUUCAGUUUCGAGGGUUUAUUGACGGGAAUCAGGGAUACGAGCAUGGUUUAAAGUCACGGUGGCGGUCGCGGGCGCGGCCCGGAACAUUCCACAUCGGUCUCGGCAUAUCGGUCGCGGUCUCGGUGAGAUGCAAAUUUUAAAGUAGGCUAAAUAAAAAUAAUUAAAAAAUAGCAAAAGAAAUGGCCAAGUCAAUCCGUCGCGAUGUGACUCGGUUGAUUUCUCGUCUUGACUCGGGAUAACUCGGAGUAACUCGGUGUGACUCGGCCGAGUCAAUCCGUCGUGGUGACGACUCGGCCGAUUUCUCGGCGAGUCAAGUAUUUCGGUAUCGUUUCGUCACGGUAUCGUAUCGGUAUGGGCCGAGACGGUGACGACUCUGCCGAGACUUCGAACCAUGGAUACGAGUCCUCCUGUUACAUAUUACAAUUACGCUAAUUCUUCGCAGUAGAUCCUGUGUAAUAGCUUUGAUCAGGCAAAAAGAUGAUUUUUAGAUUAAAACACAUGAUUCUGAAACUGUUAACAACAAUGACACUGCUGUCAGACAAGUUAGAUUCAAAGGAAGAGAAAUCUAGCACCUUCAAGAGGAAGCCUUUAAAGCCCACUUAACCAACAACACUAAUUCUGCUUGAUUUCACUUUCACCAAGUCAAUACCAAGCCCUUGAACCAAAGCUCUCAAUAUCUGCAAUUCUCAUGGAAUAAUAUAAAUAAUUCACAAGUAAUUGGAGGAAAUAAAUUCACUCCAAGUAAAUGUAUCAAUCUCUCAAUUGGAGGAAAAAGGUUGGCAGCGGAAACGAUAAAAGGAGGCAAUCAAAUGAUUUUAUCACUCAAAGUCUGUGCAUCCUAUUGUUUCUUUGCAACAUCAGUACUGGUAGCAUAUAUAUAUAUAUAUACACAUGGAUAUGGGGAUGAUUAAGGGGGUUUCACAAUCAAUUGACUUAGCUUUCUUAGCUACAAGGAGAACACCAAGGUCAAAGUCAAACCCACUAGCAUGCAACCUCAAUCUAGCCAAUCAAAUCAUUUGCUCAGCCAAUAAUCAUCACUAAAUAAACUAGCUAGUUAGUUCUCACAACCCAAGAAAACUUGAUGCCAACAAAACCUACCAAUCAAUUUUGGACACCUAACACACCCACACACACACACAACUUGGUUUAAUCUACAGCAAAUUCAAGUUAGUAGUCCACACGCAUUAAGGAAAUUGUUACUAAUUUUCUGACAUCUUAGAUAACAUUUGCUCCUAUGUCAAAGGAUGCAAUUACAAGACCAUAUACAACUUUCUUUCAAUAGAGGGGCAUAGGCCAUUUCAUUGCAUGAUCUGUGUCCUCAUGGCCUAAAUCUUUUUGUUGGCAAAUUUUUCUCAAGGCUAUGAACUGCGUUAUCUUCCAAAUUGACAGAAUUCACAUUCUAGUUCUCAUCCCAGUGCCAUUAUUAUGUCCUUUGCUUCUAAAUCAAUUAGCUGCAUCUUUUUGAAAAAGUAUUAUUAUGCUUUCUCCAUCUUGUGUUUGUCUCCUCAAUGAAAUUCUAUCUGAUGAGACGUUGUGUUCUCAAUGAAAUUCCUUCUCAGGGGUUGGGACAAAAUCUUUGAUCCAAAAGUGCAAAGUCAAAAAAGCUUUUUACGGCAAUUACAAUAACUCUUCAUACUAAACCUAUUGUUAUAGCUUCUUGAGUGUUGACAAUAUUCUAAUUUAAUCAAAUCAAAUCACAUUUUAUGUGGCUAUAUAUACCAAAGCCGUUACUACCCAUGAUGAAUUUCCUGAUACAUUCUACGCAAAAGCUGCAGCUUGUUGAAAAGCCUCUAAUCUGAUUGAUCACAUCGCUACCCAUUUAUGAUGGUGCUGUCAAAGUUACUGAAAGGAUACAUACAAGCAUCAAUGAAUAAAUUAGAACAAAGUUUUCAUCAGCAAUAUGAUACAUGUGAUUGCUGAAUUAAACAUCAAUAAAGUAGAAACUAACUAUUGCUGGCAGGCACGUUGAUGUGGUUAACAAUAGCCAGAUCAUUUUGAAGACAAAAUAAAGAUAAAAAAGUGAAAUACUUAUACUAAAUAUGUAACAACUCUUUUGAUGCUUAUUGAGAAAUAUUUUUAUAAAUUAAUAGAUGUACACUCAUUUUAGAUUUCAUAUGACGAUUUAGGAUAACUAAACUUUGUUAUAAGGAAAUGAAAGCAAAUAUAUUUCUCAUAAAAAAGAUAACUAGCGCACAAAUGUAAAUAGAGAUCUAAAUUAGAAAAGCAAAAGAAAAUGGAAAAGAGUCAUGAGAAAAAUUUUCUAUGAUAAGGGCAUAAUUGUCUUUUCAUACUCAUAAACAUUCGGCUCUUCGUCAUUAGGCUUAGGGGGCGAUUUACAGGCUUUGUGAGUGAUGUGCCAUUGACUGCUAAUUAUAGGGAAGCGAUAUGUAAUUAUUGUUAAAUGCUGAAACCCCGCCCCCCCCCCCCAUGAACUAUAUACUUUGUUGCAAUUUAUCUUCCAAACUAUUUUUAUAAAGCCCUUUGCCUCCUUUCGUGAUAUAGUUGGACAAAUCUACCCCUUUUAUCUUAAGCAUUGUUAUUUUUCUUUUUUCCAUAUCAUUUUCUUUUAAAAUUUUUCAUCUUUAUUUUCUUUAAGCAUUAUUUAGAUCAAUAUACUAGAUCAGUCAAAACUUCCUUAUUUCUUAAUUCGCAUCUCAAUAUUUUAUAAAAGAAUUCUAUGGUAUACAAGAUUUUUUUUUUUUUUCAAAUGUUGAAGUCAAUGUCAUUUAAGAAAUUGAAUAUUUAGAUACAUAAGAACAAAAGAGAUAUUAAUUAAUCAAUUAUUACUAGUAUCAAUAACAAAUAAAAAUGAACUAUUAUUGUUGUUUCUUCUUAUCUUUUUGUUUCACUACACAUAACAAUUGUGAACUUUUCUUUCUUACGUGAUAUAUAAUAUGUUAUUUUCGUUAUAAAUAGUUGAGUAAUUGUGAACUCUAAUUAGUUUAUAGGUACUUAAAUUGUUGAAUUACUAGAUAAACACAGUUUACACUGUAAGCUAUAUAUUUUUUCUAAUAAAAAAGAGUUUAUUAUGAAUUAUUAAGAAUGAAUUUAACAAAUAAACAAAUUAAAAAAUAGUUUAAAAAUAUUAAAAAAUUUUUAUGCAAAUAUUGGCUAGUUCCAUGAGAGAAAGGGAAAAAAGAAGAAAAGAAAAGGAAAAAGAAAAGGGAGAAAAGGAAAAAAAUGAAAAAAAAAAGAAUAGAGUAAAAAGAAAAAAAUUAAUAUAGUAGGGGUAGUGUUGUCCAAAUAUAUUAUUCGAGGGGUAAAAUGCCUAUUAUUAUAGUUCAUGGAAUAAACUGCAAUUGGAUAUAUAGUUUGUGGUGUGUGUGUAUUUAUUUAUUUAUUGUCCAAACAUAUAAUUCGGGGAGGUAAAAUGUCUAUUAUUAUAGUUCAUGGAGUAAAUUGCAAUUGGAUAUAUAGUUUGUGGUGUGUAUUUAUUUAUUGUCCAAACAUAUCAUUCGAGGAGGUAAAAUGUCUAUUAUUAUAGUUUACGGGUAAACUGUAAUUGGGUAUAUAGUUCAUGGUGUGUGUGUAUAUAUAUAUUUAUUUAUUUAUUGUGCUUUGAAGGGCUAUCAGUCCAUUGGAUGCGAAAAAUCUUCGGAUUGCAACCUAGAUCAGGUCUGGUGCCAGAACUUAUUCCAGUAGCUACGGGGAUUUGUCUAAGAUCUUCAAUUUAUGGAAUUGACUUCGACUCUGCUUUGGUAACCAGUCUGCACCAUAGUUCUCUUCCAUCCAUCUAUGGACAACGCUACAUUCGGAGUCCAUGGUGAUGCUCUUGAAUGUUUUUUCGUGAUUCAAAGCUGUUAUCAUAUUUAUCCUACUGUCUCCGCAAUUCUUUUCAGUUUGUACGGUGUAACACAAACUAGAAUAUAGUGGAAGAUAAUUAAUCAUGGAAUCUCUUUUAUGUCCCACUGGAUUGAUCUUUGAAAGCUUUUUAGUAACCAAAAAAUAUUUUUUGUUUUCUCUCGCUCGAAAUAAUUCAAUUGAUUGAAUUCGAGUUGAGUUGGAGCUCGAAUCAAGUCAAUUACGCCCAAUGUACAAGUGAUCAAAAUGAUCCAAUAAAACGUCCGAUUUCAUUCAAUUUGAUCCCUUUUUCUUUUCUUCUUUUUUUGAUUUUUGUAUGCAUCCUUGUAUUCCUAGUGUGGAUGGAUCCCAAAGGCAAACGGGCAAUUUUUAUUCUACAAGUUUUUGUAAAGAAGCUGGCAAACACUUGGCCCGAUAAUAGGGAUUAACUGAAAGUGCCUUUAUUCAAGAAAGACAAAUUAAAGCUAGCGUUCCAUGCAUUGCAUGAAUCCCAAAGCCCAACAAGAAAUCCUUUUCCGUUAUUCACCAAUUCUUUUUUUCCCAGUGGAAAUAAUUUCUUUCUAAGCUUUCUGUUUUUGUAUGACCUUCUAUAGUUGUCCUCUAGUACUACAAACUUUAUAUAUAUCCCAUAAUUUUCUUUCAUCACGAAGAAGAAGAAGAAGAAAGCAAGUUCCUUUCUUUUUUUCCUCUUCUUCGGUAAAGUAAUUCUUGAUUUUUUUUUUUCUUUCACCUCUUCCUUAUUUCGUUUGGCCUCCAUUAUUCAUCCAAGAAGUUGAGAAUUGGAGAAAGAAGAAAAUGGCUGGUGGUUUCUUGCCUUUCCUGACGAUGGUUAUUCUUCAGCUAGGCUAUGCUGGAAUGAACAUUGUAUCAAAACUUGCCAUGGAUUCAGGCAUGAACCCUUUUGUUCAUGUUGCUUACAGGCAACUCUUUGCUACCUUAUCCAUCGCCCCAUUUGCUUAUUUCUUGGAGAGGUACGUUGCUAGUAGCUGCGGAUUUAAGUUGAUUUUGCAUGUAGAAUCAACAUUUGAUAAUCCAGGCAGGAGUUUCUUGAACUUCAUUAGAGUCGAAAUGUGGUAUUCCAAUGAAACUGGAUUGAGUGUCAAACAUUAAAAGCUAAUUCACUCAACAUACAACCAUUUUUUCAUGGACUCUGCAGAUUUACUUGGACCAUCAAAGUGAAAUUUUAUGAUGAAUCUCCUCGCUUGAUUAAGAUAACACUGAUUUUUCUGUGUGCAUGUUCAUAUCGAUUGUAGUGCAUGAUCCUUGUGGUAAAAUUUCUUUGAUCAUUUGAUUUUUCUCGUCCAACAAUCAAGAAUCAAGAUAGAGAAGGAUUCUCUUUUCAAGUGUGGUCUGUUCACAUGAAAGGCACCAAAUGCUUUAGACUACUAUACUACGGUUAUGGACUGAAGAAAUAUCAAAUUCUUAAAAACCUGGAAACAAUAUAAAGAAAUUGCAACGCAUGCUUGAUGAUGGAUGUUUCACGGUUUGUUCGUGCUGUUUCUCACACAAGUCAAGCAGCCAAGCAGAGCAGUACCGCCCGAAAUCUGAUUUCUGCCUGUUCUUUCUUGCUUUGUCGCCCUUUUCUCGAUAGCUGCAGCAGCCCUUUUCUUCUUCUUUUUCCACCUUCUAUUUUAUCCUGCCUUCUUCCGGUUUCGAAAGAUACGUGUUAUUUUUUCCUGCUUCAGAAAGCAUGGAGACUUUUGAGAGUUUAACCAUUAACUCUCCAAAAGAACGUGAUGAAAGAGCGAUACUCUCUGUACUUAAAAUUUUUUUGUCCUGGUUUAUAUCCUGUACUAUUGGUAGUUCAUGCAAUCUGAUCUUACUAAGCACAUAUCCGAGUAGUUGAUGAAUAGCUCAAACAAAGCUGAAAAGGUGAUGAACCAGAACCAAUGAGAGAAUCUGUCUGUAAACUAUAGAGCCAUCUCCGAGCAAAAGCCUAACUCUAAGCAGUAAUACAUACUUUAGCAUAUAUUUCUUGUAAGGAUAUGUAGCCAUUUCUGUUAUUGUAAAACGAAUAGCUAUUUAACUGAAACUCAAGAAUCUUGAUGUAUAAAUGCAGGGAAACAAGACCCCGGUUAACAUUCUCGAUCCUUUUCCACAUUUUCAUGUGUUCUGUUUUUGGGUAAGUACGCGGCUAAACUCUUAUCUUUCUUGGGUUAAGAUGCUAUAUUUGGUACUAUCACUUUGCAUAGGUAGAUUUAUGCAAUAUUGGAAAGUAUUCCAUCAAGGAUAGUUAGUUCUGAAGCUAGAAUCUUCUAACUUAGGCUGAAAAUACAGGGCAACCGUGAACCAAAUCACAUAUUUUGUGGGGCUAAAGAAUUCUUCUCCAACUAUUGCUUGUGCCUUGUCAAACCUAAGCCCAGCAGUCACAUUUAUCCUGGCUGUGCCUUUAGGGUAAUUUUCUUCUUCCCUCUACAGAAUGCAAAUUCUACUCCUUUCUUUUUGCCAAAAAAGGCACACUUGGUUCAAAGGAUUUUACGUGUUGCUAAUACGUGUUUGACAGAUUAGAAAGUGCAGGACUGAGGGCUAAGGCAGGACAGGCCAAGGUAUUAGGGACUGUUGUGUGUGUUGGUGGUGCCAUUCUAUUGUCAUUUUACCACGGGCCAGUUGUCGGUGUGGGGCAGUCAAGAAUUCAUUGGAAAUUUGCGGACAACUUGAGGAAUAAAACUGUUAGCAACCAUGUAAAUUUUGUACUGGGGCCAUUUAUGCUGGUAGCUAGUUCUGUUUCCUGGGCAGUAUGGCUAAUUAUCCAAGUAAGCAUAAGCAAAUUCUUUCGGGUCUGCACCUUAAGCUUAUCUGUAACCUCCAUAUGCUGUCACCAGAUGAACUAAUGAUGGCUUCCUAUUAUUCUAUCAGGCCAGGGUGGGCAAGAUGUAUGCUGCUCCCUAUUCUAGCUCAGCAUUGACAUGUUUCAUGGCCAGCAUCCAGUGUGCGAUUAUUGGCUUUUGUUUCGAUCACCACUUAUCUGCAUGGUCGUUAUAUCCUGCCAUCCGAGCAGUCUCAAGUAUCUAUGCGGUAUGAACCACUGCAACAUGCACACAUUGGAGCUUAAAAGGCACAUAAAUGGGAGAGCAUAUGAACAAAUGACUUGCUACAAUUUGUGAUUCAGUCAAGCUGGUCCUUUUACUUUCUGACUACAGAUUGCCCCUAUUUAGAAGUUGCUUGUUUAGUCAUUUUACUUCUUUUUCCCCUCUUCCCUAGCUUAGACCUAUUGAUCCGCUUGUUAGGCAACGAUUUGUGUUAUGAUUGUUCUUGUUAAAAACAUUCAGCUGAUAGGAAAGGACUAAUGCAGGAUGGGACUUUGCUUUUCAGGGAAUUGUCUGUACCGCAUUAGCAUUUUGCCUCAUGUCAUGGUGCAUCGAACGAAAAGGACCCUUAUAUGUCUCGGUUUUCAGCCCUUUGCUGCUUGUCAUUGUGGCUAUUCUCAGUUGGGCAAUACUUCAGGAGAAACUAUACAUUGGAAUGUAAGUAAACUAACUACUCAGACAGGAGUACUAAUUUUUCAGUUUGAUAUCCCCCUCAUUUACUGCAACUAAACCAUUUGUCGCGAAUCUUAUUUAGGCCAAAACAAAAUUUCAUGGAAAAUCAGAACAUAAUUGUGUGAGCAUUCAUUGAUGUAGUAGUUGUUGUGGUUGUUGCAGGGUAAUAGGAUCUACCCUGAUUGUUAUGGGACUUUACUGCGUCCUCUGGGGAAAGAAUGAAGAGAUGAAGCCAACUAAAACUCCUGAUCAGGAGGUAGAUUCUGGGAAGCAGUUUACCAUGGAGGAUUUGGAAUUACAAUUGUUCAAGAAGUCAAACACUUCUGCAGGCACGAAUGGAGAGAAUUAGCAGUAUCACUACCUACAGUUCACUGUAAUAGCUCCACAAUCAAAGUCAAAGAUUUUGUGUAACUUGAAUCCAAUUGGUAACCAGAAAUUCAGGCUUCCCUGAUUUGCAUCUCACUGCAGGUUUAUGAACUAGGAGAAUGAGUAGUAAUAAUUGAAAUUGAUUGAAAAUGUUUCUUGAUGCUUUGUAGUAAUGCCAACUAGAAAAAACCUGAAAGAAGGACUUCAUUAGAUAAGUUCCCAAUUCAUUCAGUCCCAUAUGCUCAAUACAAUGAAGUGACUCCAAUACAGGGGUUUAGUUAACAUUCUUCAGAAUUUCUUAUUUGCCAUUUAGAAGGAAAAAAAAAAAAAAAAAUCUCUGAGUGCAUCAGUUGUGGCUACAGUUACUUCCAGAAAACACAGCAUGAAGGAUAGUAUCCAAAGGCGGACUUCGCGUUCUUCAUUAAGGCGCCGGUCCUGGUUUCGAUUCCGAGCUUGGGCAGCUUGGGGUAUUUUCUCGAGGAUCGGUGGGCCCGCUCUCCUUGGGGUUAAGGGACUAGUCGGGUAUAGGCCCGGAUACCCUUAACUGAAAAAAAAAAAAAAAAAAAAGGAUAGUAUCCAAAGGCAUUGGUUAAGCUCCUCUUCGAAACUAAUGCCUUUGGGACCAUACAAAAUAAAUUAUUUUAAAGUCUUCUGGCCAUUUGUAAUAUUUGUACUUAGAAUGAAAAUAUUAGAACGAAUCCCGCACGAAAGUGAUGAUUGGAAAAUGGAAAUUGGUGGCAUGAUGUGUUUUUCUUAAACAUAAAAUUGUGAUAUUAACUUCAUAUCUCUAUUCUAAAUUCACACUUUGUACAAAUUUCUAUGCCAAUGUUUCCGCUCAUUUAUACUAGGAAAAUCCUAAACUAAGGAAUAUAUAAAUGACUUAAACGACAUAAACAAACUAAUCAAUAGCAUACGUCAUUGAUUUCAGGAAUUUUUGUAUUUGUAUCUAUCGUUUAAGAAUGUCGUGAUUCAGAAUCGUUUUUUAUUGAUGAACUCUCGACAGUAAUACUACAAACUAACAGGCACCAAAGGUGGAGUAACUUGUGAAUGGAAAGAAAGGCAAGUUAGAUGAUUUUCUUUUCUGUUUUCUUUAUGCAUAAAAAAAAAUUAAAUUACAUUGGUAACUACGAGCUUGGAAAAAGCAACGAACCCUAGAAGUUAAGAGUGUUGUUCACCUAUGAACAUAAACAUUACUCCGUUGUCAGUGGGAACCAUUGUGACACAAAUAUAUUUUUCAUCGUGAAAGUGUGGGUUUCUCUCUCUAUCUCUCUUACUUUGUUUCCCAUAAACUUUGUGAUUUCAAGCUAUCCUUACAAUUAAUUUAUGUCAGGUUGAGUUUACCAUUCCCUCCGUCCUACUUUGAUAGUCCUGUAUUCCUUUUUCAUCUGUCCUAAAUUGUAGUCCACUUUCCAAUUGAAGAAUGUAGUUGUAUUUUAAUUUUUCUAAAAUACUCUUAUUCAAUGUAAGUAAUUGUUAGUAUAAACCUACCCCAUUUAAUGAGAAUUGAUUCUUUUUUUACCAUCAAUUCAAGUUCUCAUUAAAUUGUAUCAUAUUUAAUGUGAGGGUAUUUUAGGAAAAUAGCAAUCUAAAUUUACUUUUCCAACAAAAUUAACUACUUUUUCUUAAACUGUGUGAAAAAAAAAAAAACAGGACUAUCAAAGUGGGACGGAGAGAGUAUAUAAAUACAAAUUCAGAAAAAAUAUUGGAAAAUAAAAAGAGAAAGAAUAGAGAGAAAAGCAAAAGAAAUAAAGGGGAAAAAAACUUAGAGCCAGUAGAAUGGAUGGAGAUCCUUAUCUAAAAACGUCUUAUGAUCCUUAAGUUAGUAUAUAUAAAGGGAGAGGAAGAAAUAUGACGUAAAAUUUUUUUUUAUCAAUUUUUCUUUUAUCUUAUUUAUCGUACCACUAAAAAGUUUACUAUUAAAACCCUCUAAUAAUUACCAAUAAUUACUUAUUAUUAUUUAGUAACACAAAAAAAAUCACAUUAUACAGCCUAAUAAAACUUUUUAAUUAAUAGCUACUUAUUAUUUUUUUCUUGUAAAUUUUUUUAAAAUUUACACACGCAUAAAGUGUUCAUUUUGCACGAGUAACGAAUUAUACAGGGGGUGGAAUGUUAUGAAACUGAACAGAAGUGGGCAAAGCAGAAAAAGGCAAAGUUCAGGGAGAACAGCAGUGCAUUUGUGUAGGUAACUAGAAAACAUUUGAUAUAUAUAUAUAUAUAUAUAUAUAUAUAUUUUUUUUUUUGGAAGUAUGUUUUUAUUUAUUCAUGGAAAAUAUAACCAAAUAUUCCUCUUACAUAAUCCUCAUUUUUCUAAUUGAAGGUAUCCCUAUUCUGUCCAAACGGAUUGCCCCACGAGCCAAUCUUGGGAAUGUACUGAAGGUAUCAUAAACCUCAAUUUGUUUAUCUGGAUGAGAUAUACCCACAUUAGAUAAAGCAUCAGCAACUGUGUUAGCUUCCCGAUAGCAGUGCGUGAAUCUAGGUGGAUCAUCUAAUAACUGCCAAAUCUGGUUGACGUAUCUUCGAAUUUUCCACGGACACUGAGUACGACGUUGAAUGAUCCUAAUUAAAACCAAUGAAUCUGAUUGUACACAUAUGUUUCCAAAACCGUUAUGUAUACAGAUCUGAAGACCAAUAAGAAGGGUACAAGCCUCUGCACAGAGACAUGUAGUUUCUCCCAGAUAUGCCGAAAAACCAAUCAUUGGUAAUCCAGUGGAAUCCCGGAGUAUGCCCCCACCUCCACCUAUUCCUGGAUUACCCUUAGCACAUCCAUCCGUGUUAAGAGUAUACCUCCCUGUCUCUUUAGUUUCCCAGCGGAUACCUUGAUAUACAACCGUACCCCCAGGUGCCUUUGACCAAUCAUACAAUUGACAAAAGGAUUGUAGUCUUAUCAGUUGUUUAAAAUGUAUUCCUACCAUGGAUUGGAUUUCUGAGAAGAUGGCUUGGCGAAUGGCCGAUGAUUGCAUCUGGACACCCUCAAACAUUGCUUUGUUCCUUGCCUUCCAAAUCUGCCAGCAAAUUACACUAGGAAGAAUACGGCAAAUAAUCCUUCGUAACUCAGAAUCCUGUGAAUACAACCACCAAUCUACUAUGCGUGCUCGUAGAAAAGAUCCUGAGAAUUUUAUUCCACAUAACCCUCCAAAAUAAUUCCAAAGGAAUGACGCAAUGUGUCCAUUGGAGAAUAAAUGCUCAAUAGACUCCUCAGAAGCCUCAGUACAGCAAAAGCACUUUGACGGCAAAUGGAAACCAAAUUUACGAAGCUUAUCCGGUGUCGGUAUUCUCCUCAGAAGUAAUCUCAACAUGAAAAAUGAAACUUUCAAAGGUAUCCGAGGGUGCCAAAUGGAAGCAAAUACCAUAGACGUGGGUCGGGUCUGCCUAAUGUCCCCAAAAGCCGAAUGUAGAGAGAAAUUUCCAGUUGUUGUGGGCAUCCAAAUGACUUCAGCUAUACUUCCUUCUUCUGGGACCAUUUGUUCUGAAAUGGAAUAAGCAAUUUCCUUUGGCAAUGUGUGGUAUAGAAGAUUCAAAUCCCAAUGGCCGUUGUUUACGAAGUUUCGGAACAUCAAAUUUGGGAUAACCGGAACCUUUAGAAACAAUGCACCACUCCCCAACCAGUUAUCGUACCAAAAAUGACACGCCCCAUAUUUGGCCACCCAUAAUAUUGAGAGUUCCACUUGCCGGCUCAUAUUGAUCAUCCUUCGCCAAAUUGCCGAAUCCGUUGGCCUGAGUUCUACCUGACAAGGAUGCAGACAUUUACAAUACUUUGCUUUCAUGAAGGUCGACCACAGUGAUGAUUCUGUUCGGAAUUUCCACCAUAACUUGGAGGAAAAGGCUGUGUAGACGUCACAUAAUCUCCGAAAUCCAAUUCCCCCUUCCUCAACUGGAUAGCACAAUUGAGGCCAACGUAUCCAAUGAAGCUUCGAUUCCUCGGGUGAGGAUCCCCAGAGGAAUGCCGAGCAUGCCUUUUCUAUAGUUUUAAACACCGAACCGGGAAUCACUGCAGCUGACAUUAGGUGAACUGGUAUUGAUGAUAAUACAUGCUUGAUUAGAAUAAUUUUUCCUCCAAAGGAAAGUAACCUUGAUUUCCAAGACAGAAUCCUUGCUAGUAUUGCGUGACAAACUUCUCCAAAAUAAGAUGAUUUGAUGGAACGUUAUGCCCAAUAAACAAUAUCAAAAUGGUAAACAAUUGUGUACGCAAAAUCUAGUUUUACUAGUAGGGAUAUUGAUCAAAUGAUCUUGAAGUUUUUAAUGCUAUUCUCAAGACUUUUCUUUUCCUUUUUUCAUUGUAAGAUUUAGAGUUUUCUGUUGACCAAAAAAUAAUCAAUGAUAUGACACACGUGCACAGUACGUGUUUUUUUUAUUACUAAGUGCGUUAAAUCCAGUGAGUGUAGAAUUGAUAAUUUUACAUUACACUAUGUAAUCUACUUUUUUUUUUGUUUUGAAGGACUAAGUAAUCUACUUGUUUAAUCAUGUAUAAUAAUCUUUGUACAACUUUAAGCUUUGAAGCAUACAAAUAUUAUUUCCAUAAAUAUCAUCCAGCUUACUAUUAUCCCCCGCUCCUCACCUGCUGACGCUCUCCCCAUUCCCUUCUCCACCAGUCUUCUCCACAACUCCCCAACCUAUUUAAGCCGCCAGUUCCCCGUUGGAAAUAUUGACUCUACCAUUCUCCUCCUCUUCGGAUCUUCUGAAUCACUUCUCCUUCUCUACUGUUGUUGUCUUCCUCCUUCUUAACUCAUUAUUUGAGGCCAAUAUCUCUCUCUUAUUCAUGUGGUUAGCUUCUUGUGAUUUUGUUUUUUGUUUUUUGUUUCUUUUUUAAAAGAUUUUUGAGUGCCCUUGAUAAAAGUGAAGUAUAGACUAUUCUAGAAAUGCAUACCAAGGGAAAAAAAAAAAGAAAUGUACACAAGAAUUGUAUGUACAAUAGGAUUUUGAAUUUUGGUAUUCUGAAUCAAAAACUAGAAAUUUGAAAAGUUAGAAUGUGAUAAAAGCAAUUUUUAGAAAGAAAAAAGUCCAAAAAAAACUUUGAAUUGAGGCUAUUUAAUAGAAACUUCUGAUUGUGAGAUGGAAUCCUUGUUUGCGUUUUGCACAAUUUUUUUUUUGGGCAAUUUUGCUGCAAUAGUUUGUCAAUCCAAGAAAAAAAUAUAUAUCUUUUGAAAAAUUGAAGCUUGUUUUAUUCUUUUAUGCUUUUAUAUUGACAAUCCAAAAAUAGUUAUUGUUUUGUGAGAAAAAAUUAGGAACUCUUGUUAGGAGGCGUGAUGUGACCUAUAUCCACAGGGUCUAUAUAGGGGUCAUAGACCAGAUUCACUCAAGUAUUUGCACUUUACAUAUGGGUUAAUGCAAUAAGUGAUUUGCUAAAUUUACCCUUUACAUAUGGAACACGUGAUGAAUUCAUGAUUCACUUUCAUCAAAUUGACCUGAAAAAAUGUUGGAGGUCUAAAUAUGAGCACAUUUUUUAUGGUACGAACUAAAAACUGCUCAUUUCAUUUUGAGAAAUAAAAUUUCACAUCAAUGAUAUGUAAGGGACGAUUGAUACAAUUUUUCCCUUAUGAAAUGUAAUUUUUUACUUAUUGCCAACUAAUACUCAUUUAUCAAACUUCAAACCCAAAACCACGUGCAAUCAAAGUAAGGGCCUAUUUGGCAAAGUGAAUUUUUGCCAAGUUUGUUUUCUACCAGUUUUUUAACAACUUUAACUAUAGUAAUCUUAAAAAAUUUCUCAAAGUUUUUAAAUUAUACACUUCAAAAUACCCAAAACACAAAAAAAAAAUUUUUUCCUUCCUUUUUUUUUCUUCCACCUCAACCUACCACAACCUCUGCUGCCAUCUCUUUUUUUUUUUUUUUUCCUUUCUCUUCUCUUUCCUUCUCCUCUUAUCCUCUCUCUCCCAUCUCUGAUGAGAUAAUCAAAUAUGACAAACAAUAUCUCGUGGAUGUCAAAGCUGUUUGUCGGGAAAGGGCAUUUACUGGAAGUUGUCACAAACAACUUUGAACAGGGACUCAAUGCCGGCUUUCUCAUUGUGCAUAUAGGCUCGGUUUACCUGGUACUCAUUAAUGGUGAUACCACCGACGUUGGCACCGGAAUGAGCAGCGAUGGCGCGCAUCGGGCCGCCGACCCCAUAAUCGGCAUCUAGAAUGCGGGCGACCUUCUUGACGUGUAAGAGAUCGAUAACCAUUUCCUCAUGGAUUCUGGUGGCGUCUCGAUAGGACUUGCUGGGGAUGGAGGGAGAGAAAUGGAAGGAUUGACCCCAAACCCAGUGGUAAAUGUCAGUGACAAGGUUGUAGAAGGUGUCGACGAAAGCGGGGACUUUCUCGGCUGUCUCAAUCUCCUUGGGGCAGCUGAAGAAGGACUAGUACUAUUUGUACUUGUCUUGGACUUUCUUUUUAUUGAUAGAGUCGUCGGAGAGUUGGACGAUGUGCUUCCCUUUCUGUUCGGCGGAGAGGGAGAGGGGAAGGAGGAAGAGAGAGAGAAAGAAAAAAGGAAAAAAAAAUUGUUUCUGCUACAGCUUGUUCUGGCGCAGGAAGGGAAAGGUGGCAGGGGAGGGGAAAGGGAGAAGAAGAAGAGAGGAAAGAAAAGCAAAAAGAAAGAAAAAGAAAAAGAAAGAAACAAAAAAGAAACAAAAAAAUUUUUUCAUUAAAAUUUUUUUUUUACAACUUCUAUAGUAAAUUAUAGUAAAGUUUUAUACAAACAGCCAAAAAACUCAUUUGCCAAACGGGGUCUAAAUUCCUUUUAUGUUUUUGUCCCAUAAUCCCAUUAAAGUCUUCCAUAAUCCUAUGAGGGUCUCCAAUGCAUAUGAUUCUCAUUACAGAAUGGUUCUAAAGAUUAAUAAUUUGACCCAGAAAAAAAUAUCCAUCUUUUCAUUAAGCCAAAGAAAGUUAUUGCACGAAUCAAGCACAAGGAACAUGCAAAAUAUUUAGGGCUUUUAAUUUUAAUUUUUCCAUAAUUAUUUUUUUUGACAUCAAACAACAUGUUUUAGAGAAUCAAUCUAGGUUGUUUUCUAGCUAGAAGUGCACUAAUUAAGAUGAACAAGGGUAUGGAGGUACAAUAAAAGUGCACCAUGUUCAUGAACAACAUAGUGGGACAUUCUAGAUUAUUAGAUUUGGAGCUAUCUUGGUUAUUUGCACCAAAAUUUAGUGCAAGAUUGAGACUUUUGAAAUGAAACUGAGAUGCUCAUUGGAACUUGAAAAGCAGUGAAUUAGAGGUGGAUUGGCUGUUCAACCAAAAAUGUUAGGGCAAAUGACUUUGCAACUAGAAGUGUUGUAGCUGAAGAAGGUAAAUAGGAAUAAAUGAUGGAUUUUGAAAAUUAGGGUUGGGACAGUACUCACGGGUACUAGUCAAAUUUUUCACACGAGUAAUCCGAUUAUUUUAUCGCGUAUAAUGAUAUUCGUGGAGCUUUUAAACUAGGAAGAGUACAUGUGUGAUGUUCCAAGAAUAUUAGUUAACUAUUCUAAUGAAAUCCUUACCUAAUCCCCAAUUGAAAGUCCAUUGCAGAUUCCUAGCUGGGGACUUUUAAGAUUGAUCACACCAGCAAGAAAUUAACUUGCUAUUCUCCUCCGUUGAUGAAAUGCUGCAACUUUCUAUUUAAUCAAAGUCAUAAGUUUUUGAGGGGAAAAAAUGAAUCAUGAGGUUUUUGUAAUUUUUUCAAAUCUCAACAGAGGUGAUUGCAAUCAUUACAAACUUUAGGAGAGACUUUUGAAAUUAUGCCAAAGCCAAGCUUUGUUGUAUUCGUAUAUGUCACCCUUUACGCAAGUUUAGUCCAAGAAAUAGUGUAAGGCACAUAACUAGCACAUGUGUUUUAUUAUUAAGUAUAGAAAAGUCAGAAAAAUAGAAAGCAAAGUAUGGAUGGUACGAUAGGUGUGCGUGGUGUGUGCCGCUUAUUAGAAUGUAUUAUGAAGUAUAAAAAUGCAAGGAAAGUAAAUUUGCACAUUUUACAUGAUACUAGAUAAUCAAAUUGUUUAAUCAUGCAUAACUAAUGUGCUUAUAGCUUUUAAACUUUGAAGUAUACAAAUUAAUAUUUCCAUGAAGAUCAUUUAGUUGUUUUUAACAAAAUCCUUAGUUAGUCCUUUCUCCACCAACCUUCUCCACAACUCCCCAACCUAUUUAAGGAUGGCAAUGGAGCGGGGUUGGGGCGGGGGACUCGCUGCCUACAAAUUCCCCCCGUCCCCCGUCCCCUGCUCCUCCCGCCCCAUCCCCGCCCUGCCCUACCCCGCUUCUUUCCCGGGGCUAAUAAAAAUUUGUUAUAUAAUUUUAUUAUAGUUAAAUUUUAGCAACUAAUCAAGUACUAAAAUAUCAACAUAUCACCAAAUUAUUAUUCAUUGUAAAUUCACAAUUGAAAUUUAUAAAAAUAAUCAAACAAAAGUUAUUUGAAUACAAUCCAACAUGAUGAAAUAAAUACAACUAAAGUAGUCAAAUUUUCAUUUUUGACACAAAUACAAUCACUAAUUCAUUAUUGUGCUUGUGCUUUUUUUUUUUUAGAAAAAAAUGUUAUUGUAUUAAGUGUAAUUAGAGAUUUAGUAUAAAUGUAUUAGUAAAUUUAGUAUAACCAAUUAAUAAUUUGUAUUAGUACACAUAUAUAAUUAUUAAUAUAAUUGAUAAUAUCAAUUAUAUUACAUAUACUAAUAUACAUUAUAUACUACAUAUAACUAAUAAUAUUAUUAUCAUAAGUUUGUAACUAAUUAAAUUAUAUAUAAUUAUAUACAUAUAUACAUUUUAUAUAUUAAUUUUUUAAAGCGGGUGGCGGGGCGAGGGUACACUACCCCGUCCCCCCGCCCCGUUUCUAAGUGAGAGGGAAAAAAUUCCCCCCGUCCCCGUCCCAUUAGCCCCCCGUGCCCCAUUGCCAUCCUUAAACCUAUUUAAGUCGCCAGUUUCCCAUUGGAAAUUAGCUCAUUUUCGAAGCUCCUCACUCACUUCUCCUCCUCCAUUGUUGUUGUCUUUCUCUUUCUUAGCUCAUCAUUUGCCGCCAAUAUCUCUCUUUUAUUCAUGUGGUUAGCUUGUUGUGAUUCUGUUUUUUGUUUCUUUUUUGUUUUUAAGAUUUUUGAGUGCCCUGAUAAAAGUGAAGUAUAGACUAUUCUAGAAAUGUACACCAGGGGAAAAACAAAGAGAAAUGUACACAAGAAUUGUAUGUACAAUACGAUUUUGAAUUUUGGUAUUUUGAAUCAAACACUGGAAUUUUGAAAGGUUAGAAUGUGAUAAAAGCAAUUUUUUUAAAAAAAAUGUCAAAAAAAUUUUGAAUUGGGGCUAUUUAAUAGAAACUUCUGAUUGUGAGACGGAAUCCUUGUUUGCAUUUUGCAUGAUUUUUUUGGGCAUUUUGCUGCAAUAGUUUGUCAAUGCAAGAAAAUAAAUCUAUCUUUUGGAAAAUUGAAGCUUCUUUUAUUCUUUUACGUUUUGUUAUUGACAGUCCAAAAAUAGUUAUUAUUUGUGGGAAAAAACUGUUAACUCUUGUUAGGAGGAGUGAUGUGCCCCAUAGAUGUUACAGGGUCUAUAUAAGGGUCAUAAAUUGGAUUCAUCUAAGUAUUUGCACUUUGCAUAUGGGUUAAUACAAUAAGUGAUUUAUCAAGUUUACCCUUUAAAUAUGGAGCACGUGAUGAAUUCACUCAAGUAUUUGCACUUUGCAUACAGGUCAAUGCAAUAAGUGAUUUGUCAAGUUUACCCUUCAAACUAGAGUUUCCAUAUGAUUCUCAUUACAGAAAGGGUUCUAAAGAUUAAUAAUAUCACCAAAAAAAAAUGUCCAUCUUUUCAUUUAGCCAAAGAAAGUUACUAUACUAAUCAAGCACGAUGAACAUGCAAAAUAUUUAGGGCUUUUAAUUUUAAUUUUUCCAUACUUAUUUGUUUUCGACAUCAAAAAAACAUGUUUUAGAGAAUCAAUCUAGGUUGUUUUCUAGCUAGAACUGCACUAAUUAAGAUGGACACGGGAAUAGGAUGGAGGUACAAUGAAAGUGCAUCAUGUUCGUGAACAACAUAGUGGGAUAUUCUAAAUUAUUAGCUUUGGAGCUAUCUUGGUUAUUUACACCAAAAUUUAGUCCAAGAUUGAGACUUUCUGAAUGAAACUGAGAUUCUCAUUGCAAUUUAAAAUGCAGUGAAUUAGAGGUGGAUUGACUGUUCAAACUGAGAUGUUAGGGCCAAUGACUUUGCAACUAGAAGUGUUAUAGCAGAAGACGGUAAAAGAGGCAUAAAUGAUGGAUUUUGAAAAUUAGGGUUUGGAUCGUACUCAUGGUUACUAGUCAAAAUUUUCACACAAAUAAUCCAAUUAUUUUGUCAUGUAUAAUGAUCUUCGUGGAGCUUUUAAACUAUGAAGAGUACAUGUAUGAUGUUUCAAGAAUAUUAGUUAACUAUGCUAAUGAAAUUCAUACCUAAUCCCCAGUCGAAAGUCCAUCGCAGAAACCUAUAGCUAGGGACUUCCAAGAUUGAUCACACCAGCAAGAAAUUAACUUGCUAUUCUCCUAAGUUGAUGAAAUGCUGAUAGUGUCUAUUUAAUCAAAGGCAUAAGUUUUUUGAGGGGAAAAAAUUGGAUCAUGAGUUGGCAUUAGCUGAAUUAACAUGCAACAAAAUUCUUCACAUGUUGCCCAAAACAAAAAACCCUCCUGCUCAGGGUUGAUAACCCCUGGAAGAGGAAAUUGACAACAAUUUUGUGUUACACUGCUAGAUCUGGAUUUGCUGCCGUGGAUAUUUGAUCUUGAUUGUCAUGAAUGGCUUCCAUUUUACAUCUACAUCAUCUUCAAAGAAGAAGCAAGAUCUUUCUUGAUUUGGUACUGAAACCCCACACAUGUAAUCCUAAUUAACCAGGAAGAAAUUCAUUGUUCAGACCUUAAGACACUUGUAAGUACCAACCUCCAGCUGACCCUGAGACUACUAUGGGGUGAAGGCCAGAAAUUUAUUCAUUCAAGAACAGAAAAGUGAAGAAAACAAGAGAGAGAAGAGGCCACUAACUAGUCACAAUAGCUUCUGCAGGGUGGUAGAUGAGGCUUAAUCUAUAUACAGUAACCACCAGUAAGCGUAAUAUGGAAAAACAGAAAAAGAAAGAAAAUUAAUUUGAGCAAGGAACUCAUAACAAGAGAAAACGGUGCUGUUCACAAAUAUGUGGACAAUUGAUGUCAUAUACUGUUCAGUAUUCUACUGAUUAACAAGCUACAGAUGUUAAAUGGAGAAGUAAUUCAAGAAAUAGUGAAACCACGGAUUGGCAAAUUAAACAAUUAUUGACAGCUUUGGUAAGAAAUGUGUGUGUAUCUACUGAAUCAACUCAUCUAGCUUCGUAGAAAACGAGACUCCCAACAAAAAUAGGAUCUACAUGUCUUACCAAAGCAUCAAGGUUUCGAUGCUCUACAACGUUUCCCUUGCGAUCCCAGGUUGCCAAGAUAUCGCCUUCCAUCUGCACCACAAGCUUUUCAGUCUUUGUAAAUCCAAAUGCCUUGAGUUUCCUGAUGGAUGGAUUGUACAAACAAAUCUUCCUCCCAGUAUAAGUCUUCUGAUCAGUGAAACAGAUUAUUCCAUUGCAAGAAUUCGCAAUAGAUAAAAGGUUAAGAAAAUUGAAAACUGUUGGAAUAUCAAAUUUUCCAUGCUGAACGAAUGUGCUAUCGCAAUAUAAUGAAUAUGAACAUCGUUCAUCCUCUCUUAAAAUAGUAGGCAUGUGCAAGACAUGGCUAGAAUGGCUUUCACAGCUAGUGUAAGACUUAUUAGCAAGCGAGAUACAGUAAUUCUUGGGAUGUUCAUUAAUGAAAAUACGGAUUUUAAUCAGAGAGUACCAUGAGUUUGAGACUGUAGAGAAUCUUCCAAGAGCCUUCACCGGCAAUCUUGAGAGUAUCUCAAUUAUGAUUUCACGUGGGAAAAACUCAAAGAUGGAAGAGUUAACGUCAGAAUUUGACUGAUUAGGAAUACCCAUGUCUCAAAUUCAAGAAUGUCUCCGAAGUCAGAAAAGCAAAAUAAAAGCCCAAAAAAAAAAAAGAGAAAAAAAUGGUUUUGCAAAUUGAGUCCAAUUCAUACGUAUGAAGGUUGAGUGAAAGAUGAAGACAAUUCAGGUAGUGAGUCCAAUGCGAUAAGAGCUCACCUAAACGGGAAAAUUACGACGUCUAAUUAAUGUCUAGAUUGACUUAGAUUCAUGGAGUGCACACGUAGUGGCCGAGGACGUGGGCGCGGGCGUAGACAACCCACGCCGGACAGAGGUGCUGGGGAAACCUCCUAUGGAUCAAACCCUGAACCUAGGAUUGACCCCAACGUUCAAAUAACUGCUGCCAUGUAACAAAUGACUGAUUUGCUAGCCCAAGUAGUGCACCAAUAGGGUCAAAACCCUAACCCCAACCCUGGGAACCCUGGUAAUCACAUAGAGGGCGAGGAUAGAGCCUUUGAGAGAUUUCAAAAGUUCUUUCCACCCAAAUUUCUCGGAGGUCCUGACCCUGAUGUGGCUGAGAGGUGGCUGGAGAAGAUGAUCGAUAUUUUUGCUGCAUUACACUACACUGAGGAGAGACAGGUGACAUUUGCUGUCUUUCAACUAGAAGGAGCCGCCCGUUCCUGGUGGAAUGUCAUUCGAAUGAAGUGGGUAACCAAUCGAUACAAAUAUAGAAAUCCCCAAAAAUUAAGGUAGUGGACAUUAUUUAAUUUGUGGUUGGCAUAUUAUCCUCUGUCGUUUAGAAUAGGAUUUUUCCCAGAUAGAUUUGGAGUUCACCUACAAAAAAGGUACUGAAAAUCAAUACAUGUUUAUUAGAUACAGUCCUAUUCAGAGGAGAAAACGAUGUCAGGAAAACGGAAUUGAGGUAGUUUCAAAGACAUGUGCUUGCUAACAUGGAAAUUAUAUCAUUGAUUGAUUCAUAAGUGGCUUUUCCUUUACAUAUAUAUUAUCUUCAAACAAGAACUAUAGAUAUUUCUUUGCUUCUGAUCCCCAAAAGUUUUCCUAACUGAGAAGGAGUUUAAUAUCCAGAUCUUAGACAUUUGAAUUAUUCCUCCGAACAGCAAGACUGGGUGGAGACAAUUAAUUCAAGAACAGAAAGAAUGAACGAAAAAAAAAAUCCGUCCACAAUAAUAUCUGCAGGGUGGUAGAGGAUGCUAAUAUAGAUGCAGGCACAACACCAUUAGCGGUAAGCAUGAAACUUAUAACCCUCCUCCCCCGGCCCCGGCAAACCAAAAAAGGAAAACAAAAAGAAGAAAGAAGAAGAAAACUCGUAAAAGAGUACCAUGAUUUGGCGACUGUAGAGAAUCUCCCAAGAGCCUUCACUGGCAAUCUAGAGAGUAUCUCUGUUAUGAUUUCAGUUGGGAAAAAGAAACAGAUAGAAGAAUUAAUAUCAGGCGUCAGUUCAUUAGGAUUUUCCAUGUCCUAAAAUUCGAGAAUGAUGCUAAAGGUUAAAGAAUACCCCAAAAAAACAAAACCCUUUUAGAAGGAUGAGUCAUGGACUCAUGAGUGAAAGAUUAAAAAUAAUAUAAGCAGUGCACAAUGAGAUCCUAGUCAGAUUCGGAAAAGGAUAUUCCCUAAUUUGAAGAAGAGUAAGGAUUGCUGUCCGAAUCAGGCUAGUAUUGAAUCCCGAGCUUAUGGCAGUAUGGAAACUUACUGCUGAAUGGCAUUCAGCUGUUUGGAAACUCGUUGGAUUAGGUGAUGUGUCUUCUAUUUGGUUUAGCAUGCAAGAGCAAUAUUGCUAAAGGAAGGAGUAUGACAAACCUUAAAUAUAUUGCUUUAGUGCUUUGAGACAAAUUUAUUGCUUGAUUUGCUUAUGAGUUACUAAGAUCUCAAUUUUCUAAGACAAAAAUUAUCUUUUCUAAGAUCUCAAUUUUACAGGGUUAGACAGGUAAUUUUCAGGCAAAUUUGAGUUAAGAUGGGCCUAAACCCACAUAUUUUUGGGCUCUGUUAGACCGGACUUAGAGUGUGUUGUGGCCUGCCCGAGCUUACCCACUUGAAUAUGCAUACAAAAACUUCGUCAGUGAAUUGGAAACUAUCCAACGCAAACUUGGGCUGUCACAUGAACUUCUUUUUUUUCCGUGUGUAAUGGAAAGCAGUUUUUGAAGGGUUAUUUAUUUGGAAAAGUUUCCUUUGGCACUUUCGAUUGUUAAAAACGUGGCUUAUUUUAAAAACGUGUUUACAUUUUUUUUUUUUAAAAAACAUUCCCAUACAAUGAUGAAGUUUUUUUUUUUUUUUUUUAAAUUAAACGCAAUGGUGAAGUUAAACAUUGAUUCAUUACUUUUACCUAACAAAUUGAUAAAUUCUAAUGUUUUAUUCUCAUGGUUGUUUUUGUUUUAAUUUUCUUUUGAGAGAAUCCUAUGCCUCUUACAUAGAGGUAAACUACUCUGUGGUAAAAGGUAAAUUACUCUCUGUUGAGUAAUAAAAAAAAAUCCAAAAAGAAAUGUUAGCGCCCUGUUUUUAUAUUUAUCGUUGUAUGGAUCAAAUCCAUUUUUGUCCAUAAAGUGGUAAACCAAAUGCUUGGACGGUUAGAACCUCGUACACAGCAAAAAACUGAAAAAGACAUCACCCAAAAUGUCAGAAUUAAUUAUCAAGUGCUUAGACAAUACACAUCUUUUCUUGAGAAAUCUGUUUGGCUAGUUAUUUGUUCAGAAUAUAAUUGAAGCUAGGAAUGUAGCUUGAAUAGAGCAAGGUGCUUUGUCCCUCUACACAGUAAAAACUAAAAAAGAAAUCACCCAAAGCAACAGAAUUAAUUACCUUCCCACUGCCCCUAAUAAUUUGCAAAAACGGUUGGGAUAAUUUCAGAAGCCUCCCUUGAGGUUUAUGAUAGUUUCACUACCCUCCCCUGAAGUUUUCAAAAUAUCAUUAACCUCCCUUAAAACUAAUGUUCUUGUAACAAAUUACCCCAAUUCAAAAAAUCAACAAUGAAAAAAAUGAUUUCAAGAGCAAGAAGAAUAUUUCAUACCAAAAAUACCCCUUAACCUAUUACUAGUUGGUUAUCAAAAGGAAGUAUUAGUUAAAAAUAGAUAAUAAAGACUAAACUCUAGCAUGAGUAUAACAGAAUUUAGUAACAAUGACUUUUUUUCAUAGUACUACAUAAAAUAGCAAAAUCAAAGUAUUGGAGAGGAAAACUUGUUAAUUUGGAAUCAAGAUUUACGCGAAAAAUUCCUAAACUCUUAUAGCUAGUUUGGAAGCUGUGAUUUGACGAGAAAAGAAAAGAAGGUAAUAGAAAAGACGUUUUUUCUAGCAUUUGAGAGUUUUUGAAGGGGCAAAAAAGGAUGGAAAACAUUUGAUUUGAACGGAUGAGCUCCUACUAUUAUGGUUGCCAAAGUUUUCUGCCCAAAUGUGGGCGGGAAGCAUCGGUAAAGUUGAGAAUGCCUAAUAAAUUUUUUCUAAAUACCAAAUUUGUCCUCAAAUGUGUAUUGAACAAAUUUUUAUUGCUAUAUAUAUAUAUAUAUUUAUAUAUAUCCAAGAUCAUCGUUUUUUCUAUCUUAACUCCUAAACAAUAUUAAAAUCUCUUCUCUUCCUUUCUUUUCUUUUCUUUUUUUUUUCUUUCAUAACUUAACAUUUCCCAUCUUUUCUUUUCUAACCUAAACAUCCAAACUAGUUAUAUUAGUCUCAUAAUUUGAAAGAUUUUGAAAAGGAAUUGAACAAAACAAAGUAUGGCUUUUUUUAAGAAAAAAAAACAUCACAAUAGAUGGCUAAUGAUAAAAAAUAUAGAAUAUGCUAAAAUAUGUUAUGUUUUUUGAAUUAUUUCUUUAACUUACGGGGUCCACUAUUUCACACAAUUAACAAGAAAUUUCCAUCAUUUGUAAUUAAAAAAAAACCAUCUCCCAACCAACGAUUGGAUUAAUAAAAAGGUAUGAUUUUAAUGGAAAAGCAAAUAAAUCAAAGUAGAAAGAAAAGAAAAGAAAAGAAAAGAAACACCAAAUAUUUUGGAAAAGAAUGGAAAGAAUAGAUUAUGUGUAGUUACAUUUUAUCCAUAAUUUAAUAAAAUCUAAUUGUAAACAUAUUUUAAUACCUUACCCUCUUUUUGUAUAUUUUCAUAUGCAUCUUGUUAUUCUUAUGAAAAUUUUAUGAAAUAAUAAUAUUUAAAUAAGAAUUUUAAUCUUUUUUUACAAGAAAUAAAUUACAAGAACUACUAAAAUAUAGAAAAAGAAUUUUAAAAUGAUAACAAUUGUUGUUAUAAAAUUUAGUAUUCAAAAUUUUCAAUUUUUUUUGUAUUCAAACUCAUGGUUAAUUUAGUACAAGUGACUAAAUUGGUCCUCUCCGUAUAAAUACGUAAUUUUUCCUAAGUUGUAAGGAUGGUAAAGACAUUUGACCAUCCACAAGGUAAGCAUUGGGCUCCAAAUAACUUAUAGGGGAGGUAAGUAAUAUUUCUAAAACUUCAAGGAAGGCAGUGAAAUUGUCAGAAACCUCAGGCGAGGUUUCUGAAAUUAUCCCAAAACGGUUACGCAAAAACCUAUCAUCAAUCCCCUCAUAAAUCUCCCUACUUGUAGCUCACGGUAACCGCCAUCAUCUCCCACGUUCUCUCUCCCCUCUUCUCUCUCUCACUCUCUCUCCCUCCCAUUCUCUCUCAAUAUCUAUCACUCUCCCAAGUCACAGCUGAUCCUGUUAGUUUGAUUAGGUUGUUGGUUAAGGUAAAAAAGCACAAAACAAGAAUCUUAGUAUCUGUGCUAUAAUUCGGUCUACUGCUAUUCAACAAACAAAAGACUGCUUGUUUAAGACAUUAGUGUACUUUCCUCAGGUUCUUCUCUUCCUCUCUCUCUCUCUCUCUCUCUCUCUCUCUCUCGAAUGUUUUGAGCAUCUUAUGCACUCAUUACACACUAAUAGUAGAUUUUAUUGUGCCUUUUUUCUUUCUCGGGUCUUUUUAGUUUCCGUAUCUUUUCAUUGAACCAACUGUUUAUAGUCUGUCUUUUCCCCCUCGUCUCAUUAAAACCAUAUCAAAAAGUCUGCACUAGCUGGUACUAUUCUUGUUCAUCAACCUCGGAUUUUACUGUCGAAAUUCGCACUGACUAUUAUCAUUGUUUGUGUGUACAAGGAUUCGUGACUAAUGGCUUUGAGCUGCUAUUCCAACUGGGGAGAACUGGAACAACACCACGACUCAGAGAUGACUCUGCAGUUUGCUCAACCACCAGCAGCAGAGCUGUCUCCUGAGCUUCUUGGCUUCAACCACAUGAAUUUUGCCUUUUCAGACCCUUAUCUCGACCCUAUUCUUGAAUCCCAAGAUUUAGUUUACUCAGACAACUACACCUCUUUGCUUCCCCACUUUUCAUCUCCAUCUGAUGAAAACCCCAAUAGUUUAUAUUCCCUCGUCCCGGAAGUCUUUCCAGAACUCGAAUACCAGCCUUGCCACAGUGCCAAACGCCAAAAGAUUUUCGAGGGCUGCUACAAUAACUCGGAGGUAUUACCUUCAAGUUUUGGCAGCAGGUUCAUUCCCAAUCCACCAUUGAUUCAGGAGCUUUCGCCGCCCGAGAUUCUGUCUCCAUUUUCAGGAAGCUUAGCCAGUGAACCGCCAGUUUUUUGCAGUGGAGGUACAGGUGAGAUGACUGUGAAGAAGGCUAGUAAUGGAGGGACUUUGUCUUCUCAAAGCAUAGCUGCUAGACAGAGGAGAAGGAAGAUUACCGAGAAGACUCAAGAGCUUGGGAAGCUUAUUCCUGGUGGCCAGAAGAUGAACACUGCUGAAAUGUUCCAAGCUGCUUCAAAAUAUAUCAAGUUCUUGCAGGCUCAAGUUGGAAUUCUUGAAACCUUGGCUUCUGUUCAGGUAAUUCUACUUACUUCCUUUAUUGAGAUUCUUUUUCGUGCCAAACCUGUCAUUGUAAGUUUCAGGGCAUAGGAAUGGAUGGAGAUGGUGGGUUUUUUUUUUUAAAUUUUUUUUAUUUUAAGCUGAUGGCUGGUGUCUUUUUACAGCCUUACCAAACAAAUCUUUGUAAAUUUGUUUUGCAGUAGAAAUUGCCCUUUGGGUACUUUCCAUAUACACUAUCAUAGAUAGGAAAGAAAAGAUCUUAUUGGGCAAUUAAGGGACCUCCUUGCUCUAAAAGAUACCUUUUAUGUAAUUUGCAGAAACUUAAGAAUAACUUAAGACAUCUUUUCUCUUUCAAGUUUUAACGUGAAAAAAGAAAGAUUUGUUUAAUCUUUUGAGGAUGUUAUAAGUUAAUUAGAGGCAGAACUGCCUGUAUCUGACUCGUUUUCUCUCUAGGUCUUUAUUGUUGCAAAGUAUCGAUAUUCAGCUUAUAUGAGCAGAAGAAAUCUUAAAAUUUUUGGUAUUUCAGAAUGCAGAUUCUAUGACUUUUGUAGAACUUGAUAAUGUAAAUGUUCUGGUAAUUGAUGUUCAGAUACUUGAAUACACGAAUCAUAUGUGUAACUCUGGCGAUAUAUGCUUGCAGGAAAACGGGAAAUCUUUGCAGAACGAAGAACUUAAUCCUCUUCUUGGAUCUUCUUUGAUCCAAGAGAAAUUGUACUCAAUGGAGAUGUGUUUGGCUCCCCAAAAAUUUGUUCAAUCCCUUGCGGAGGAUAAUGGGAUUGAAUUGAACACUCAGGCCUUGAAUGACUGCAAAGAAUUGAUUGGGAUUGGCUGCUAAGAAGCACAUAUGAUGGUUUUUGACUUCUACUGUUGUUUUGUUUUGUUUGUUUUUUUAACCAAUGUUCAUUCCUUACUUUUGUAUUUCCACUAGAUCGAUGUAGGCUAAUCUUUAGGUUUUCUUUUGUUUCUCACGUUGCUAAUCUAAUUGCCCUCUGAUCUGAUCUUUUACUUGUAAAUUCCUCCCUUACAAGGAAUAGAUUGAAGUUUCUUUUUUGUUUCAAUCCGAUCUUUAAUUUGUCAUUUCGUUAUCUUUCAAUCAUGAGGACACUAAAUAGCCUUUAAUUGUGACCCAGUUAAUCGCAUUCAAUUCAGCAGCAAAAUCGUUACGCUUAUAAUUUUAUGCUUCUAAGUUGUCUAGGUGGGAAAAGUAUUUUCUUCCUCUUUUUUUUUUGGAAUAAAAAUUAAGUUUAGGAGGAUUCAGUUCCGACUACCAUCACAAGUCAGUCAAGAUAUAUUACAACAUCGUAGGUCGCUUAUAAAGGAUUUUACAGAUCUCCUGCCAAUACAGUCGACAACAAAAUAAUCAAUCAAAUUGGUCUUUUUUUUCUUUGCAUAUUACAAAUUUGACAUGAUUCAUCAAAGAUAACCAAUCAAAUUGACAACUCAAUCAUAACAUCUUUUUUCUUUUUCUUUUUCUUUUAGGGGUCUGUUUGAUAACAUAAAAAAGUGCUGAAUCUGAAUUUUUUCAAACAUUUAGAUGUUUUGAGUGUUUGAUAAAUGAAAAUCUAUUUGCUGAAUUUGUUAAGUAGUGUUGAACCUGUGUGUAUUUUUUUCAGCACAAGAAUCCUAACUUAAUGCUUAAUUCUAAUAAGAAUCAAUAGAAUUACUUCAGCUACCUUAUCUUAUUUACGAAAUCUACCCUUGUUUGUUAAUUAUGUUCAAAAUUUUUAUCUAAUUAAACAAUAUAAUAUUCUCUAUCUAACGAUUUUUUGUUUCUCUUUUCUCCCUUUCUAAUGACUUUCACAUCUUCUUCAUACUCCUCAUAUAAUUCUAUUUCUUUUUUGAAUGAAAGGAUAUAAGGGCAAAAUUGUCAAAUUAAACUUAUUAAGCAUUCAGCUAUAAAUAUUUAUCAAACAGUAUAAAAAGGUUUAACAUUAAAAUUCAGACAUUCAUAUAUUUUUUUCAGUGCUUAAAAUUCAACAAAUUAAUUAUUUCAGUAUUCAGAUUUCAGAAUUCAGACUUCAGAAUUCAGAUUCAGUUUUAUCAAACGGAACCUAGGUCAAUCGCCAAUUCUUACACUAAUGCUUGGACCCCUAAGUCCUAAUCAUCUUCUAAUCUAUCUAUAGGAGUUUAAAGAUUUUGACAGCUAGACCCCAGCCACGGUAUAACAUCUUAUUGAAUUGGCAAAAUUAAAGGUUUGCCAUACAUGUAGAGAAAUAUAAACCUUCCUAGCAAGUUUUUAAUGCUUCAUUUUUUUAAAAAUUUUUUAAUGCUUCAUUUAAAUUAACUGAUAACUGCUCUAUAUUCCCACAAAUCGAAGAAUGUUGUUUUUUUUUUCUUUUCACUGUCCUCACUCUGAACUGCCAAAGUUGAAGUUCCCAUCAGAAUAUUCUUCCUAUUGUUGUAUCACACUAUCACUUCCAUGUUUUAGUAACAUAAUUUUAUUCUUAACCAUUUAUUUCUCAUUUGGUUACGUCCUUUCUGUUUAACCUUUCAGUAAAAGUUCUCUGUAAAUUUUCCACGACAAAAUAAUUAAAAAGUUCAGGAAGUGUAGUUCUUUUUUCUUUUUCAGAUAAAGUAUUUACUUUACAAUUGGCCUAUUUGAUGUGCCUUUUACGAUAGUACUAAAAUUUUACUCCUUUAAUGGUAUACGGAGGAAAUUAUUGUUACUUCUUUUUUUUUUUUUUUGGGGUAAAAGAUUAUUGUUACAUCUUGUGAUGAGUAUAACUUUGAGAAGCUUUAAAUUGUUUACAUGCUUUCAAGUCGUUAAAUUUUUCUAAAUUUGUGCUUCUAUAAAGUACUUUCUUACAAAGAAUUUUAAGGUACUAUUCAAUCAAUUAAUAUACAGAGAACAAUUAAUGGAAUGAAAUAAAUUUUGGUAACCAUGAAUUUUUUUUCCUUUUGUUAAAAAUAGAUUCCAAGCCUAACAAGAGAAUAUUUGGGCGUCGAAACAAAAAUAUUUACCAUGAUUUAGCUUGAGAGUCAAAUUAUGACAACUAAUUUUUUGGACAAAAGAAUAAACAAAUCCGCCCCCGCCCUUAAAAAUAAGGAGUUACCAAUACAUACUUGAUUCCCCCAUCUGCAAACAAUUGUGGAGUAAAUUCAUAAAAUUUCUAACAACAUGAUGAGUUUACACAAUAAAAUCCUACUAAUGGUGUCUUAGAUGGAAUAACUCAUCCAAAAUUCAUAGACUUGCAUAUUAUUGCAGUUUAUAAUAUCCAUUAUUCACAAAAACUGCACUAACCAAUUAUUCAUAAUCCAUAACACCAAUUAAAAAAAUAAAAUAGAUUAUCCAUACCCGGCCAAAAUAAAAAUCCAUUUUUUCAAGAGUUUGUGUAGAAAAAUGUACCGUGAUGAUUUGAUGCAUGUGAAGUAAAAAGGUGAGUGAAAAAUAUGUCCACGAAAAACGUAAAAUUUUUUUUUACAGAAACCAGAAUGCAAACAAAGAAUAUAAGAUUCAUGUGCCCAAAAAGGGAGAAAGAGGCCCAACUUAGAAAUUGUACUCCAAGUAGGCUGAGUAGCUUCCUCUUUUCACAGCCCUAAAGCCCUAAACCCCUAAAGUCCCGGAACUGCCGGCGGUAAAAUCUCUCCGGCGAGCGUGUUUCUCAAAACCACGCUUUCUCUUGAAAGAAAAAUCCCACAGCUCCACGUGUCCCUCUCUCGUUCAUUCAAAAGCAAAUGGCCGAUCAAGCAACUACAUCUUGGUGGAAGGAGCUCCCACUUGUAUUCAUCAGCCCACCAACGGCGUCGUUUGAUGCCCUCCCUCGAGACCUAGCCAUCAACAUCCUCUCAAGACUCCCCGUCAAAACCCUAGCCCAGUCAACAGCCGUCUCCCAACACUGGUAUUCUCUGAUCAAGAACCCUAUUUUUGUCCGAGCCCACUUCACUCGUUCAAUUUCUCAGCUAGCUGCUACUAGUGCUGACCACUGCAUUUUAGUCACUCCUAAGGAAUUUUCUGAUGAACCCACUUUGUCGAUUUUCGCCGACAACGAAAAUUAUGACUUGUGCUGUAAAGUUAAAAUCCCAUUUCAGACCUGGUCGAAAACGGUACAAAUUGUGGGUUCCUGUAAUGGGCUUGUCUGUUUGACUGAUGAGGUUGAUUGUGCUUAUGGCGGGGAUGUUUACUUGUUUAAUCCUGUUCUUAGGAAGUAUAAGAUCCUGAAAUCUGAGUUUUCUUGUUAUUGUGAUUGGAUGGAAAAGAAUUUUUCAACUUAUCCUGUUUUAGGAUUCGGGUUUUGUGAGCGAGACAAUGAUUUCAGGGUUGUCAGGAUUCUUUAUUCAGCUCAUCAUGUUGGGGAGAAAUUGAGGCCUAGGGUGGAGGUUUAUAGUUUGAAGAGUGGGAAAUGGAGGAGUGUUAGGGCUAAAAUUGAUCAUACGGUAUUUCGGGGUUGUAAUGCUUUUGUUGAUGGGUGUAUAUAUUGGCUCGCUGCUGAGAAGGCUCAUGGUCGAUUGUCGUGGGUGAUGUGGUUUGAUUUGGAGGAUGAGGUGUUUCAUGACGUGGAAAUGCCGGAGAACUAUGACAAGGAUACUUGGGACAAUAAUUUGCCAGUUAAUAUCAUGCGAUGGAAUGGUGAUGUUGCCAUAGGUGCUAUUGAACCAGGUGGGACAGGGAAUUAUGUCAAAUGUGGCUUUUGGGUUUUGAAGAAGGAUGAUGGUGGGGAGUUGCUUUGGGAGAGGAAGUUUAAGCUAGUUUUGAAGGAUGCAGUGUGCGGGAUUCCAGUUGGAUUUACUUGGUGUGGGAAAGUUGUGAUUGAUGCUCUUGAUAGAGAAGACCAUUCACGUAGAAAGGUGAAUGCUGCACUUACCAAGACAGUUGCACUUGACCUCAAUGACAUGAAAUUCAAGGAUCUUGCAGUGGAUGGGCCUCACACAGUGGCUACUUGUUUCGAGGAAAGCCUUGUUCUGUUCUUGGACUAAAGUUAUCCUCUUGCCUCCCCUGUAGGUAUUUUUAUCAUUAAACCUUGAUUUUUUCCUGAUACUCCAUUAUCAUACGAAGUUUCUGAUUAAGCACCUGCACAAUGAAUCUUGAUUGUUAGUUGAAAAUUUUAUCCUAUACGUCGAUGCAGAUGUGUGUUUCUCAUGGUUACUACACUGGUAGCAUUUUGGGAAGUUUGUAAAAACAAGAGCUUUGUUUUCGAUUACCCAAAACACGAAAACGUGUUCUUGAAUGAGGAUCGAUUGAAUUUACUCUUGUAGGCACAUUGCAAUGUACAGUCGUGUAUGCUAUUUGUAUUCCAGGUUCUGUUAAACUAUUUCGGUACAAAUAAUUCAACCAAUUUAUGGUUGGAUGUAUAAAAAAUUGAUGUCCUGUGGUUGUUUGCACUGAAUCGAAUGGACAACCUAAUUCAUAUGUGGGUUCUGAAGGAUUUUUUCUAGCUCUGGAGCUUGACAUUUCAACUGUCUAAGCAUCCAUAAUUGGAUCACUAGUCGCCAUGUCACAUGUUGAUUUUGUGGAGAUACCUGUCUUACUUUUAUUGUAUUAACAAUGGGGAGACAUUUUUUUACUUGAGAGGGGUUUGUAUGCUUGAGAGUGCUUGAAAUCCUCAGGAUGAUUGUGAACUAGCAGCUUAUGCAAUCUGAUUUUCUUUCUAAAAGUUUGCAUUCGCAGAAAGCAGUAGUGUCCUGUUAAAAACGCAAAAUGUGGAAAGGAUUAAAAACUUGGUCAUUAAAAAUUGGGUUUUCUCAUAUCAUUGCCCUUUUGGCUGGUCAUUUCUCUCCUGCAGCACAUAUGUUCUUAGCAAAAAGAUUCAUGGAUCAGAAUUAUAUGUUCUUUGUUCCCCUCUUUUAUUCAGAUUAUGAAAUCUGCCUUUAUUUCUAAAACUUUGCAUUCGCAGAAAGCUGAAAUGACAUGUUAAAAAUGCUAAAUGUGGAAAGGAUUGAAAACUUGGUCAUUAAAAUUUUGGUUUCUCCAUAUUGUUGCCCUUUUGGCAGGUCUUUUGUCUCCUGCAGCACAUAUGAUUCUUAGCAAAGAAUCAUGGAUCGGAAUUUUUAAGAGCUUUGUUCCCCUUUUAAAUCAGAGUAUAAGUCACAUAGACCAAUUGUUUUUCUGGCAUGGUUGACUUUUUUAUGUGCCACAAAAUUUGCUCUUCGUUGACAGCAGUGCUUCACCACUGCACUUUCAUUAACCGUAAUGCUUCAAUACUGCACUUUGAAUCUGUGGAUUGUCCGUCAUGAUUUGACAGGGAAUUUGAUUGAAGCAAAGCUCAUGGAUUGUUUUAGAUCUUACACAUUUAUUUAUAGUUUUGCUAGAAAUUGAGAGUCAACUGUAUGUUAUAAUAAUAGUUUUUCUCAAGAAAUAGUUGGUUGUAUUCUUGCUCAGGUCUUUUUUCCUUUCCCAUUCUCUGAACUAGCUUAACAACUGGACCUGCUUUUCUGAUGCUUGGUUCCCCAGAGUACAUGUCAGAUCAUUAAUUGUGAAUAUAGGUGUAAUAUAGUCAACUUGUUGUGAGAUAUAGCAGGCUUUGCUUGUAUCCAUUUUGGAAAACAAGUGGUGGACAUCCUGAAUGGGAUUUAGUCAUCUGAAUGUCUGUUUCUUGAGUCAUGGUACUAAAAAUUUGCAAUCAUUUGGUGGAAUACUGAAAUGCAUCUCUUACUGAAGAUCUUCAGUUGCCUAUGUAUUGGAGCCGUAGUCUGUUUUGCUCGAAGUAAACUAACUUGCUUUGUGUUCUUUUGGUACUUUGUACAGGCAAGGACAAGAUUAAGUGAUCUUUGCUUGCUGAUGAUUAUGGAAUUUCCAGACUGAUCCCAAACUGUGUAGUUGAUGUAUGUAAAGUGAGUAGAGUGACUGUCUUGUGACUGCUGAUUAAGAUAUUUGCUGCAUGAUCAGAUGUUUACAUCUGACUUACUAGGAUGAAUUGUUGAGGAGGUGUAUCUUCCUGAUCAGAUGGCCACAGCUAACUUAUUUGGUGGUUUAUCUAUUAUGCUGCUCUAGAUUAUCAGGCGUUAAAUCUUGUUCUAAUCUUUUGUCUACACGUAAUCUCCCACAAACAAAACUUGAUAACAUGAGAAUGGCCAAGGUCUACAUUUGUUCAGCACCCAUCACUCAGGAUGUCGUUCCUGAUGUAUUACAGGGAGAAAUGACCAGCGUUUCUCAGUCAUCCAGAGUCGUCCAAAGCCCAGCAGUUGUUGGCAUUAUGCCUUAAACAAGGGGGAGAGGUCGAACCUCUUAAACAGAAACAAAACAUGGAGUUGCAGCCCCUAUAGUAUCUGCUCUAAGCAAUUCCCUGUUUCCAUAAUUCCUAAUCUGACAUAUCAGAUUGUGGAAAGGUGAAUCCUGUCCUGCUCCUUGGAUUAGAUCCAGUGCUGCCUUCGAAUCCGUUUCCAGGAUCACUCUCCUUUCUCCUGAGCUCCACGCCAUUUCCAUCCCUUUUGAGUACUCCCCAUCGCUCUACUGUCGUAUUGUCUGUUAGCCCAAUAUUCACUGCGAAGCCAGCUUUCCAUCUUUCCCAGCAUUAUGCCUUUCGUUGGCAUAGUCUCUAACCAAAUUCUCAUAUUCAUCUCCUAUUUUCCCAGCAUUAUUGCGCUGAACUGAAUUCCCCAUGAGAAAGAAGUACCAGAUGAUUUCCGAUAAGUUCUCAAGUGUAUUUUGCAAAUGAGCUUCUUUAUCAAGACGCAAACAGCCUUGGUUGCCUGCCUAAACCGCCUCGCUGGAACGAGAUCAAUACAUUUUUUUUCGGAUCACUGCAUACCUUGACUAAGGCUAAUCACUAGUUGUAACUGCAUAAUCAUGAGUGUCGUGAAGAGGUUCGGCUUAAAGCAGCAAAAGAAGUGGGCCACAAUGAAAUGUUAAUUGGGUACUGCGCAGCAUUAAAAAUAUGAAAAAUCGUUCACCAUGUCAUUCACUCUUGAAAUGUUAAUCUUGUCAUUCACUCUUGAAAUGUUAAUCUUACGUCUCUUGUAGACUUAAAUUUGCAAAAUUUGGUCUCAACGUAAGUUGUAAACUAAUUUUUAAUAGAGUUAUUAUCACUUUACCCUCUUAAACUAUAUCACUACUAUCAGUUUACCCUAUAACGUUAUCUUUUAAUCAUUUUAUCCCCAUAAGUAAUUCAACUCAACGUGUUAAGAAAUUUUGGACAAAAAUACCCUUUUAUUUUAUGUUAUUACUACAUUAUUAUUAUCCCUUUCUUCGUUUGGAUUAUAGUGAUACAAUCGCUUUACUUCAUAACAUUAUUUUCUAGACAUUUUACCUUAUUAUUAAUCUAACUAGUAUGGUCAAAAAAUUUUAAAUAUAUUUACCCUUUUUUAUAUAUAAUUAAAAAUAAAAAAGAUUGGAAUGGUUAUUCUUCUUUUUUUCACUUUAAGAGAUCGAAAAAAUCUUUUUUUCAUACUUAUUACUACUAGGAAAAGAAAAAGAGAUAGGAAAGAAGGAGACAAAAAAUUAGAUUUUGCAAAAAAAAAGAAAAUAAAGAAAAGUCUAACAUUAUCGUAUUACUUUAAGGUUAUCGGGAUUAGAAUUGAAAUUUGGUGGUAAACAAAAAAGUGAAAUAAUUUUAAAAUAAUAAAAGUAUUUAAUUCUUUCUUAUUUGUAAUUUUUUUAAAAAAAAUUGAGCUCUCUCUCUCCCCCUCCCCCUCUCCAUAUUUCUAUUUUUUUCAAUAUUAAUAAGAUUGCCAAGAAAAAAAAUUAAUAUUUUGACUUUUUUUCUUGAUACUAAAAAGAAGAAGAGUCACUCUAAAUUUUUUAUUAUUUUGAUUAUGCAAAGAGGGGGGUAUUUUCUUCUAAAGUUUUUAACUUGCUAAGUUGGUUUAAUGGUGGGAUAAAUUGUCUAAAAAAUAAUUUUAGGUGGUAAAUUGAUAAUGAGACUAUAUUUUAUGGGGGUAAAGUGAUAAUAAUUUUAAGGGUUAAACAUGUUUUUUCACUUUAAUUAACAAACUCCGUUAAGUUUGAUCAUUAGUCUUGGGGGUAAAGUGACUAAAAGAUAACGUUAAGGGGGAAAUUGAUAGUAACACCAAACGUUAAGGGGGUAAAGUGAUAAUAACCUUUUUUAAUAUGAAAUCACCACACAAUCAACAUGUAGUCAUUUUCUUUUAUGUAUAAAUAGGUCAAAUUCAACUUUUUUAGUGUAAAAAAUGAAUAUGGAUUAGGUCAAAUUUCACUUUUUUUUUGGGAAAAAAAAUGAAUAUGAUUUGAGUCAGAUUCUACGUUUUAGGAACAAAAAUAAAGAUGGAUUGAAUCAUUUGUUUAACUAUAAAUGAGAUUUAACCUUUUUGUUUAAAAAAAAAAGAUCAUAUGUGAUCACUUGAUGGAUUAAGGAUAAAUUUUAUCGACUUAAUUUUGUAGGGGAUGCAAAGUUAGCAUUUAAAAGUGAAGAACGAAAAAAUUCGUUUGGUGAAAUGUGAAAAACAUUUUAAACGAUUUUUCCUUAAAAAUAAAAAUAAUCUGAAUUUGUAGUCCUUUCUUUUAUUUUUUUAUUUUUUGAAGAGAGAAUUUGAAAAUUUUCCGGUGGGCUUCUUUUCUUUCUCCUUAAAGUGUUUCAGUGUGAAUUUACCUUUUUCUUGAAGGGACAUAAUAUGUAUGUCACAAUAAAUAAAACUAGCCAGCUGAAUAUUUCUCAAGACUGUUAUGCUUUUCAUUUCAAGGGACAAUUGAUUAUUGAUCUAGGAAACAAGAAAAUCAAAAAGUAAUUGAGGAAUAUGCGAUAUUUUUCUAUAUCGUUUAGGAGGAAAUGUUGGGGUAGUCAAUUAAAAACCCUGAAAGAAUAAAAAACAAAACGAAAAAGUAAAAUCCGACUGGUACGUUACGACGUCGGAUUAUCCAUACAUUUCAUUUCCGUUCUCCCGUUGAACCCUACUAAAACCCUCUUCUGUGUCCAAUUUCAAGAAAUAGCCCCAAAAAGGGUUUAGAAGAAGGAAGUUGAAAAUGGCGAGCCGUCUCGUUCAUUUCCGACCGACGGCGAGACUCCGGUGGCUGUCUACAGCAACAGAAAUGGCAACGGCAACGGCAACGGCAACGGCAACGACAGCGACAACGGCUGUGACCCAAGAUACAGCAACGGCUGUGACCAAAGACAAGCCUAAUAUCUCUCUGUUCAGGAAACUGAAGGAGCUGAAUAUUGGACCAGGCUCAGACGCUAAUGUUUCAGUGGUUCUAGAUGAAUGGGCCAAUGAAAGUCAGGCUAAACGAUUCGAUGCUGCUAGACAAAUCAAUUUUCUCCGAUCCCGCAAACAUUACCAUCUAGCCCUCCAGGUAAUUUCUUGAAUUUGGUUAUUUUCUUCUUUCUUCUUCUUGUUUUUUUUUUGUUUUUUUAAAAAUUGUUUCUUUAGGCAUUCCUAGAUUUGUGGAUGAAUGAAUAUGCGACACGUGAGAUUUAUGCUUUAGAUGGUUUAUUGUGCUUGUGGAGUGUAUUUAUUCAAAUCAAGUUGCUGUAUUCUUAUUGGGUGCUAAAUUGUUGUAAUGUGGUGAAAUUUUCUUUGUAAUUGAUAUUAGUAUGCAUUCUAAUCUUUUGUUUCGAUUUGAAUAAAAAAAACUUUGAUUGUUUUAUUCCUUUUCGAAUGCUUAAUAUUCUUAGACAGAUAGCGAAUGUGAUUGUGGAAAAGAGCAUUACUUUAUCAUAGGAAGAAAAGUCAUUUGUUGGGUAUGCAAGAAGUGAUUGUUUAUUUGGGUAAUAUGGUCGGGUUGGAAACAGCAUAGAUGUGCCGUUUGUUAGCAUUGACAACUAUUUGUAAAACAGGGGAGGCAUAGAAUUUGGGUAGCAGAUGAUAUGUUUAUUGAACAUUAGAUGCUCAGUUUUUGUAGGAAGCUUUUUACCCUUAUGGAAACAAAAUCUGGGAUGUAUUCUUUUAAUAUGCUUGUUGAAAAUAGGUAAAGGAUCAAGCGUGGGUUGUAUAGGAAAUUGUACCUGUAUACCAACAAUGGGGAUUGAUGAGCAAGGAACAAGUUGAGUUGUAGAUUAAAUUGUAGUUAUCUAUCAACUUCAGGAAAUAUAUAGACUUUGCAUGGACAUCUGUUGAAUUAAUAAUAUCUUUUCCUUCCUUAGAUGGCAUUUUAUUUGCUUCGGUUUGUUCUCAAACUGGAUAGUUUGGUUUGGACUUUGUAAUUGUUUUCCUUAUCUUGUUACUAAUGCAGCUAUCAGAAUGGCUGGAGAGCAGCAAGAUUGAGAUGAACAAUGCUGACCGAGCUGUGCAGAUUGACCUUCUUGCAAAAGCUAAGGGUAUUGCUUCAGCUGAAGUUUAUUUUGAUGGUCUUCAGGGAUCUGCGAAAACAAACAAAACUUAUGGAGCACUUCUCAACUGUUAUUGUAAGGAGAAAAUGUUGGAUAAGGCUGUCCAACUCUUUGCCAAGAUGAAGGAGCUGAAUUUUACUUCCACUCUGAACUAUAACAAUGUGAUGUCUUUAUACUUGAGCAGUAACCAGCCCGAACAAGUCCCUCUGCUUGUGCAAGAAUUGGAGCAGAAUAAACUUAAAGCAGAUAAAUAUACGUGCAAUCUGUUGAUUAACAGCUAUGCUUCCUCAAAUGAUAUAAAUGCAGCGGAGAAAGUUCUUGAGAAGAUGAAGAAAGAUAAGGUAAAGUAUGAUUGGUUCACUUAUGGGAACCUAGCAACUAUUUACGUCAAUGCUGGACUUCUUCCCAAAGCCAAAGAAAUGAUAGGAGAGAUGGAGAAAUUUGAAAAUGUGCGUGAUCGUGAGUUUUUCCAUAUGCUAAUCAACUUGUAUGAGCUUAUGUCUGACUUGGCUGGGGUUAAUCAUGUGUGGAACUCCCUCAAGUCAGUUUUCCCCUCCCCCAGUAACACUAGCUAUCUCAUCAUGCUGUUGGCUCUGUUUAAAUUGGGUGACCUGGAAAACCUGGAGAAGUAUUUUAGAGAGUGGGAAUCUCAAUGCUCAUUGUACGAUGUCAGACUAUUCAAUGUGGUCUUGGAAUCUUAUCUUAAUAGGAACAUGAUUGGGGAAGCUAAUGCUCUCUAUGAAAGUAUGGUGACCAAAGGAAUCGAUCCCACCUUAGCGACACUGAAUAUUUUCACAAUCUACCACAUUAAGAAUGAUCAGAUUGAUUCAGCUCUGAAGUAUCUGGAGAUGGGUGCAUGCAAGACAAUCCCAGAGGAACAUAGGUGGUUUCCUACAGAUGAAACUGUCAAAUUGUUUUUAGAAUAUUUUGAGAAGAAAAAUGAUGCAACUAGAGCUGAGAAGUUUUGUAACAGCAUGAAGAAGAUUGGUCGUCUUGAUUCUGCCGUUUAUGCAUCUCUGCUUUCCAAAAGUUGAUGACUAGAUCACUGCAUCGAAGUAUAGAGGUGUUUCUGAUUUAAAUAUGGCAGUGAGAAGAGGCCUUGACAAUUUGAUAUUUUAUACUGGCCUAAUUUAAGUCUUGCAAGGAAAUCGAGUUAAUGUUCACAAAUGCUAUUGUGCGAAGCAAAGCUGGCCUGUACUGAAACCUAGACCUAAACUAUGGCGGUGUAAGACCCCCGCGUGCACGCCCGCCGGGGGGGGGGGGGAUCUAAACUGUGGUCGAACGCAGUUAUUAUCACAACGAGCAAUGUCGAUUCCCUUGUAUAUUUGUACGUAGGACAUUAGUUCUCCAUAUUCUGAUCAACUUGCCUUUUCACUUCAGCGUUCUUUUCUUGGUGUUCUGUUGUUUUUUGGUUUUUUUUUUUUCAGCAAUUGCCUCUGAUGUUGAAUCCCUGUACUAGAUAUGACAGCAUUCAUUGUUUAACCAUCCAAGCAAACGAACCAAAGAAGUUUCUUGGCUCGUUUGCGCAAUUUAAACUGGUGACGAUAAGAUGUUAGAACUGAUUAAUUAUCAUAAUGCUGUUGUAAGAAGGUUGUUGAUGAUUGAAGUGGCCAGCGUUAGGUUGAGGUUCCCGCACUGAGCAUCAGAUCUUGGGAAACAGUUAAGAGGUUCAAUCUUUCUUGUGUUUUAGUAUGAUAAUUUCUCAGGAGCAGCAGUUAAGUGCUUGAUUAAAGAAGAAAAUAAAGGAAUAAAGGUAUUUCAACAAACAAGAUCGCCGUGUUUGGACGCUAAUUCCUGGAUAAGUCUCUACCUCUCAACUUCUAUUCAACUAUUUCCUUCUAAUUUUUUUUUUUAUUUUGAGCAUCCGGGAUCCCUACUUUCAGUGAGACUAAUCCGUAUUCGACCCGAAAACACCCGCAGAGUUCGACUUAUUUUUUACCAUUCGGUAUCUCCAUAUUCAGUGAGACUAAUCUGCAUUCGGCCCAAGAAUACUCGCAGAGUUCAACUUUUACUCAGGAUAAAGCUCUGACUCAGAACUUUUCAAAAUAUCACAUACAGGAAUCGAAUUUAUGACUUUUUAUUGCCGUUAACAACUCGCUUACUAAUUGUCCCAAACUUACGGGUUAUUUCCUUUUAAAUUGUCUUAUCAAUCAAAGCCGGGAUGAGUUGUUGUGGCACGUCUGCUGAAACAGCAAAUACCACGUCACAGCGCAUCCUCCACUGGGAACCUUUGAGAAUAUGGGUCGACUUGAAUAUCACUCAUAAGUCCAAUUUCUUCAUAAACCAAGAAUUGAGUUUGAAUUCAAGAAUAUGAUUUGUUACGUGAGUCAAGCUCAAGCACAUCAAAACUCAACUUAUAAAAUCCAAUUGACAGACCUAUUUCACUUGAACAGAUAAAAUGCUCAAAUAAGAUAAGUAGAAUUCACUAACUUCAUUGACAGCAAUUCAUGAAGGACCCUUACAUGUCCAUUUGACUGUAUUACUUUUGUCAAAAGCCAACUAUUGAGCUUAGCAAGUAUUUCGUCCCAAGUACCUGUUUUAUACCCUGAUAAGGAUUUCCCACGAAAAUUACCCUCAAUGUGCACGAUCAGGAUGUCCUCCUAAGUCCUAGGUCUUAUCCGAUUUCAUAACCAGUGUGCAAAGCUAUUUAGGUCGGUUCUUGAACUUGUCUUAAUUGAAAUGCUUGAAACCCCAAAACUUUGGUAUAUCUACCACUUUGAGCAUAUGGAAUUCUUACAAUCUUAUAUUCAUCUGCUUGGCUGAGAUAACCAAAUCCAAGAGCCAAGAAACUACUAUGCCUAUUCGAAUGCUUUAUGUUAAUGCUUGAAGAGGAAAUGCACUUAUAUUUUCUAAUACAAUGAUUCCAUAAAUAUGGUUUGCCCAAUGUAGUAGAUGGUAUUUCUUUUUUAUUGGCAAAACUUUGGUUUUUAGCACAAAGGAAAUUGGAGGCUUUGACAGGGCUAGCUAUAAACCACAUAAAAUGUACCAGUUGGUUACUCUAGGGAAAGAGAUGAAUCUGAAAAGUUGGAGUUCAAGUUCACCAUGGUAAGGAAGCCAGAUCAAACCAGCCCCGUGCCUGAGUCACCUACUGAAGCAAGUAAAUCAUCAACAGUGGAAGAGAAGGCAUGGAACUAUAGCUGCUAUGCCUACGCCGCCAGAGAAGAUGAAGCUCAUUUCUUCUGGGAAUGCAAGGACUAAGAAGAAAUCACAGCAGUGCAUUAGCAAUUCAGUGUAUGGUGGUUGCAGGCUUGCAGCAGCAGCAGCUACAAGAGGGAAGCCUCGCAUCCCAAGCCCAAGGCAAAUGGUCCUCUUAGGAGCAAAGCUGAAGCCAUAACCUGGAGAUGCUUUUGGAUAAACCUGCUACUGGUAAUCAAAGCAUACCAUCCUUUUGGAUACACACAUGAGACGGAUCAAGCUUUCAGCUGGAAGCUACAACAGGACUGUAACAAUCACCUCGAAAGGAAGGUCUGGAAUUGUUUCGUGUUUCUUGGACUGGAAUCUAAAUAGUUCGCUUGGGUUUUUCAGAUUGUGAGGUGUUAUGAAAAUAGAGAAUUUUUGAACCCAUAGUUGGACCUAAAAAUUUGCUGCUUCUAUACACAAAAAAGAAGACACAAAACCCAUCCAAUUUUGAUACUUUGGAACUUUUUAUCGAUUGUGAACAAAAUGGCUGACCAGAAACGCCCUGUUUUUCCGAUAGAAAUCAUCACUCCGUUUUUUGAUCCAGCUACCUCCUAAGGUCUUGAUGAAGCUCAUGCACCUUUCAAGAUCACGGAAGAACUUGAUCAGAGACCCUAGUUCUCUACGGCAAAAUUUGAAAGAUUCUCAGCAAAAGGUAAUCGAUAUCUCUUGUAUUUGACUGCGGAGUUAUAACCCGUGGACUUUCAAGUUGAAUGAUGAUAGAUCAUUCCAAUAUUUGUUUAGAUUUAAGAAUGCCUAUUUUUUUGGUCCACUCCUCUUUUCCUUCCUCACUUCUUUAAUCUCACCUGUUUUCUAUCUUGACAAGGACUUCGCCCCAAAGUUACCCACAAUCUGCACGAUCAUAUUUACUUCUAUCCUUCUUCCUUCUUCUUAACCAGUGUCCAAAGAUAUUUAACUUAGUUCUUGAACUUGUUUAAAUUAACAUAUUUAAAUUAAAUCCUUGAAAUUCCUUCCAUGCAAGUUGAAAAGACAAUCGCUUUAACUUAGUUGAAACCUCAAUUGCAGACACUUUCAAGUCAAAAAAUGGACCAUCUUAUAUUUCCUAAGAGGUAAUUAGUGAAGCUAAAGCAGUCUCUUCCGUAAUAUACAGCAGAUUCUUGAAAGAACCUAGUAAUUACACCUAUACUCAGAGAGAAAUGGUAGUGGCAAUGUCGAAUCAUAUUGAGAAUUUCCAACGAUCUGUCAUAUAAAUGGAAAUAAAUAUUUGCUUUGAUAGGACCGGGCCAGGAAAUAGACAAACUCAAGUUAGCACAAAUUAGGCGGUAUAACCGACCAUAUAAUAGAUAGGCGGUAGAUACCAGCCAUAUAAUAAUUAGGCGGUAAAACCGACCAUAUAAAGACGGAUAACAAAGCAAAUAAAAGACACAAAAGAUUUACGUGGUUCGGUCAAAUUGACCUACGUCCACGGGCGAGAGAGGAGCAAUAUUUCUACUAUGAAGAAGAAAUACAAAAGCCGUAGGAAAGUGGUUCCUAGGCCAAUAGGCACUUACAAAAGAGUUUAGAAAAUAUUCCUAAAUUCAAAACAAGAGAGCCUAAAAUAUUUAACUGAAUGGGAUAGAUGACUCAAGAAGCUAAUGGCCCAUAUAACUCUCUUGAGUGGUGCGAUUGAAACCUUCAUAUGAGCCCCCUAUUUAUAGUUGUAUUUGGGAGGCUUUCCUUCUGCUUCAGGCGAUGUGGGAUGAGGAAAUUCUGCCACAGUCAAGGAUUGCGGCUGAAGAAUUGCGGCUCAACAAAUCUCCACCUUGGCAUAAUUUUGAGUCCCACCAUCGUCAAUAGUAAAUUCGCUCCACCUUCUCCACAUAAGACCCAAUGGGUCUAAAUCACAAAUAACGAACACCAACCAAGUCCAAGCACUGCUUGAACUUGUAAUUUGGAAGAGGCUUCGUAAACAUAUUGGCUGGAUUGUCCUUAGUAUUGAUUUUCUGAAUAAGGACUUUUCCCUCUGCAAUGAUAUCCCGAAUGAAGUGAUACUUCACAUCAAUAUGCUUCGUCCUCUCAUGAUACAUCUGAUCUUUAGUCAAGUGUAUGGCACUUUGACUAUCACAGUGAAUAUCAGUAACACCUUGAUAUAGACUUAACUCGCUAAAUAAACUCUUCAACCACAAGGCUUCUUUGAUUGCCUCGGUCACAGCCAUAUAUUCUGCUUCAGUAGUAGACAAAGCUACGACAGGUUGUAGAGUAGCUUUCCAACUAACAGCACAACUGCCAAUGCAAAAUACAUAGCCUGAAAGUGAUCUUCUCCUGUCAAGAUCCCCAGCGUAGUCUGAGUCUACAAAACCAACCAAAGUGUUAUUAUUUCUUCCAAACUCCAAACAUACAUUUGAAGUACCUCGCAAGUAUCUGAGAAUCCACUUCACAGCCUGCCAAUGUGUUUUACCAGGACAAGAUAUAUAUCUGCUAACAACACUGACUGCUUGUGCAAUAUCUGGACGAGUACAAACCAUUGCAUACAUAAUACUGCCGACUGCACUGGAAUAAGGAACCCGUGCCAUAUAAUCUUCCUCUUCAUCUGAUUUUGGUGAUUGAGCAGCAGAUAGCCGAAAAUGUCUAGCAAGAGGAGUAGAUACUGGUUUAGCAUCUUUCAUGCCAAAACGCUCCAAGACUUUCUCAAGGUAAUUUUUCUGGGUCAAAAAUAACUUCCCUACUCCUCGAUCUCGAUUGAUAUCCAUGCCAAGAAUUUUCUUAGCUGCUCCCAAAUCUUUCAUUUCAAAUUCACUAUUUAACUGCAGUUUCAAAGUGUGAAUUUCUGACAAAUUCUUGGCAGCAAUGAGCAUGUCAUCAACAUAAAGCAGCAAAUAAAUGAAAGAACCAUCAUUUAACUUCCGGAAGUAAACACAACUAUCAUACAUGCUCCUCAAAUAACCAUGACCCAACAUAAAGGAAUCAAACCUCUUAUACCAUUGUCUUGGAGACUGUUUCAAUCCAUAUAAGGAUUUCUUCAAUAAGCAAACAUGGUCUUCCUUACCUUCAAUUUCAAAACCCUGGGGUUGUCUCAUAUAAAUUUGUUCUUCAAGUUCGCCAUGUAAGAAAACUGUCUUAACGUCGAGUUGUUCUAACUCCAAAUUAUACAUGGCAACUAAAGCAAGCAAAACACGAAUAGAGCUAUGUUUAACAACAGGUGAGAAUAUAUCAUUAAAAUCAACACCUUGUACCUGACUAUAGCCCUUUGCAACCAAUCGUGCUUUAUAUCUUACAUCUUCAACCCCUGGAAUACCUUCUUUCUUCUUGAAAACCCAUUUGCAUCCAACAAUUUUCUUAGCUGACGGCGGCUUUACAAGAACCCAAGUUUCAUUACGAUGAAGAGAUUCAAUUUCUUCAUUCAUCGCAAUCAACCACUUUGCAGAGUCAUCACAAGAAACUGCUUCUGAAUAGGUGGAAGGCUCACCAACUGCAUCAGUUUCUUCUGCAACAGACAAAGCAUAUGCAACUAAAUUUACAUAUCUUUGUGGUGGUCGAAUGUCUCUCCUUGCUCUAUCUCUGGCUAUGGAAUACUCUUCUUCUUCAGAACUAUCUUCAACAGUAGAUUCAGGUGUAUCUACUGGCAUUUGAAUAGAAGAUUUGGAUUGAGAAGGACCAGAACUGCCAAUAUCAAGCUCCACCUGCUUCUGUGUACUAUCAGUAGUACAAGGACUAGAAGACUCCUUCUUGGAAGAUAACAGAGAUAAUUCAUCAAAAGUAACAUCUCUACUGAUUACAAAUUUUGGGGAUUUGGGAUCAGAAUACCAUAAUCUGUAUCCUUUCACCCCAGAAGCAUACCCAAGAAAAAUGCACUUUUUAGCCCUAAGCUCCAAUUUUCCAUCAUUCACGUGCAUGUAUGCUGGACACCCAAAAACUUUUAAAUUGGAGUAAUCAGCAGGAGUACCUGACCAAACUUCCUCAGGAGUUUUGAAAUCAAGAGAUGCAGAAGGAGAACGGUUGACAAUAUAACAGGCCAUAUUGAUCGCCUCUGCCCAAAAGUCGUUUGUCAACUCUGCAUUGGAGAUCAUACAUCUUGCUCUCUCCAAAAGAGUUCUGUUCAUACGUUCGGCCACACCAUUUUGUUGAGGCGUCAUCCUGACGGUGUGAUGCCGAACAAUUCCUUCAUUUUUGCAAAAUUCAUUAAAUUCACCUCCACAAAAUUCCAUGCCAUUAUCUGUUCUCAACCGCUUAACAUGUUUUCCUGUUUGUUUCUCAAUCAAAACUUUCCAUCGUUUGAAAGUUAGGAAAACAUCAUUUUUAUGCUUAAGAAAAUAGACCCAAACUUUCCUUGAAUAAUCAUCAAUGAAAGUCAACAUGUACCUGGCACCACCUUUAGAAUGAGCACGAGAAGGACCCCAUAGAUCUGAAUGAAUGUAAUCAAGAGUACCUUUUGUCUUGUGAAUUGCUGGUGAACUGAAGCUGACUCUUUUCUGCUUCCCAAAAAUACAAUGUUCACAGAAUUCCAAUGGCCCGGUACUUUGACCACACAGAAGUCCUCUUUUGCUCAGUAUGCCCAAGCCUUUUUCGCUCAUGUGCCCCAAACGCAUAUGCCAUAAUUUGGUGAUGUCAGUAUCUGACAAAGAUGAUGUUGAAACAGCAGCAGCACCUGUCACAGUAGAUCCCUGCAAAAUAUACAAAGUACCAGAUCUGUGUGCCUUCAUAACAACAAGAGCUCCUCGAGUGAUUUUGAGAACUCCGUUUCCACCUGAAUACCUGCACCCGAUAGACUCAAGAGUGCCCAAAGAGAUGAGAUUUUUCUUCAAAUCUGGAACAUGUCUAACAUCUGUGAGAGUCCUCACAAUACCAUCGUACAUUUUAAUUUGGAUUGUGCCUUUGCCAACUACUUUACAAACAGCGUUUUUGCCCAUUAAGACAACUCCACCUUCAGUUGAUUCAUAUGUUGAAAACCAAUCCCUGUUGGGACACAUAUGAUACGAACAACCCGAAUCUAAAAUCCACUCAUUGUUAGACCUAAAAUUAUUUUCCGUUGCACAGAAAAUGGUUCCAUCAUUCUCAUCAGCUGCUAUACUAGCUUCAGCGGAUUCAGUAUUUUUCUCAACAAAUUUCCCCUUUUGCUUUUCCUUAUUUUUCAAUUUAAAGCAAUCAGAAAUAACAUGACCCUUCUUUUUACAAUAAUUGCACACCACAUUUUUAUGUCUGGACUUGGAUCUAUUUCUAUUUUCUGUGUUUCUCUUUUCAGAUCUACCCCGAACAAACAAGCCAUCAGCUUGACUCCCACUAGUUUCCCCAGUAAUAUCCCUAUCUAUCUGCUCUUUAGAUUUUAACGCAGAUUUAAUUUCCCGAUACAAAAUUGUUUCCUUUCCAUAUAUCAUAGUAUCACGGAAAUACUUAAAGGACUGAGGAAGGGAACAUAAAAGUAAUAGGGCCUGAUCUUCAUCAUCAAUUUUCGAAUCUAUAUUCUCCAAAUCCAUAAUAAUGGAAUCAAAUUUAUCAAGAUGGGAGAGUAUAGAUGUACCUUCAGACAUCCGAAGCAUAUACAAACUCUGCUUCAGAUAUAGCCGAUUCUCGACUGUGUUCUUCAUAUACAAGGCUUUCAAUUUAUCCCACAUAGCCUUGGCCGAAGUCUCCGUUGCUACCUCACGCAAUAUCUCAUCGGAGAGAUUUAGGAUAAUACUGGAUCUUGCCUUCUUAUCCAUCUCAGCAAAAUUUGCAUCUGUCACAUCUUCUGGCUUUUUCUCAAUUCCUUGAAUUGCCAAAUCAACUCCGUCUUGAACAAGAAUGGCCUCCAUCUUGAGCUGCCACAUGCCGAAGUUGACAUUCCUGUCGAAUUUCUCGACAACCGUCUUUGUUAUCGUCAUUGUUGCCACAAAAUCUGUAACUUGAAAUUUGUCUCAAAAAAAAAACUGGCCAAACAAAUAUGCAAGUCUCGUGAGCGGGCCCCACAGGGUGAGCGGACCCCACGAGAUAAGCGGGCCCCACGGGGAUGAACGGACCCCACAAGGUGAGCGGGCCCCACGGAUAAACGGACCCCACAGGAUGAGUGGGCCCCACAGGAUGAACCUGUCUUGCAAAAUAUAACAACCAGCUCUGAUACCAGUUUGAUAGGACCGGGCCAGGAAAUAGACAAACUCAAGUUAGCACAAAUUAGGCGGUAUAACCGACCAUAUAAUAGAUAGGCGGUAGAUACCAGCCAUAUAAUAAUUAGGCGGUAAAACCGACCAUAUAAAGACGGAUAACAAAGCAAAUAAAAGACACAAAAGAUUUACGUGGUUCGGUCAAAUUGACCUACGUCCACGGGCGAGAGAGGAGCAAUAUUUCUACUAUGAAGAAGAAAUACAAAAGCCGUAGGAAAGUGGUUCCUAGGCCAAUAGGCACUUACAAAAGAGUUUAGGAAAUAUUCCUAAACUCAAAACAAGAGAGCCUAAAAUAUUUAACUGAAUGGGCUAGAUGACUCAAGAAACUAAUAGCCCAUAUAACUCUCUUGAGUGGUGCAAGUUAAAUCCUUCAAAGGACCCUUCUAUUUAUAGGCCUCGAGUAGCCGGCUUCUCUUCAGCAGGCUCCGAUGUGGGAUGAGAAGGAAAUGAAAAAUUAUGCCACAAGUCAAAGCUUGCGGCUCUGACAAAACAACAUGCUUCAUGCUCCAUUUCAUAAAUAAAAAACAAAAGGAGCAUUUGCCAAACAAAUCAGCUCAUAACAGAUAAUAAGUUGGAAGCCCUCCCAAUUAUUUUUUCUUUUUUCAAUAAAAACUAAAACAUAAACAGAUAGUUUCUCACUUUUUUUUUCGCCAAACCUCCCUCAGUGCAACAGUAAUCGGUGGUUUUCCAAGAUAAACUUUAAGAAAAAUUCCAAUAGUUUUACAUACACACACUCCCUCCGCGGGGGGUCUUCUCCUUUUAUGAGCUAUAAAUCCCCUAUGCUUGGAAGAAGAACUCCAUAAUUGCCAGAAACCCAGGAUCGCUAUUAUCAUUUUUAUACUUUACACCUUCCACAGUACACUCCUUAACUUCUCGUAUUCCUUGUAAAGAAACUUCAAAUUACACAUACACUCACAGAUACACACUUUCCAUGGCAAAAUGAAUAAAAAAUAAAACGUUACUGAACAGCCUGUCAGAUCAAAUGCAAGGUCCGUCCUCAAGCCAACACCCAAAAGCAUCAGCAACAGCAGAAGAAGAUGAGAUCGCACAAUUCAUCGUUUGCAAUGAGCUCGUCAAUUAGAUUCUCUCAAGCUUCUGGUGCGUUUUCAAAUCUUGGCUUUGUUAGAUCCCUGGAGUUCGUCAAAACCCAUGUGGAGAAAUCUCACAAUCCACAAAACCAAUGACUACAUGUUGCAUAGUUUUUUUUUUCAUGAUUGGUUUUUAUCCAAAAUUAAGCAGUCUUCUCUUCAUUUUGCAUUGUAUUUUAGGCAGUUAAACUACCAGAGAGAGAGAGAGAGAGAGAGAACAUCUUGUGGUAGUGCUUGUUGUUCCAUUAGGCCAAGUUAAAGGUCUGAAUACAUUGAUAUGCUCAAAUUGGCAUUUUCUCAGAUUUAACCAAACUGAACUAAAAUAAGAUCAAACAAAACAUGGUCAAACACUCUUUUUACAACUCAAAUAAAUUGCUUUUACAAUUAAAAACAUUAAUGAAGUAGAUUGGAUUAAGCCAAAAAAACAACAAUUCGUAUAAUUUGACCUCUAAAGUGAAGCGGAAAUCAAAUAGAGAAAAUUGGACAAAAAAUUUAUGUAGUUUGGUUUAAAAGCUACCUACAAUAUCUUAGGUCGUCUUCUCCUUGUGUAAUUUUUGAAUAUGCAACAUAAAAGGCUCGUCUUUUGAUGUUAACAUCUUUAAGUUUGGCAAAUUACAAACGUAAGGACUUUGUUUUGAAACAUUCAUGAAACGAUAGUGAUACAAGGCCGAAAAUGUAUCAUCAAAAAACAUAUGGUUGUGUACUGAUCUAUGUGUGAUGUAUUUAUAAGCUAAUCUAACGUACAAGUGGUUCAAAGCUGAUCUACCACUUUGUAGUGAUUAGGUUCAAAGAAUCUUCACUAAAAUAGUGGUUCAAUCGAAUGACACCAUUAUUUAUGCAUACGAUUAUCAGAUUAUUCUGUAACCUUUGGAAGUCUAUUUUUUAAAAUUUGAAAUGGCCGAGGAUUGUUGAAUAUUUUCAAAAUUUGAUUAGUUGCAAGAUGGGGUCCUGUCUUAGGAUUCAACAUGAGACCCAUCACUAUUUGGUUCUUGUAAUGCUCAGCUAUGUUUUCAGAACCGGACCGGGUAGUGACUUGGCCGAGGUCAGGGGUCAGGGGUCAAUGGAUUCGACCGGGGGUCGAUAGGGGUCGAACCGGAUGACGUCAUAAAUAAAAAUUAUUUAAAAAUUAAAAUAUUAUAUAUAUAAUAUCUAAUAAUAUAUUGAUAUUAAUAAAGGUAUAUUCAUAUAUAUUUGAUGUUUCAAAUAUAUUUAACAAGAAAAUACAAAAAAAUUAGAACAAUCAAGUAGCAAUUUAUAUUAUUUAAUAAAUAUUAACAAGUUAGAAUUAAAAUUAUGAAUUUAAUUGAAAAAUAACAUCAAAUUUUAGGACAAUAUUUAUAAAGUAUCAAAUAUUUGAGGUAUAUCAAUAAGUUUUAACAAUUUAGGGGGUCAAAACAUAAUAUUAAAAAGUUUGAAUUUUUUUUUAAAAAAAUUACUGUUGAACCAGAAAAAUCGGUUUUUUCCCGAUCAAACCCUGUUUUUGACCGGCUUUGACCGGGUUUUAAAUUUUCGGUUUUUUAAUAUGACUCGGACCGGCUACCUGGCCGAUUCCCGGUUCGACUGGCCGGUCCGGUCCGAGUUUUAAAACAGAGAUGCUCAGAAGUUGUUUAAAUCUACUUGACAUCUUUUCAUAUUUUUGACAGUUGAUUAUCCAAAAACUGUCUGAACACUUACAUUGAUAUUGAGGAAAUUUUUUACCAACACAAAUGCACAAAUCAGUGGUGAAAGGUUGAACUCUUGAUCAUUUUCAAUCUCAAUUCUAUAAAGGUCUAGUAGGGAUAGCUUGCUGUAGAAGAUUAUUUUUCCUACUAUUAGAAUUUUUUGCAAAAACACACCAUAGUUCAAGUAGAUUUGUUUAACUUUGUACAAGAGUUAAGACAAGCAUUCUUCAAAUUAUCCUAAAGGAUAUUUUUUCAAAGUUUUUACACACAAAAUUUUGGACAAAUAAAGUUUAAAGGAAAGUGAUCUUGAAUCACGAUUUGAAGUCUUUUUGCUUUGUAACUUUCAGCCAUGUUCUCUUGUAGUCUCUAAUAAUUUUUUCGAGGCUCUAAUUUGGAGACGCAUACAUUGCACGUGGAUUAGAAUAUGGCUAGAAGGAAGACUAGGAGAAUAGUAGAGACCAAUAUAUAUAUAUACUAGUUUUGGGGUGCCACGCAUUGGCGUGGCACUGCCCAGGUUUGUGUUUAAUAUGUAUAUAUAAUUUUGGUGUUAUUUAUGAGAAGAGUGUUGUAUGGUAAUACUGAUGCAAUGGCGUGACAGGAUUUAGUUAUUAUGGGCAACACAUACAAAAGAAAAAAUAAAAAACUAAUAAAUAGAAGAGAACCUGAAAGAAAGAAGAGAAGAAAGCUCCCUAUAGCCUAACCGAAAGCAAAAAACAACGGAGUUAAACUGACAUCACAGUCACCCAGCGAACUCGGAUCAAUCCAGUAUUUGCUCAACAAUGACCAAACGUACCAUGCAGCAGCCAACUGGACAAUGACUCAACGCACCCUAUACACAAUAUAGCGCCACACAGUCACCUACAACAGCACCCACUAACAUGCACCCGAUUCAAUAAACCCCACUAAAAGGCAAUGCCCAGGUUUAAGCUUAGCAUGUAUAAUUUUAGGGUUCUGUUUAUAAUGCAAUGCAUGUAAUGGUAUCCAAAUGGAAAUUCAUGUGCAUGUGGUGAGAAUAUUUGUCUAUAAUAAUGAUAUACGCGUUAUUGAAUCUGGAGUAAAUAUACUUACAGGAGAGAUAAUUAAUUGUAUUAGGUUUGUCAUGCCUAAAUGAUUUUUGUUGAUAAUUUGGAAAGGAUUAUUUUGUUUUAUUUUUUAUUGUUCCUUUGAUAUGUUAUAAUUUCUUUUAUGGGUUAUCCUAAUUGUUAGGCUCAUAUAAUAACUUAGGUAGUAACUAAGUUAGGAUAGUUAAAUUCUGAUUUUUGUUAACACUCAAUUGAAUUCUAAUUAUCAUCUACUAUUAGCUAGUCAAUAGUUUUAGUAUAGUUAAAUUAGUUAAAUUUUUCAUUUUGAAUUCAAAAUUUGAUUUUAUUAUAGUUCAAUUAGUUAGCUAGUCAAUAGUUUUAGUAUAGUUAAAUUAGUUAAAUUCUAAUUAGCUAGUCAACACUCAAUUAAAUUCUAAUUAUCAUCUACUAUUAGCCAGUCAAUAGUUUUAGUUUAGCAUAGUUAAUUUAGUUAAAAUUUUCAUUUUGAUUUUAUUAUAGUUAAAUUAGUUAGCUAGUCAAUAGUUUAAGUAUAGUUAAAUUAGUUAAAUUUUUCAUUUUGAAUUGAAAUUUUGAUUUUUUUUUAACACUCUAAUUGUAAUUAGGAACGAUUAGCUCCUUGAAUUGGCCAAUAUUACACCAAUAACCGGUCUAAUGUGGCUAAUAUUACACCUAUUUGAUUUUAUAUCAUAUAUUUCUAAUUGUAAUUAGGAAAAUUUUGAUUUUAUUAUAGUUAAAUUAGUUAGCUAGUCAAUAGUUUUAGUAUUGUUAAAUUAGUUAAAUUUUUCAUUUUGAAUUGAAAUUUUGAUUUUUUAACACUCUAAUUGUAAUUAGGAACGAUUAGUUCCUUGAAUUGGCCAAUAUUACACUAAUAACCGGUCUAGUGUGGCUAAUAUUACACCUAUUUGAUUUUAUAUCAUAUAUUUCUAAUUGUAAUUAGGAACGAUUAGUUCUUUGAAUUGGCCAAUAUUACACCAAUAACCAGUCUAAUGUGGCUCCAUGCAAUCACCAACAAAUGAAGAAUAGUUAUUGGCACCACCGUAACCAAAGGGCCCUCAGAUUGGUGUAAAUUACUGCAACAACCCACUAAGACACCCUAACCAAAGGCCCCUCAAAUUGAUGAAAAUUACUGCAAUAACCGGACCACAAUUGCUACAGUAACUUGAGCUUGGUACUUUUAUAUCUUGUAAGAUAUAUAUAUAUAUAUAUCCCAACAAUAUAUUUAUAUCCCCAAAUGGAUGCUUUUCUUCUGCCCCAAUUCUUUAAUCUUGGUAGUCCUUGAUGUAUAACUGGCUGCUAAUAUAGCAAGUAUUUGAAUGACAUCAUAUGGUAAGGACAUAAAUGCAUCCACUUAAUACAGUCCAUAUUUGCAUGCAUGUUACAUGACAACGUAGACAUUCAAGAGACCAAAAGUGAACUAAGAAUAUGUCUAGUUGCAUAUCAUUGUGUUGAAACCUUGAAAGCCCUUUUAACUGAUAGUUGUACCUGUACCCCAAAGUUCCUGAUCGAUCGCCAGCCCUGAGUUCGUUAUGUGGAGAAUUGUCUGUCAACAUCUAUAACUACAAGAAGCGAAGGUUGGUUUUUCAUGAUAGUUUCUCACUUGCAAUCCAAUAUCCUGAUCAUAUUUUUCCAAGCUUUGGAAAAAGACGUGAAUUUCACGGGGGAUUUAGAUGGAAAGCAAAAGGAGUAUGGUAGUAAUGAUCUCAAAAAGAAGACAAGGAUCUUCCUUGUCCCAUCGACCUUGGCUGAGAGUUUAGUUGAUUUCGUCCAUAUAUAUGCAGGCCAUGUAGGCUAUGUAUGUUACAUGUUAUAGGCCUCAAAUAAUCUUUUCCAGGCCUUGGUUUGGAGAAGCACAUAAAUCGCACGAGGAAUAUUACAGGAGGAGAAUGGUAGUGACAAUUAAAAAAGACCAAGGAAACCCUCUCAAACACUUGCUUUCGAUUAACAUUUGCUCAGCAUCUGAGAUUAGUUGAUGACGGAAACACUCAUCAACUGUUUGCCAUCCAUAACCUUUGCGUGCAUGUACGAGUAUGCUAGAUGGCUGAAGCUUCAAACAUACAGCUGAAUUUGAGUUUUUUUUUUUUUUUUUUGAGGUUUUAGACGGUGGAUUUUGGGAUUAAUUUCUCAAUCAAGUGCAAGAAUGUUGACCAAAAUAUGGAUUUACAACUUUAUGCUACUUGUCAACUUUGGCUGAUAAUUAAAAAAAAUGUUGCGUUUGCAACUACCUGCCAACUCUUUGCUCUCAUUUUCUACGUUUAUGCUUGAGAUUCUGAAAUUUUAAGGGGUUUGAAUCAAUAGUUUUAUGGUUAAAUUCACUGAAGUGUGACAAAUGGACUCAAAUUGAAAAAAAAAAAAAACAAAAGUAAUUUAAGCAAGGUAUCAUAAGAGGGAGAAUGAAGAAGAAAAGAGGGGAGAAAUCAAUCCAGAGAAUGAACAGUACCACGACAGAAACUGUUAUAAAGGAUAAAAGAGUUGCAACAAUGAUGAGGGAUGUGAGAGUGGUCUUAAGAUACAUAGGUCUUACCAUUUCCGAAUCUAAUCUGUGUAAUCAAUAUAUUUUUAAUGCUUUCUUUUUCUUUCAACAAUUUUUUUCUUGUAAUAAAUUUAAAUUAUUCAUUUAUUUUUCUAGAGUAACUUUACUUAAUCAGGCUUUAAUUUAUUAAUUUUUUCUUAGAAACUAAGUAUUUGUUUCAUGAGAAAAUGGAUUACUGCAUCUUUUAUAUUUAAUUGAAAAGGUUACGUAGCCUUAGGUGUAUAAUUAUUGUAAAAAAUUUAAUUGCUAUCUCAAAAACCUUUUUUUUUUUUUGGUUUAUGCAUCCUAUUAUGACAUAUUUAUGUAUAAAAGUUAUUAAAAAUUGGUAUGGUUGUCGACUAAUUAAUAUGUAAUAAUUUUCUGGAAUAAACAUCAUAAAACAUAUAAGAAUAUCAUUCAUAUUUCUUUUCUUUUUCGGUUAUUUAUUCCUUGGACAUGUUCGUAAAUAAUUAACAAAAAUACGUGCAUUAGCACGGCUGAAAUACUAAUUAUUAUUACUUCAAUGAAAUCCACGAUGGUUGUACGUACUCUUUUAUUUGAAAUUUAUAUUUGUCGACUUGAAAAUGACCAAGAACAAUGCAACACCAUUUACGUGGCUUAAAUUAAUACGACAUGAUUACUACAACUAGGAAUAAUCUAUUUCUCAUGUAGAUCGACUAUGGAAAAAACUAUUUGGACACAAAAACUGCAUCGUCUUCUAAUUCUUUAGUUGUCCAAAUUGCUUCAUGAACUUCAAAAUUGUCCUUAAACUUUAGAUUGGGAUAUCUUAUUCCUAAAAUGCAAAAGCUUCUGCCAUUUUAAUUAGCCCUUCUCAUAAGAUAAUCAUUGCAUUAAAAACUUACUUAAACAAGCAAACUAUGAUUGAAAAUAAUAGAAAUGCUAUUCUCUUUAUCGUGAAAGGACCUUAUGCUACAAGUGAACUACAACGUGAUAAAGUCAUGACAAUAGAUAGGGAAGCUUGGAUAAGUACCAAAAUGUUGCCUAAUCUUGUGAUCUCUUGGCCUAAAAUUUAAUGUCGGUGUUACAAUAACAAGUUAAAUAUUUAGUUAAUGGUCAUAGUAAAAGCAAAUAAUCUUCAAUCAGUCAAAUGAGUCCCAUCGUGAAUUAAUAGACAUACAUCAACUUAAUUAUCUAAUUUUUUUUUUUUUUUUUUGGAACGACACCAUUUACACAUCUAAAAAAUAAGCAACCAUAUUCUUUAGGGUAUGAUCUCAACUGUAUAUGGAUAUAGAAGUCACAAGUUCACGCCUCACUUAAUUAUUUGAGGUCGAUUUGGUUUUGCAAAGACAUAUAUUUACUAGUCAUAAAUAAUAUAUAUAUUAACUAGGUAAUUUUUGGAGCCAAAAUUAUUCUCUUUCCCAGGUUGCAGUAAACAACUUAAAGAACCUAAUUCCAGCUUACCUGCGGAUUGAUAUAUAAAUUGGGAUUUUGAAUCUUGAAUCUUCUUCAAAUUAUCUGUCGUGAAUUAGAUUGAAAGACAUAUUCAUUUUCUUAAAAGAAAAAAGCAGUAAACUGAACUUAUAACCCGUCAUGGGUCUAUCACAUCACAGGGAAGGAAUGUUGCAACACCAAACAGUGAAAAUGUCUCCAAUGAAACAUCAUAAUAAAAAAUUCCCAGCAACUCUACAAAAAUUUUGACACAAACUUUCAAAUAUAGAAGUACUGCGACACUUUCUUGAAACCUUUCUGUGUUUUGCACAAACUCAAUAGCCAUGCCAAGAAACAUCAUGAUUUGCACGCACCAUGUUUCAAGUUUGAGAUCCCUCCUAUCCUGGAACCCAAACUCAGCAACUACUUGAAUUCCUCUUAAGUAGCCAUCUUGUCUUGUCAGGGGAUCCCUUGUAGAUCCAUCAUCUUUCAAUGUCACCAAACCAUCAAGCAUGACCAGCGCAGAGGCAUAUAGAGUUGUGAACGGAUGAACAGUCAAGUAAUAACUAUACGAUUUGAGCUCCUCAAAUCGAGAGUAACGUUGUCUUUGCGAUCCCUUGACGUAUAUACAAGAUGAAACCGAAUCUUCUGAAUCUAAAUACAUUGAAUUUUGGUCUACAAUGCUUGGGGAAUGACCAAAUUCUCCACACUUGAGAUCAAAACGAGAAUUGGACGAGAAGUUUAGGAGGAAUUAAGUAACUAGAGAAUAGUAAAGCUGGUCUGCAACAUAAAACAGGGAUUUUGCCACAUCCUCUGAUAUUGCAUCAGACUUGAACUUUGCAUCUUUCGUUGUCUAUAUGGCCCCAAUCAAUUAAAUGGAUGCAAAUCAUGCAAUGAUGUGGAGGCCAGUGUAUAGUGUAUAAUCCGUUAUAAUCUUACAUGUAUGCAUAAACGGAUGUAUAGCAUGAAUCUUUCACACAUAAACACCUGUUUAUGCACACUGGUGUGAUUAAUUAGCCUUCUCAAGUGGGAAAACUAAUUAACAUAAUACAUAGGGCUCUGAAAUCCUUGCCAACUUAGAGUAGGAGUACGCCUAGACUGCUAGUGAUGCUUAAAUGCAAUUAGAUGACGGGUUUUAUUUAAUCAGAUUUUCAAACGAUUGUAGUUAUUCUUGGUGCUUUAUGCAUAAAUGGAGAAACCUCAUUCAUUGCUUUUGGAUAUCUUAUCACUCAUAGAAAAGUAUACAUGAUAGAGUAGAAAAACAAAAUUCUCUGCUUAAUUAGCGAUGAUUUGAUUUAUUAAACCAAUUGAACAUGUACACUGGGGUCAAUUUCGAAAGAUUUUGCACUUCACACUUGUAAACGAUAUUAGAUUCUCAAAUAAUCACACAAAUUAAGGCGUUUGAUACUUGGCACGCUACUAGUCAGCUAGUUAUAGGCUAGAAUAUGACGGUUUAUCAUAUUUUCAUUUUGCCACUUAAAAUGAUCAAAGCGAUUGUGAUGAUGAUGAGGGUUGAGGGAAGUGAAAGUGAAAGUGACAUUAAUUAUCAUUUUGAUUGAAAGCUGUGUCCUUCCAAGCUUGAGAUAUAUAACGAUCUAAGGGGUAGGAAGCAUUUUCUUUUCUGCGGAAAGAAGGGUGGAAGUGACUGAAACAGGAGCAAUAUAAAGAUUUGGACAUCCAGGGAAUGCAGCACAGGAGAAGGGAAUUAAAGGGAGUGGUGACUGAGAAUCUUGUUGAUCCUCCUGAUAUAUGCAUGCUCUUACCUCAGAAUCCUCUAGCUCUGAAGAGGGUAAUGAUGAUUCUGAUGAUAACUACGACAAUAACUAGGAAGAACCAGGGAGCUCUAUUAUCACUUUUAUGGGCCCAUAAAUAUCAAACAACAAAAAUAAUUUAUCAAGCAAGAAAGCACAAAACAAAAAAUGGAGUCUAUCAAAAUGCAGCGGCUACAACUUACUAAAGAAAUGGAGACAGUGCCUUUAGUCACUAUUUCGACAUUUUGAUGAAUGGCUGACCGUGUAUUUCCUAAUUGUAGAAUUACGUAGGUAAUUUGUGGAGCCAAGAUAUUGUUUUCACAAUUUGCAGUGCAUAUAGAGGAUUAAUUUGCAGUACAACUCAAAAAAUGGAAUUCCACACAUACACACGCACACACAUAUAGAGGAUUAAUUCUUCUUACAUCGUCACACUGUAUAUGCUGAUAGGAUUGAAUGAAUGUCAUAUUAUUUGAAUUUGAAUUUAAACAUUAAAUUUUGUAUAUGUGAUAUGCAUUAAUUUAAACCCGUUAGUGUAUACGCUAUUAAUGCAUAAAAGAUUUACUCAUUUAUAUAUAUAUAUAUAUAUAUAUUUGGAAAAACACGUGACUUGCACGAGAAUAUUAAGACCAAGAUGAAUAUGAAAAAUUUCUAUCCUAUAAAGUUUUUUGGGUUUCGAUUGCAUGUACAAGGGUAGACUUGCCAACAAGCCAAACACCAAAGUGCAACAGAGAAGUGGCCCUAACUAACCUCCUUCGAUUUCUCCAUCCACGAAAAAUUAUAGCGCAAAUGAUUCUUGCGUCCCUAUAGAUUAUGUUUUAGGAAGCACCAAUCCUGGUUAAACAAUUUGUGAAACAAGGCUUUAAUAUGAGUAUAGAUUAUGAGUAUAUAUAAAUUAACAAAGGCAAUUUCUAGAGGGUAUACAACUUGUUUAAUUCAGAGAAUUAGAAUAUCGUACAUGGUAUGCUUGUCUUGUGGAUGUUUUUUGAAUUUAUUAUCUCUCUGUAUAUUCUUUUUUUUUUUUUACAAGUCUUGAAAAUAUAUUGUUCUAUGUCUUUUUCCAAAAUAAAUUGUAUUUUUCUUUUCAAUUUGUCAUUUUAUGGGGAUAAAAAGUUCCAAAUUCAUAAUGGUCUCUUUUUUCUUUUUUUCUUUUUUUAUAAGCCCUAACGGUCUUGUUUUGAUUUGGUUCAGAAUUUGGGAACCUACUAUCUUUUUAUAGUUAAAAAAGAGUAUAAAACUAAGUCACUUUAUGAGCCUUGACAGUAGAUAUUAACAUUUGUUGGAAAAAACAUAUGAGUCUUGAUAGUAUUAUGCUUCUUUUAAAUUAAAAAAAAAAAGGGAAAAACAAUGGCACAAAGUUGGGCACACUUUUGUUCUUAGUUUUACACAAAUGAAUUAUUAGAUUUUUAAACUUAUGUUGUAAAAAAAAAAAGGACAACUAAACAAAAAAAAAAAAAAGAGGAAAUGAAAAGAAUAGAGAUGAAGCUGAAACACAAAUAGUCAAACUCUCAUUCCACAUUUGUUGAUCUAUUUGAAAUGGUCUUUUUUAUCAUUUGCAAAAUUCUUUUCUUACCAGAAGUUUUCCAAAACUAAAGACACCACCUUUUAAAUACCAAAAUUCAUUAAUUAUAGUAACGUUAUUCACAUUAACGAGUGCCCAUUGAACAUCCGUGGACCAAUUAACAAAUAUGUGAAAUGAGGCUUUAAUAGAUUUAAUGACAAUAAUAGUUUUCUCGACUGUACUUCUCGGAUGAGUAGCUCACCCUCAAGUAUUUUUAUCUCUCUUUUUCGAGAAGAAAAUAUUAAAAAGAUAGGUUUUCUUGAGCAAACAUUAAUCUUCUAUCAAUCACAGAUAAACUUGUACGCACAAAAAAAAGAAAAAGAAAAAUAGAAAAUGAUACAAGUAGUACAACUAGUCAACCCAAAGGAAAACUUAGAAUCCAUUUGGAUUGCAUUUUUUUUUUUUUUUUUUGGAGAGUUUUGUAGAAGAAUUCAUGUGACGAUUUUUUUUUUAGGUGUGAUGUAUAUAAGGUAAAAAGGUAAUUGAAAAAUGUGAAAAUGAAUAAUUUGAUGGAAACUCAAAAAAAUUUUCCACUGAAAGUACAACCCAAACAAGGCCAAAUUAUUUACCUUCGGAAUGCUAGAGGCUUUGAGAAGUUCUGUAUAGUGCAAACAAAGCAGUAUUGGUUUACUUUAGAGAAUUGAAAUUAUCUUCCUCAAUCAGUACAUCGAAAUGCAAAAGAAAACAAAUCCAUCCAGCCUAAACUUAUUUUCAAUUGAAGUAUGAAAUUAUCCUGAAUUAAUGCCUUUACAUAGAUAGCUCUCAUUACCCUUACUCCUUCUACUCAUCAUGUUCAACUUUUGGUCUGUAAUCUGCUGAGGUGCACAGAUGUUGCACCUUGCCUGAGCUAUAUUAAUGGUAUUUGCAUUUAGUUGCCACUUAGACAUGAGGUAAUAUGCAUUUGUCUUCUUAACAUCUAUAUAUAUAUGUGUGUGUGUCUGUCACAGAAGGAGCACCUGUAGUACAUUUUAAGUUGUACCCAAUUUAAGCUUAAAUGUGUAAUUAAGUGACACACCUACUGCAAUUGUAACUCAUAAAUAAAUAUGCUUAAUUACCCAAAAAAUAAAAUAAAAUAAAAAACUCACAAUACAUACCAAGAAUCUUUAUAAAUGUAUUUUUGAGCAUUUUAAUUAAUCUUUAUAAAUCUUAAUUUAAGAAUAUAGAGAUGCUUUAAUUACGUAGUUGUCAAUUCUAAUUCUUGAACAAUUUUGUUAAGCCUGUUGUUACAUCAGUUUCCCUCAUUUUCUAAGACAUUUCCAUAUCAGAAACUGAAAAAAAAAAAAAAAAACAUGUUUUUUAGCUACCCAAAUAUAUAUAUAUAUAUACAUGUUUUUUUUUUAAUGAAUUCUGCGUAUUUGAUGCCUACUGUUGAGUGUUAUCCAAUACUGCUACUAAAUAUUCAUACAUCAAUAUAUGCAUAUCUCUAAUUACAACUAGUACUUUGAUAUAAUUAAGCAUAUAACUAUGAAGAAAAUUGAUUAUAUAUUUGUAAGGUCUGCUGCUUCUGUUGGCCGACUUAAUUGGUGGCCACGAGAACUCUCAUUUUCAUCCAAGUCUGGCGACGUACCCCAUUUUGCAUGGGGGCAAUCCGCCAUCUCCAUUGAUGGAAGUUGUUGUUUUAGCCAGUAGAUCGAGGACGGACCAUAUUGGGCUCCUCGCCAGGAGCUGAACCCAGCUGGACCAGAGCCAUCGGUGUUCAAUCAGGGCAUAGACUGCACUACUUCUGCUGAUCGUGUGGAGCUUAACAUAGAGCAGCUGCCGCAUCUUUUUCCCUCUAUAUUACCGGCGACUGCAAUGCAUUAAUACUUCAUCAUGAAACUUCAGACAGCAGCGAACCAGAAAAUUUUUCUUCAUCUUAAUUUCUCUACACUUUGAACCUAGCUAGUUCGUUUUAGUAUGCAGAACUGUUGUUUAGUUGUAAUAUAUUUGGUUUCAAUUUCUCUCAACAAGAAAUUCUAGCCGAUUAAGGGCCGAGAGUAGAUGAAUUUAGUUCAAGAUCUGAAGUGAAUGCUCUCUUAGAAUUCAAGCUCCAUUAUUGAAAACUGAAUAUUCAAGAUUGUGCUGUCUAAACAUCUCACUUUCAUUCGAAUUGCAAUAACACAUAUUUGAAACAAUUGGACCAACAUACUUUAAUAGCUCGUGUGAAACAAUUUAGGGCACUUCUAAGCUCUAGAUGAUGAAAUGUGCAACCUUCGUGAAAAAUAUAGAUUUAAUUUAAUUAUUCUAAAAGAAAAAGUAUAAAAAAAAAAAAAAAAAUCCAUGGCCUAGUUAUUUCCAAAACAGAAAUUAAAAAUUUUUACUUAAGACUAUAGACUAGUGCAUUCACAAUACCACCCCAAAAUGGAUGUUUAACUAGCUAGCUAAUAUGGCAUGUAUUUCAAUAUAUGAUAUGUUAAGAAAAUAAAUACACCAUUAAAGUCCAUAUUUGCAUGUACAUUUUUAUGUGACAAUGUAAACAUUACACACUCAAGAGUCCAAGUAGGACUAAUGUCCAGCUGAAUACAUCCCAUCCCAGAAGGUCCUUGUCUGAAACCUUGAGAGCUGAUAGUAGUAGCAUCAGUACCUAAAAAUUCCAGCCACCCCAGAAGCUAGCAGAACCACCAGGUAAUUAAUUACAUAUACAAGAGCAAAAGGUACAAAACUAGUCCCAAUUUCAUACUUUGGAACAUGAGUAGUGAAGUUAAUAACUUUUUUUUUCUUGAUUUUUUGGACUUGCUUGGUUUAGAUUAUGAAAGUCUAGACUGAACUGUUGUCCAAUUGGGCUAUAAAUGCUGUGAUCAAUGUCUUUUUGGAUUUCACUAAAUUCCUUUUUUGCACUAUCUAUGACAUCAAAUUCAACUUCUACAAGAGAAGAACUUGCGAACAAUGGUUUUUAGGUUUGUAAUCCUGGGUGCACACAUGUUGCACCAUGCCUGCGCUAUACUGGUAUAGCAUUGAGUUUUCACUUUGGCAUAAGGUAAUAUGUGCAUUAAUCUUCUUACCAUCUAUAUCCGUCGAAAAGAUCAUCUAACCUGGAUUUUACUGCUUUUAGAUGAACUCUUAAUUAUGAAUAUCGUGUUAAGAAUCUAGGCCAAAGUUCAAUGUCUGAUUAAAUUCUUUUUUGGCAACUGAUAUCAUCUAAGAAAACAUCAUUAUAUUUAUAGAGUGAUUUUGCCAUUAGACGAAUAUUUGGAAAAAUAAAAAAAUUAGGAUGAGACUGCUCUAUCAAGGGUUUUAAUCUGUAGGUCUAACAUUUUGUUCUACUAAAGGUUGAUUGGUGUGAGUAAUGUAUCAACUCUAAACAAAUUAUUGGGAAUCCAUUACAAGUAAUAUCUGCUACUUCUAGGUAGAUUGAAGAUUGAAGUAUAGUGGCAAUUAAGCAAAUUUUGUUGUGAAAAUCUAGACUGGACUCUUGUCCACUUGGCCAUAAUUUUUGCAAUCUUUAAGUGCCUAAGAAACUAGCUUAAUAGAAGUGCAUGAAGCGUUACAACUAUUAUGAUCCCAUGAAGCUAGUAACAAGGCUGCUAGGCCAAUCUCUUCCUUUGUUCUAUGAACCCUACAACCACCAGAGACUUUGUUCUGUGGUCGGGCAGAAAUUGUACGCAUGAAUGGAGCCCCAUCCACCCACAAAUCCACCACCAAAAGAAAAAGGCGGAAGAGCAACAGAUGAUGUGAUUUCCCAAUACUAUCACAUAAGAUCAGCUUUCCCUCCUCCUCUUGCCCGGGCUUGGGACCGGCUGUCUGUGGAGACAGGCGGAGUUACAAAGCCAUCCUACCAAACAAAACAGCACAAGCAUACAAGCCAGCCACAUUCAAGAACAAUAGAGAAGAAAGUUAUCCCCACCAAAAGGCAAGCUACAAACGUCUCAGCAAUCUCACAAAUAGCGAAAUAGACUUGCAACAAUCCAUACCAGAGUACAAGAGAACUCUACGAAUAGCACAGCACACCUUUCCUUAAUAAUAUACCUUUUUUUUUUUUUGGGGGGGGGGGGCCGCGGGGAGGAGGGUUUUUAAGUGUCCACACGGAGGGGGGGCCUUCAAACCCAUUAGACAGCCUUGAAUUUACCAAUUAGAUCACAAAUUACCACACAUUCCUUCAAGUGACUAAAAAAAAUAAAAAUAAAAAUUUUAAAAAUUGAUGCUAAAAAUUUUACAUAAUGCUAAAGGCUGAUAAAAGAUCAAAAAUUACAUAGUGCAAUCAUCCAACAACAAAUAGACCCUACUUAUGGGACUUAAAAAGUCAACACACAUCACAGGGGCUUAAGCUACACAGGUAAAUCAUACAGAGAAUGACAAGUUGCCCUGGAAAACGGGAACUCUUUCAUUUCUUGAAUCCACCGAAAUCAACCUCAAAAGUUGUACGCACUUCAAAUAAAUUAAUGAUUUUCAAGACUUGUACACAAGGGCAUUUGGAUUCCUCUCAAUCUGUCAAUCAUUUAUGAUUGGUUAUAUGAACACAAUACACCUGUGCCAGGGCCUGUUAAGAUGCAACCACCUUCCCAAAACCACAACGCAUACAACUAUUGCAGAUCUUAGAUUGGACCUCUUGAUGCCACACCAUAACUGUUAAAGGCCACAAGCAAAUAUUGUCCAAUAAACCCAAGGAUAACAAAAUUCAGUUGCACUUUAAAGUUGCAUACUAAACCUAUGUACCAGAGGAUCACAAAAUUCAAGUAUGAAAUGAAAUUCACAAACAGUACCAGUACCAGUGGUAUGUAAGUUGAUGACUACGAAGACAGAUAUUGCACGCAUCUGUUCUUACAUGACUUAACAAUACCAGUACUGAUACCAGUUGUAUGCAAGUCGACGACUCUGAAAACAGAUAUUGCAUGCAUCUGUUCUAACAAGAUUGAACCGGCAUCUGCUUAUGAAGUGAGAAUAACCACCUGACACUGCUCUCUUCCACUCAAUUGUAGAUAAUGAACGCCAGCAGCGAGUACUCAAUGGUGAUGGAGAAACAGUUGAAGUUAUUGUGCAUAGUAACGGACAAACCAGUUAAAACAUACAAAAAACCCAAGAAAGGAUAGGAGGCAAGAAAUACACCCCCAACUUGACCAUGACCAUGAACUUGAUAAUCCAUACUGAGUUGCAUCUUAGGCCACACCCCAUAGUAUAUCAGAAGUUUCCACAUUCAAAGUCGUCAAAUCAAAUUCCAUGCAGACUAGAAAGCACUUCAUCUUUUCCAUCCAUAUGACUUAAAAGGAGAAACAGAAAUAGAAAUCCCAAUUUCUGGACAUUGAACUCAAGAACUGGCUGAGGUAAAGAUAUCUUAAAUUCACUGGAAUAAGCAUGCUUGCUACAGAAUAUACAAUACUCUGCUAAAUACCACCAUAACUCCAGAUAACGCUCAUACUAUCAAAGCAGAUUCUGCAAACUUCCCAGUAUAUUAACACCACCAUCAUGAAUAAACCUGGACAAACAAAAUGACACUACGGCUAAGCUCAGACAUAUCCAUUACAAAUGAUCAGGAUAAGAAACCUCUACAUCUGUUUUGAUUUCAUGUUGAUCGGUAGUAUGCAAUUAGGAUAACUGUGCAGAAGCUAGGUAGAAUGGGUUAGUAAUGCAGAAAUUCAGGCUUGAAAACACAGAUCUGACUUCAACUCCCAGCCCUUCCUGAAAUUGAAUGCCGUAAUUUAAUUUUAAAAACUACGUAGUACUGUACAAAGAGAACCAAACACAACCACAAGAGAGAAGAAACUCCUUUGGAAUCAUGCAGACCACAAUACCCGGUGACAAAAUGACCAGAGAUUCUUGAAUUCAAGCUCCCUCAAAUGAAGACCAGAUAAAGCCAAGUUAAUAACAACUCAGCAAAUGCAACAGACCAAGUAGGGAUAUCAGAGAGAGAGAGAAACUCCUCUGAAAUCAUACAGACCACAAAAUCAGAUGAGACAAGAAAUUCUUGAAUUCAAGCUCCCUAAAUGGAAACCAAAUAAGACUCAAGUUAAUAAUGAGCCCAACAAUCAUCACAUUCAGCAUAUGACAGACCAGGUAGGGAUGAGAGAGAAAUCAAUCCGGAUCAUGGUGAACCAUAAAUUUUCUCAUCCCUCCAAUAAAGUUCUUUGCAUCUCCUAAUAAUUCACCCCAUCUGUUAUUCUAUAACAAAAACGUCAAAUAGUGACAGAGAGAGUUUUGACAUAUCAAGAAGCUAAUUGAGGUCAAAAUUUUCCAAAAACUUAUAAUAGACCCUGAAAAACAUGACAAACCAAAUAUUCCUAUUCCCCCUCUUUUUUCUUUCGAUACUCGCUAAUGAACUCAAUAAUAAAAACGCUGAAAACACAGCAUAUCUGGAGAACCAUCAUGACUAAUUCAGAAUUCAUCCAUCAAAAGCUAAUGAAUUGAUGUAAUAUAUGUGAAACAUCCCACCGUACAACUCAAUUCCAUAAGGCCUAAACCAUUACCUUGACCCUAUUACUUGAAAAACCUAACCAUGAUCAAAACUCCUGAAUCCAAUCUGCAGAAUUAAACAAAUUAUAAAGCCUGAAUAAUGCGCCAGUGAUGUUCUCAACAAACACAAUAACAGAAUGACAUGAAGAGAGAUUCCAUGAUUCAAACCACAGUACCAUGGAUAUCUGAAAAAGAAUUAUCAUCCAAGAGACCUCUAUUUCUUCACAGUCCUCUCGCUAGGACUAGAGUUCUGCAAGGGAGUACCAGGACAUCAGAACCCAACUUAAACUCGACACCAAGAUGAAAACCAAUAUCAGAGCUGUCCAUUAGUUCCAACUACCCAGAAAUUUAAAUUAUAUUACAUACCAUCAGAACUGAUUAAAAUACGAAGCCUAACGAUAAUUCUCUUUAGAUCAUGAUGAGUUAUCAAAACACCAGGAACCGCCUAUACAUACAAGUUCAAUGGCAGAAUUAGAUAAAUUUACAAUAAAACAAUCCCCAAAGAAAGAAAAAGCCUGGGAUUAAGCUAAUUGUAAAUUAAUGAAGAAGAAAGUAAAAUAGGUGCAAGUGAAUUAAAUGGGCAGGUCGCAGGUGACCAAUAAUUAACAGUUGGGAUUAAGCAGUCAUACACAAUUGCUAUUCUCUUCCUUGAUGCAUAAGGUAUUUCCAAAAACAAGAAAAUUUUUAAUUAAAUUUAAAUUAUAUAAUAGCCUACACACAUCAGAAGGACCAAAGCCCAAAAAAUCCUCAAGGAGGAAGGAAUGGUAAGACUAGGUAAGAAGACAAACGCCCUCCAAAAUAAUGUACUAGCCUUUGAUCUGAGGAUAGAGACCUUAAAGUUUUCACCACACCUCCAAAUCACUGGAAUCCUAGACUUAACACAAAAUAAUAUACCAAAUUAAGAACAAGUAGAGAAAAUCAUUUUUCAAGAAAAUGAACCCAAAAAAAAAUUAAAAGAGAGUAGGGAAAGAGAGAGCAAAUCAAAAUCUUAUCACAACCGAGUAGCAGGAUGAUACUCUCGCAGUUCAAGCUUCCCUAAAAUCAAGACAACAGAUAGAAGCCAUCACCAAAUAUCCCCAGUGAAUUUUUCAAGGAAAGAGAACAAAGAAAGACCAUGUUGCCAAGAAAAGCCCCCGAUUUAAUUCACAUCUAUGCAAAAGAAAGCUCUUCUCGCCUCCACACACCAGAAGUCCACUAUUCUUGAAAGACGGCAUCAAAAGAACCAGAGAAGAAACACAGAUCUUGAAACAUCACCAUGAUCGAAACAAACAGCAAUGCAACAGUGAUACAGAAAGCAAAACUCCAGAUAACGGAUUACGUUCACAGCCAUCCAAUAAGUCUAAGAAUCAUCACAUCCAAAAGCCCAUAUUCAGUCACCACCCUCAGGAGGAUUCUGCAAGCGAGUGAAAACAUAAACAGCCAACAGAGACUGAACUUGGCACAAAACUGAAAUAAAAAUUGUAGAUCAUCUACCAUAUUAUCAAAACCAAUAUAUGUAGCAUUUAUUCUUCUUCAGACCAUGAUGAAUCAGCGACACCAAAAUCCCUACCUAUACAAACAUGUUAGAUAAAAGAAUUUAAUUACCGUUAGAUACCAAGCACCGCAGAGCCAUCACCCAAAGAGAGGUCCUGGACUAAGCUAAUCCAUCAAGAGCCAAGUAAAGAACAAUUGGGUACGAUAACUUUAGCUUAAUUGACUGGGCAGAUUGAAAGUGAUUCAUACAGUCCAGAAAUAAACAAAGUUGAGAAUAAGCAGAGAGAUACGCUUGAUUAUACCCCCAUCUAUUUCUCAUGAAUCAGGAAAGUCAACUCUGCCGAAAUUACUGCCAGACCAAAUAACGGACACAAUAAGAAAAUAAGAAAUAUUACAAAUAAGGUGUCAAAACCCCUAAAUUCCUCAUGCACAAACAAUACAGACAGAGCAAAUCUACCAUCCAGAGAUCUCUCAUUGAUUCGAAGGAAAAAACAGAACAAGUAGGGGAGGAGCUUUCUCCAAAAUCUUGUAGACCAGAAUAGCAGGGUAACAAACAUGACGAGAAUGCUUUGUGAUCCAAGCUAUCCUAAAAUGAAGACAACAUCGAGAUGCCAUUACCAACAAACACCAGUGAUUUUUAGGCAAAAAGGAACGAACAAGAGAACUCCUGAUCUACCACGUCAAUCCAUAGCUCUUUUUGCCACCAUAUGUAGAACUCCACCAUUCU
rnacentral:lncRNA from 1 species